rnacentral:lncRNA from 1 species
UAAAUUCCUUUGCAAUAUGAUUAUUCUAAAUCUCCUGUUUUGAUUCCAAGUAUACUAUAAAUUAUUUGUAAAUUGUCUUUUACUUUGCUAACUCCAAUAAAAAUAGUAUCUCACGCACAACAUAAACUUUUCUCUUAUAAAAUUUUUCAUACUACACAGCAUAUUUCUUGCCCUCUUGCUUUUUUUCUUAACUUUCUCUAUAUAUAGCAAUAUUGUUUAACAUCAUACACAGGGUUCAUGAAACAAAAAAUUGCAUAGUACAUAGAAUAUUUUUUGUACUUUUGCUAUCUUUCUUAUUAUUACAAUGCAUGCAUCUUCCCCCCCAACUCUUUCUACUCAUAGCCCAUGUGAGUCCAUGCAUGUCACUUGAACAUAGCCCAUGUGGGUCCAUGUGAGGGAGAGAACAUGUGAGAGAGAAAGAAAAUCCACCAUGUGGUUCGACGGAGAAACGACAUUUGGUUUCAAACUUCAGUAUAGAGUUUAAUGCUUAGACUCCACAUCAACUAGAGAUUAUUUUGGGUUGGAUCUAGAAAUAUUGGCAAAGUCAAUUAGUGGUGCUUGUCACCAGUCCUAAAAGUCAAAAAUAAUUAAAUCCUCCAAAACCAUGUUUCUUUUGUUGACAUAUCUUUUGGAAAGUUUUUUUUGAGAAAUAGGUAGCAAUAUCUUUUGGAAAGUUAUGUAUGUGACAUCCACAUUAAGCUGGUGUUCAAUUUCUAUUCUCUAAAAAUUCUGUAGCAGCACUUCUUUACCAGUUUUGGAAUAUGUUGUGUCAUAGAAACUGUAAAUUUGAAAAAUAUUUCGAAAACUUUAAAAAGCCCAAAUUUUUCUACAAAUUUCGUACUGAUUUGACAACUCAAUUAGAAUACUAUUAAUAGUAUAUGACUUGUAAUUACUAUCCAUUUUUUUUUACCAUCGGAUCAUAUUACUAUUCCACCAAACCCUCACUAAAUCCUGCAUACGCAAUGGUUAAAAAGUGGAUAUUAAAUACUAUUCAUGUACUAUUAACUCCUGAUUUGGGAUAAUUAACUUCAAAAAUUUCUCUCCACUGUGGAAAAGUAAUAAUUAAAUUAAUAGUAACAAACAAACCGACCGUUCCUAGCAUAUGGUGAAGUAUUUGAUUGUUGGUAUUCGAGAUUCCAAAUUCCAAGCCUAGUUGCUUAAUAUUUCUACCUGAGUUCAUUUCUUAAACAAAUCUCAAGAUUAUUUUAUCACAAGAAGCUGUAAUGAGUAUUUGGAUUUGCAAGCUCAAAGUUUUAGUUGAAAACUUCUACUUACGGCUACAAUAAAAGAUUAUUAGAGAGGUUUCGACCAAAAAAAAAAAAAAAAGAAAGGUAAAUUAUUAAUUAAUGGUUUUUAUAUUUUCGACUAAGUUUGUUUGGUAACAGUUCUUCUACAGAAGCUUCAAUGUACGUAGCUUAUCAAGCCCUAAGUUGCAAGUGUCAACACCAAACAUUGAUUACUCUUCCACUAACCCAACAUUAAUUGGAAGCAUAUGUAUGAAAUUUCCCAUUUGGAACAUCUUAGAAUGAAAGAUGUCAUAUAUUUCACAUGUUCAACGUAUUUGGGAUAUGUGGAAUUAGGUAACAUUAUCAGUAUACUUCGCCCCAUUCUUGAAUCUUAGCCAGUUAGAUCCACAUGCAUAAAGAAAGGAAAAAAUGCACUCUAUAUAGAAAUUAAGGAGACUCUUUUUUGGAAAGUUUAAACCAAUAUAGUUUUUAAAAAUUAAGAAAUAUUCUUUAGAUUUCUAGAUAAAUUCUAAGAUUGUUUUCUACUAUUUGGAUCUUGUUGGGUAACAAUGGUGCAUAUAUAGUAAAGUUAGUACUAAAACUCUUUUAUUCGCAAAGUUUCUAAAUUCGAUUCGUAUAUAUUUGCAUCUAUUAUUUUGUUAUUCUUUUUUUAUUACCUCGUUAGAUAUUAUUAUCUCAUCACACAAUGUAAGCAAAUUCUAAAUUGUUUUCUAUUAGAUCGAAUCGACUUUUGGGUAACACUAUCAACUCUUUUUGGUUAGGACGAAUUUUGUUUGUAGUUUAUUUUCUUUUAAUUUUCCUCCUUUUUUCUUCUACUUUGGCGUGUAAAGGGUAGGGUUCUUCAACUGUUUAGUAAUUAAGUGCACGCAUUAUACUUUUUCUAAAGUUUAGGGUGAUAUAAUACAUGGUAUUAAAUUUGGACACAACACACCACCUAACAUAUAUACAAUAUUGCACACGUGAAUGGCAAAGGCCAAUUAGUUUAGUGGUUCAACGUGUUUUGGACCAAACCACUCAAUUACUUAUUCUUUUCCACAACAAUUAAUUCCACCUUUUUGAUAUUUAUAUUUAUUUCUACUUUUUGGAAAAUUAGAGGCACAUUUUAUUAGUUAGCUUUCAUUUUCUUGAUUAGAAAGAGACACGAGAUCAUAUCUGAGUGAUAUGUUUUUUUUUUUUUUUUUCUAAUUUAUUUUAUUUUAUUUUUUCUCAAGAAAACUAAUUGUAUACUAUUCUAAUUAAUUAAGAAGGGCAUUUAAGAAUCAUAUAUAAAUUGAUUGUAACUGUGGUUUAACAAGUAAAUUGUUAAUUACCAAUAGCAAGUAAAUUUUCACCAAAUGAGAUCUUUUAAUUCAAUCUCACAAAUCAUAUAAGUAAUAGUCCCAAACAAUUGGAAUUAAUAAAAUUAGAAUAAUGGAGUAAUAAUAGGAUCAUUUUGAAGCCAAUAAUAGAGCAUAUAAAUAAAGGGACCGGCCAAGGAGUUACCGAGCACAUAUCGAACCUACACGGUACACAAGCGCAGCUAAAAUAAGAUCUUUUGUAGAAAAGAAUGUGUAUAAGAAUACAUAAUUUAUACAGUUCGGCCAACAAUAUGUCAACUUAGCAACGUUCACGGAUGAGACCUUCUUAAUGCGUUCUCUGGUUAAUCCACAUACUACAACAAAAAUGAUAUAUAGCGACACCUUUAAAUAUAGGUAUAGGUCAAAAAAUAUUGUUGGCUAAAUUACCGACACUUUUUAAAAGUGUUGCUAUAUGUGAGAUCGCCUUAAUAUUUGGCACAUACUUUUCUAGCGACUUGUGGCAGAGAGACACGUAGCGAUCGUAGCUCUCUACGGUCUCUACGAGAUUCUCGUGGCCGAACUCCAGCCGUCGAAACUCUACAUCGUCGGCUGUAGCGGCGGAGGAGGAGAAGAGGAGAUGGUAAUUUUUUUUUUUCCUUUUUUCUAUUUCUAAUCGGGCCGAGUAGACUGGGUGGGGUUGGCUGAGUAGAUGAACUUUUUGUUUUUGAUUGGAUUUAGCUUUAUAUUUAGUUCUUAGUAGAUUUUUUUAAAAAAAUUUGAUAUAAAUGAGACACUUACACAAAAGUGUCCUAAAAUGUGUCUCUAUAACCUAAUUUCGUCAUGUGUUUCUAUAACUUAAUUCUGUUAUAGUGACAACAUAAAAGUCUUUAACUUUUUCACCAUAAUAUUGAUUUGAAAUAUGGUUUUACAUAAAUCCAACGAUAAAAUUCUCUAAAAAGUGCAUCCAAACAUUGCAAGUGGGGAAAAAAGAAAACUUUGUUACUUCAAAACAAAAUAUUUUGUCAAAAAUACUAUGUUUUUACAAAGUUUCCAAACAACCCCUAAUUACAUACGAUAUUUUAGGAUACUAACUAAUGCCUGACUCUAUUAAUUUCUAGUAUAUAUUCAUCAAAUCACAAUCAGCUAAAACAAGUAUCUAAACAACCCAAAAAUAAUCAAAAAAAAGAAAAAGGAGGGGGAAAAAAAAAUCUAAGCAACAUUGUUAUCUAUGGUUAUAGGGAGAGAUUGCAUUUAUUCUUGUUUUUCUCUUCUGAAGAAACCGUUGCAGCGACCGCUUCAUCGAAAGCCCCGAAUUCGAUAACUGUGAAUUUUGCAGAUUCGGAGCCAGAUUUUUUCUUUGCUGUAGCUGUGAUUGUUGUUGGUAUUGUUGAAUUUGGUUGCAGUUGCUUUUGCUGAUAUUUCUAUUUUCUUUUUCCUCCAUUUCUCGUCUCGCCAUCGAUAUAAUAGCUCGCGCCUGUUCAAAAAAAGAAAAAAAAAGAAAGAACAAAACCAUUAAUAUAAAUAAAAAGUAGAAAUUACUAUAGAUUGUCAUCUGAAUUGUAAAAAAUUUAAAUAAACUAUGUAAAAUAAAACGAUGAAUUCAAUCUCACGAGAAUCAAAUGAAAUCAAUGAUUCAAAUGGUAUAGGGUGUCGAAGGUAAAAUACUUUUAAACUAUUAGAGUAAUUGAUUGAUUCGCACGGCAACUUUUUAUGUGAUCUUAGGUUUUCUUGAUUUGAUUAAUUGAAAUAUUUAGGGUGUGUUUGGUUCCAUGUAAAAUUUUAAUCAUCAAAAGAAAUUUUCAGAGGAAAAAAAGUUUUACACUCUUUAAUUAAUGUUUAGUUUGUAGAAAAAAAUAUUAGUUUUUUUAUUACGGUUGUUUGAUUGAAAGGCAAAAAAAUAUAAAUAAAUAAAAAAUUAAUAUAUGUAUUUUUUUUCUUAUUUUAUAUAUUAUCUGAUCCGCGUGUUUUUUAUACCAAUUUUUGCUUUCCGCGGACGCAUGAUGGAAAACGAAAACGGGAUUUUUAUCCGGAGAAUCUAUAAAAAAUUUUUAAUUUUUUUUUUUUUUUUUACAAGCAAGCAGAUAUUGGAAAAAAAAUUUUCAAUAAAAAAAUUUCGAAGUGAUUUUACAGUAAACCAAGAACACUCUUAGGGAAUUUAGAUUUUUUUUUUCAAGUUUACAUUAGUUUUUAAAGUUUACAAUUUUAGGUGGAUCUUGAGUAGAAAACAAGUUGGACAAGAGCUCUAACAAUUUCAAACUUUAAUAUAUAACAAAAAAAUCAAACACAUGUCAUGCACUAAUAAUUAAAAUUAGUAAAUUGAAGCGUGUUUUCUACGUGAUGUGUUGACUCGUUCUAGUCAAGGUCAAAAACAUACAACUCGGGCCUUUUUAUUAUUUUUUUUUUUUUGGAGGUGAUAAAGAAAGAAGGUGGAGAGUGGUCGGAAUAUGUCCACGUUGGCAGGUUUACUAAUUCUUUAAUUAAUCACUAAGAAAACUUCAAAAUCAGCCAUUGGCCAAUCGCCAACCGCCACCUGUCCUUAUUCUAUUUAUCCUUUUACUUAGUAUGCACCUUGUAGACAAUUUUUUUUUUUUAGAAAAAAAAAGAAUACGCGAUUUACAAAAAAAAAAAAAAAAUUUUGAUGAAUAAGAUAUUCUCCAAGUUUCACAUGAAAUGUAUUAAUGUGUUACAUAUAGAUUAAUUUGUACGGUACAGAUCAACAUAUUAAUAGAUAUAAUAGUACUAUAGAUACCUCAAACACUGUGGAUUCAAUAUUCUCCCACAAUUAUUGAUGAGCAUUUAUAAUAUUUCAUUAGUUAGAUCCCUACAUGAAUCCCCUAAAUAAACAUCCCAAUACAGUGUUCAAAAGGUUUAAAUGUGCUAUACAAAGGAUUAAGUGAGGAUUUUUUUUUCCCCUUUUUCUUUAUUUUCCAAUUAUAUGUGUGGCAACACAAGAUAUAUAUAUAUAUAUAUAUAUAUAUAUAUAUAUAUAAAGAUAUAUAUAUAUAUAUAUAUAUAUAUAUAUAUAUAAAACAAAUAUUGAAAAAAAAAGAGAGAAGUAAACAUAUAUAGCUAGCUGAAACUGGAUGGAUGGGCAAACCUGAAUCUCCGUCACGUCGCAGACGCAAAUCUGGCCGUCGUAGAAGAUCGUGAUCUUAUUCUCCGCCCGCUGCUGCUGCUGUUGCUGCUGCUGCUGCUGCUGCUGCUGCUGCUGCGGCAGCGACGACUGCCGAUAUCCGACUUUGUUUUCGCGAGACCAUCUCUUCUCCCUACAUGAUUUCAAUAUGCGUAACCUCAUUAGAAACAAAUCAAAAUUUUACACUGGGCAUUAGCAAUUAAAGGAAAUAAGAGAUUGAAGCGCAUGACAUACCUGCUAGUUUUGACACAGUUGUUAUCGUUGUUGUCGCUGCUGCCGCUGCCGCUGCCGAGUCGGAGGCUGAGCUCCGGAAUAUCGUGAUCCGAUAUCCCUCCCAUUCUUUCUUUCUUUCUUUCUCCUCCUUGUUCUUAUUGGAAUGUUGGUUGAGAAUUGGUAAUGGAGAUAUGAGGAAUUUGAAAGAAUGAGAAUGUAUUUAUAUUUAUAUAUACAAUAUCGAUAUGCGUUGUAUGUGAAAGACGCGGGAGACAGCGCGGCAAAGCAACGUGGAGAACGCGGUCAUCAUUUGCAAUUUUUUUUCUUUUUUUUUGGGGGAGGUUUUUGUCGGCAUGAAUGGCACGUGGAUCACUAGAAUAAGUAAUUAAUGUCUGUAUUCGGUGUAUCCGUACAUAUCGUGCACUACUUUUUCUUUCCCAUAAGAGAAAAAAAAUAUUGUAGGGCGAAAAAAGAAAGGAUAUUUAAUUUAGUUUGUUCGGCGUGAAAGAGAAUAAAAGAAGAAAGCAAAAGAUAAAAGUACAUAAAAAAAUAAAUUAUGUUGUUCGGCCAUUAUAUAUACUUUCUCUUAUUUAUCACAUCAAAUUUAAAAUAUAGAUCGAAAAAAAAAAAAAAAAAAUAAAAAAUAUUUACUGUUUAAAAAAUUUAAGACAUAUCUUACGUAUUAAUUAAUUGUAUUAAGAAAGAAACCCACUAUUAUAAGGCUCUAGGGUUGUGAAAAGCUUUCUGAAAUAUACUUGGUUUCAGAUGCUUUAAUUUCAACUAUCCUAUUAUUUGUAAAAAAAAUUAUUUUUAUUAAAUAAUUAGUUUCAAAUAUACAUGUGAUGGAGAUAUUGCUCUAUGAAAGUGGUAAAGGGGGCACGUAUUACUUAUAUUACAGUUCUGUGCGUCGAAAAAUAUUAUAUGUAAAAUUAUCCGUAAGGCUAACUCGCGAUGAGAUGAAUUCCAGGCUUCCAGCCGCUCGAUAUUGAUUGCCGAGAUUCAUCCAGAUAGAGAUGGGCUACGGGAUGCGGACGGUCGAGGUCUAAUAGGCUACGGAUAGGGAGUUGUAUAGCGCUUAUUACAGAAAUAUUCUGUGCACAGGAUUAUAUCUAAUAUGCGUCGUGGAUCACGUGUAGGGUGCACCAGGCGCAGGUAAUAUUUUCUUUUUGAGCAGAUGGGGAUAGACCCCAGUUGGACUGUGGUGGCUGCCGCACAUUUUCUUUUCUUUUUUAUUUUUAUUUUUUUUUUCUGGGUUAAAAGGGGGAUCAUCACACAUGAUAAAUGUUGCCUCACGUUUUUUUUUUUUUAAUAUUUUUAUUUUUUAAAACGUAGAAAACUUAUAUGAAUUAUUAAUUAUUUUUAGUUGGCUAUUUAAUUUUUUUAAAUUUUAUUUUAUUAUUUAUUUAUUUUAUUUAUCUGAUUUGAAUCAGUUAGCGACACUUUGAUUUUAAAAUUUGAGUUCGUCAUCUAUUUUUAUAUAUUUAGUUAGUCUACUUUAUGUAAUUUUCUUAAAUCUAAAUUUGCUAAAGUAAUUAGAUUAUAUUUAACAUUAAAAUAUCGUUGACUAAUUCAAAUAAAAUAAACAAAAAAAUUAAAUAAUAAAAUUAUAAUUUUGAAAGGCUGAGUAGCGAAUUUAAAAAAAUAGUUUAUAAUUUACAUAAGUUUUUUACGCUUUUUUUUUCUUUUUUUUUUGAUAAUUGUUGCUUCGCUAUGGAAGCUAAAAAGAUGUAUUUUAAGUUUUAACCGCGGGAACAAACUAACCAAUCAGGGAAGAGACAUAUAUUUAGACAAGCACAACUUUAAAUUAGAGCAUCUACUAUUAACUUUUAUUUAUUUAUUUUUUUCUUUAGGGCGUCACGUUUGAAAUCUAAGGUUAUUGUGGUCAACAAUCACACUUUUCUUAAUUUAUUACUUAAUUAAUUAUAUUUUCACCUCUUCAAAUCUUAAAAAGUCAACAUUUGUAUGAGGUGGGUUAUAAAAAAAAAAAAAGCUUUUCUCUCAAAUUUUUUUUUUGAAGUCCUCCAUAUAUACUGAUUUAAUUUUAAAUUAUUAAGGUUUUGAAGGCACGAUGAUUUAAUUGAUCAGCUUUUCCCAAAUUAAUAAUUACUUAAUUGGUUGAUUAUAUCUGGUGAAUUAAUCAUAAUGAUCAAGAGGUUUAGUUAAGAUCACUGGUCAUUAUUGAAUUUAUCUUCUAAGUUUCACUUUCUCGGGCCUCUAAUUUUCUCUUUUUUUUUUCAUUAUUUUAUGUUGUUGUUGCAAUUGAGUCAAAUUGUUAGAGAUCGAUUUAUAUGUCAAUGAGGUUACUUUGCUAAAACUCUUCUGAUUUUUCUAAUAAAAAAAAAAUUAACAUGACAAUCAAUAUAUAUAUAUAGUUGUAUAGUUGUCACUUCAUUUCAUUAUAAAGAAACGAUGUGGCUGCUCACUAAAUUGCUGUAUCGUCUGAAAAAACAUCGCCACAGACAAAAAUCGUUAGAACGCUUUCUACUGAAAUUUUAUUUCUAUUUCCUUAGCUGACUCAUCUUGCAUUUGUCUAGUCACAAUUUUGGCAUUAUUUUGUGCAUGUUUGUAGAUUUUUUCUGUGCACAAAAAAAAUGUCACCAUUCAAUAUUUGUGAUCUAAAGAUGUAUAAGGUGAGAUCACCUGAUUAAUCAAAAAUAAAUAAAUGAGAAAAAGAUAACUUGAGAUGCCAUGUGGUAUAAUUAGAUGACCCUAAGCUACCGUUUGGUUCGGGGUUAAGGAAAAACUAGUUAUUCCAGAAAUAUGGUUAAAUUUAGGGUUAAGGUGGGGUUAGAGUAUUUUUGUGUUUGGUUGGGGGGUUGGAGUUAGUCCAGGAUAGUGAAAAAUAGUGUUUGGUUGGAGUAGGUGGGAUAAGAAGGAUAGUGGGUUAUUAUGAAUAGAAAAUAGUGUUUGGUUGGGGUUUGGUGGGGUUAGGUGGGGUUAGCUAAUCCGGGAUAACCCAUUUAAGAUGGGGUUAGCUAACCCCACCCAUUUUUAGAAGUGUUUGGGGAUAAAAUAGGGAAGUGUUUGGGGAUAAAAUGGGGGUUAAGGGUUAUUCCACCCCUUAACCCCUAACCAAACGGAGGCUAAAACUAUUAUUUGUCGUAAAAAUUAACAUUUUUUACUAAAACUAAAAAAUGUAUGUUUGGGUGCCGCCACCUACUGGAAUAAAAUAAAAUAAAAUAAAAUAAAAGGGCAAUUGCUUUUAUGCCCUUAUGAAGUUCUCGAUUUUCAUAUUUAUCCAUCUUACAAGGAUAAUAAAAAAAAAGGAUAAUUGCCUAUAUACCCCUCAAAAUUUGAAAAAUAUCUUAUUUAUUCAUUUUUUUUUUCUUUCCAAUAUACCCCUUAUAUGUUCCUCCGUUAUUUCAAAAUACCCAUGCAGUUACCACCCGUUAAGUUAACUUGGGUUAGACGCGAGUUAAAUAUCUACCACAGUUAAAAAAAAUUAAAAUGCCACUUUUCCCCUUAGCUUAAGGGCAAAUAAGAAAAUAUUGGUGAUGGUAGAAGAGUAUAUUUGAAAAGAUCAAAAAGCAAAAUAUUUUUUGUGCCCCUAACUUAAGGGCAAAUAAAAAAAGUCGAUGAUGGUAGAAGGAUAAAUUUGAAAAUGGCAAAAUAGUAAUUUAAUAGAGAUAACAGAGGUCAUUAACAUAUUUUAACUCUAAGGUAUAUUGGAAAUAGGUUAAAACGUAAAAAGGAUAUUUUCAAUAUUAGCCUUUUAAGAGAGGUAAAUCAUAAAGUCAGGAACUUUUCAGAAAUAUAUAAGCAAUUGCUUCUAAAAAAAUUAUCCUUUUUAAUUUUUACUAUUCUAAAAAUAUCCUUAUAAAAUUUGAAACUCUUCGAAAUAUAACCCUAAAGUUAGACUUUAUUAGUGCAACAUUAAAAAAAAGGUUAUUUCCUGUGAAAUAACUAUUUUGCUUAUUUAAAUAUAUAUAUUAUAUUAUUUUGCUUACAUUUUUAUUUGCCUUUAAAAGGUGCUCCUACCUUUUCAUUUAUCCUUAAAAUAAUUUUCUAUUUAUUCUAUUUAUUCUUGCAAAAUCAAUUUGAAUAAUAAAAAAAUUAUAAAAAUAUUUUACAGAGGUCAUAAAAUAUUUUGUAAGUUUGGAACGAUAAGCAGCCAGUUAUGAAUUGAGGCCACAAGUCAUUGAUGCUUGGAUACGGAGGUAAUAAAAUAUCUUGUAAGUUUCCUGUGAAUUGAGGUCUCGUUCGUAUACAUCUUCUCUCCGUUUCCCGCCUCUAGUGAGUUACAAAUAGAGUUAGAAAAGAUCAUAAUUUUUGAUGAUUCUAUCAUACAUGAUUGAGUUGCAAAAACUUCUUGAUAGGUAUUCUACAUUUGAACUGAAUUCUUUCUGGUUAAAAAAUCUCUUUCUAGUUACUCCGAAACAAUUAGGAGAUUUUCUGAAAGAAAUAUAAGUUCUGCUUCUGACGGCAGCAUGUCAUUGGAUGGUGGUCCCGCUUAUAGGGUCAAAUCGAUAAGUUCUAAGAAAAAAAAUUUGAAUAUCAAUCUCAUCGAUCUCAUAAGUAUUAUAUCAAAUCCCAUCAAUCGAAUCACUUUUUUCGAGAAAUACGAGACAUCUAAGUCGUACAAGUAAAGAUAUCUAUUCAUUGAUAAGAAAAAAGAAAAAAAAACAUGAACAGUAAUUGAAUUGAUAAUAAAAUAGAAUCUUAGAUUGUGAACAGUGAUUCGAUUGAUGAUAGAGAAAGAAGAUUCUUCGUUCAGUUCUCUACCUUAAGAUAAAAAAACGAACUGAUCUCAACGAAUGUGGGUGAAAUAGCAUAUAUUGCGGAGCGAAAUUGGUCAAAAAAAAAAAAUAAAUCUAACGGUCGAAAGCAUCCCAGAAUAAAAGUAUAAGGUGGGGGCCACCACCGGUUUAAUUUGCGGCGGCGUUCGGCCGUCUGCUGUGGGAAAUCGAACCAGCGCCGAGAAAAAGAGAGAGAAAUCGCCGCUGCCGUGCGGCGCACGGAAGUCAAAGACGGCGUGUGUUGCAUGCCCAUAUAAUAGUAAACACUACGGCGCAUUGUCGCUUUUUUUUUUUUUUUUUUUUUUUUUUNAUUUUUAUUUGCCUUUAAAAGGUGCUCCUACCUUUUCAUUUAUCCUUACAAUAAUUUUCUAUUUAUUCUAUUUAUUCUUGCAAAAUCAAUUUGAAUAAUAAAAAAAUUAUAAAAAUAUUUUACAGAGGUCAUAAAAUAUUUUGUAAGUUUGGAACGAUAAGCAGCCAGUUAUGAAUUAAGGUCACAAGUCAUUGAUGCUUGGAUACGGAGGUAAUAAAAUAUCUUGUAAGUUUCCUGUGAAUUGAGGUCUCGUUCGUAUACAUCUUCUUUUCGUUUCCCGCCUCUAGCGAGUUACAAACAGAGUUAGAAAAGAUCAAAAUCUUUGAUGAUUCUAUCAUACAUGAUUGAGUUGCAAAAACUUCUUGAUAGGUAUUCUACAUUUGAACUGAAUUUUUUAUGGUUAAAAAAUCUCUUUCUAGUUACUCUGAAACAAUUAGGAGAUUCUCUGAAAGAAAUACGGGGUUCUGCUUCUGGUGGCAACAUGCUAUUGGGUGGUGGUCCCGCUUAUGGGGUCAAAUCAAUACGUUCUAAGAAGAAAUAUUUGAAUAUCAAUCUCAUCGAUCUCAUAAGUAUUAUAUCAAAUCCCAUCAAUCGAAUCACUUUUUUCGAAAAAUACGAGACAUCUAAGUCGUACAAGUAAAGAUAUCUAUUCAUUGAUAAGAAAAAGAAAAAACGUGAACGGUGAUUGGAUUGAUGAUAAAAUAGAAUCCUGGGUCGCGAACAGUGAUUCGAUUGAUGAUAGAGAAAGAAGAUUUUUCGUUCAGUUCUCUACCUUAACGAUGAAAAAAUGAACUGAUCUAAUUCUAUUGAGUCUGACUCAUAAUGAUCAUUUAUCAAAGAAUGACUCUGGUUANUAAAUCUAACGGUGGGAAGCAUCCCAGAAUAAAAGUAUAAGGUGGGGGCCACCACCGGUUUAAUUUGCGGCGGCGUUCGGCCGUCUGCUGUGGGAAAUCGAACCACCGCCCAGAAAAAGAGAGAGGAAUCGCCGCUGCCGUGCGGCGCACCGAAGUCAAAGACGGCGUGUGUUGCAUGCAUGCCCAUAUAAUAAUAAACACUACGCCGCAUUGUCGCUUUUUUUUUUUUUUUUUCGAUUUUGAUCCUCCUCGAUGGGAACGAUAAAAACGUGGUGUUUUUCUCUACACGUAAUCCUUUUCCACGACUAUUUCCCAUUAAAAAUGAGUCGCGUCCCAGUCGAGGAAAAAGAAAAAAAAAAAAAAAAAUUGGUGGGGCACAGUCUCUAGUACAAGACCGUUCUAUCUAUUGUUCAUACGGCUAUGUACUUUUAUGCGAAAUACAUCCGUACAAACCUGCGUUCAGAAAAAGUGUAGAACAGUUAUAUUAUUUCUCUAUGCUAGAUGUAUUUAGGAGUUGUUUGCUUUCAAGUAGUGUAAUUAUAAUACAGUACUUGUAAUUAUACACAGAUUCAAAUUCAACGACUGCAGUUAAAAUUAUAUAGAGAGGUCCAACUAUAGCGGUCAGAAAUAUGACUAAAUUAGCCACAUUAAACAAAAAGAUAAGUUUGACAUCCUCAUCAAUUUUUAAACAAUUUUUUUUGAAAUAAAAAUAGCAAGCUAUCCGGCUCAUGAAAAGAAAAAAUUUCGUUACUAUAUUAGAGAUAAUUUCACCCCCAUAUAUUUACAUAAAUAUUUGAGAUUUUUAUUGGGCAAAAUAAACCGAGAGUCUCUGCGUUGUUUUCGUUCGACAAGUUCAUUGAUCUUCUUUUAUGGGGUCAGAAUAAAUCUACUUUUACUUAAAAGUUGGAUUUGGUGGAAGAUAAUCUAGAAUUAACCGUACCACGCCUAGAAUAGAAACACCGUGAUUUCUAAAAAAAACGACCAGAAUUAGUCUUAGUACUAGUACUAACAACCUUCUCCAAGACAAAAAAACCAAGUUUUUAUACUUUUAAUUAAAUAUUUGACUUUAAAUAUAAUGUUUUUAUGCUGAUUCUUGAAAAAUAUUUGAAUUUAAAUAAGCUAACAAGUUAUGAUAGAAGAGUAAAAUUGUUAUUUUAUAAGAGAAAUUAUGUUUUUCUUUUUUCAUUUUCCGGACAUUUUAUGAACUACCCAAAACGUUUCACCCUUGUUUGGUAUGAUUAGAUACCAAUCCAAUCCAAUCCAAUCCAAUCCAAUCCAACUAUCAAUUUUUAUCAAAAUAUAUCAUUAAAAUAUUUUUACUAUAUUUCCCUCGAAAUCAUUAUAAUACUUGUGAUAUAUCUAAUGAUCUUUUUGACCUUAAUGUGCAAUGGAACUGAUCUACUACCUAUCAAACAUGAAAUAGCUAUUAUGUAGAAGACAUUUAGUAAGCUGUUUUUCUAGUUCAGUCUACAUGUCGAAAGAUUAUUUGGCCUAACUUCUGCAACGGCUUCUCUACGGAGAAAAGCAAUGGCCAAGCCGCGGCUGAAAGCCAAAAAAAAGGUUUCUGUAACCUUUGCGAUUCAGACGAAAGUUACUCAAAAGAUUCAACGAAAAACUGCUAGUGCCUUAGGGCUUACUGUUUUUCGAAUCAACACUACUGAAGCUCCAACCAAGCCAGAUAUGCAUCGUCGUAGUUCAGAACAACAACCAACCAUAUGCGCAGAGUCCAAUUUGGGUGGCCCAGAUUGGUUCGCACGGUGUGUCUGAUCCUUCCAACUUUUGAAUAAGUGCUAUUUGACUAGAAUUGUUCGAAGCACAGUCAGCAUCCGACGGAAAAGAUAGCUAAAAGAAAGAGGUUGUCAUAGUGCCAGCAAAAUAUUUUCAUUUGACAAGUAAUGAAUGAGCUUAAAAGGAAAAUGCAUCGAAAAAUAUGGAAGACAAAUUGAUUAUUCAUGCAAUGAAUAGCACAUUACAAAAAUGAAAUAGGGGCUACCUGUGUAAUCCCGAGAUAGCAUCAUGACCAUGGCCAUUGCGCAUCUCUCCACACACACCACCGUUUUUUGUCACCCUCAGUGCUUGUGCUAUUUGAAUUGUUCAAAUUUUUAUUGCAGCUGAGCUCCUGAUCACGGAGUAAAGCUUCGGCCCGGUAGUUUGGGUUGCGAUACUUGGGAUGGCCUAAAAACUUGACGUUUUUCAACCAGAGUCUUAGGGCCUGAACCAAUGAAAAGAGCAAGAAGAUCAGAAUCUUUAGUAGAUGAAAAAGCUACAGAAACAUUAAGAAUGACUGUUAAAGAUUAAAAGCACAUACAUGUCAUUUAUUACAGAGAGUUCACGGAAAAAGCACUCGCUUAUUUUUGCCACAUUUCAUUAAUUUCCCAUUCGUUGGAUGGCCAUAACAAGCUUUAGCUACUGAAAAAUCAAGCUCAUAUAUUUAAUGAAAACUUAGUCGAGGUAAAUACACUGCUGCUGAUUCGAAAAUAUAAGAAACCCCACCCCUUAAGUAACUAUAAACUCCGUGCUUCUGACAUUAGAAUCAUCUGAAAGAAUCUAAUUUUACUGGUUAGAAAAUGUAUCAUAUGAUUUCAAGUCAUUUUACUUGUCAAAAAUUUAAGAAUAACAAGUGGUAAGAGCAUAAGGCCAGAAUAUUCCAAAACCAAAACGAUUCUAAAAAUGCUUCCAUGCCAUAUUACCUAACAUAGAUCAAGUGUAAGGGUACAAUCACCAUGAUUCUACUUGAAGAUUGCUACUCAAUGGAACAAUGAAUUAGUCAGAAAAGAUUGGUUGACUGCUCCUAGUUAAUAGGCAACUUCUUUUCAGACUUCGCUAUAACUAAAAUCUGGAGUUUCGAAUCAUCUCCGCUUCGCUCUGAAAUUUCUUCUUCCUUUUCACCUUAUUGACCAGUGCAUCAAAAAGAUAUAACCGCUUCUUUUUUUAACAGUACAUAAGUAGAAAUCACCAUGCUUACGUGCACACAACCAUGAAAAAGCAAGAAUAAGCAGCCAAGAAACAAAAUCACUUCACCUCCCAGUAUAUCCACAUUGCAACCUUAUGCGGCAUUAACCAGAAGUAUUUUGCCAGAGUAACUGAAUUUGUGGAAUGGCAUAUUUCUUUGGCACGUAAAGUAGCAGUAAAAUAAUUCCCAAGUGUGGGAUGUUGAACCGAAAUUACAACAGAAAGAUCCUCGCCUGGUUCAUCCGCAUGGAUACUCCAAUUUCCUUGCAUAUCCUACAAUGUACUAGAAAAUAGACAACUAAGUGAAACAUGAUGGCGAGAGAAAUUAACAAGAAAAUAGGUUAAGAAUUUGAGCUAUGGUAGGUAGGAAUUAUUAAAUAUAAGGCUGAGGAACAGUCAUAAAAUGGACUACAAAAAAGUGAAUACCAAAUAGUUGAAUAUAAAAAAUAUAAAAGCACCAUCCUCUAAUAACUUAAAUUUUUAGAGGUUAACGGUAUUUCGUAGUAUUUAAUAUGGUACCAGAGAAGGUCCUGAAUUUGAGUUAUGUUAGGCUCCUAACAUUAUUUAACUUCCUCCCAUUUAAUUAAGUCCAUGGACUAAUUUAAGCUUUUUGAAGAAUAACAGUUGUUUCCUACUACUUAAUACAAAUUAAGGGCCCUGUGCAACUAAAUUAAAAAUGUCACCAUUGUUCGGUAAUUAAUUUGAAAGAGGUAUCAUGAUCUUCAUGCCACUUAAUCCUACAUUAACCCUUGCGCCACCAAUGUUAUGCAGCUGCCAAUGCACACUAUCACGACUUUCACCUCAAUUUGUCAAGAAUAAUGAAGAAGGCUAUUCGAAGAGCAGUGACAAGGAAUUUAGAACUGUAGGCAAAACAGGAUACAAUUCUACAAAGUAGUUUGCAUACUACUAAACUUUUCUAAUUAUUUUUCCCAUAACAUGUUAAGCCUCAAAUCACCUGAGUGUCAACAAUUACUUCAUUAUCCAAAAAUAUUUUCGAUUAAAAUUGGCAUCAUAAACAGAAGAACGGUAACACUGAAAUCAACACAAACUACCAAUACUUAUUGAACUACAAACUCUUCUCUUGUUAACAACAUACCAUGAAUGGACUAACAUGCAGGGGUUUCGCCACCAGAUCAGAGCCUGGCCGAAAUGUAAAGAACACCUUCUCUCCCCACGGAGUGUUCGUCACCUAAAUUCAAAUCACAAAAACCAUUUUUCGUGAUCUUUAAUGUCAAUCCUUUUUUUAAGUUAGAAAAGAAGAAGAUGAUCAUUCAAAAACCAUUCACCUCGGCAAUGCACAUCUUGAGGAGAAUAGAACACCGCCGCGCAUCUCCUCUUCCUCCUCCAUCUUCCUUCUCUUCUUCCAAAUCAUAGCAAUAGUAGAUGCUCAGAGGAUUCUGCUCAUAACCUACGCUCUCCGGUAUCGUCAAAAGAUACCUAUAUAAACCCAAACCUUCACUAUCAGCUAUGAGAACAAAAAAAAAAAAAAAGGUAAAAUGUCAACAGCUAAACAAUAUGAGCAAACUUUUUCUUUUUUUUUUCUUAUUGGCAUUUUUCUAGAUUUAAGUAAUUUUAGUAGAUCGAAUGGAUAAUAUUAUUGAAAUGUAUGGUUUUGUUGCAUAUUGGUCACAAAUUAGUAACAAUUCAUACUAUCGAAUUUGGCCAAAUCGCUUACUAAUCCAUAAAAUCUUACUUCAAUAGAGUAAAAUUACUCAAAUAAAGUUGAGGGAUCUCCAAUGUACAUACAUGAAAAGAGAGCUCUAAUCAUCAAACGAGGAGAAGAGGAAGGAGGAAGGGGAGAGGGAGAGAGAGGGGGGAGGGGCGAUACACAGGUCCAUUGGAGCCCGCGACCUCGCGAGCGCGAUCGGGGUGGAGGUGCGAGUAAGAGGAGGAGACGACGCCGGGGGCGUGGUCGAGGUCGACGAGGGCGUAGCGGACGGGGUAGUCGAAGGCGUGGGCGACGGGUCGGCGCCGCUCGUGGCGCACGCGGCCCUCGUAGAGCCGGAUCCGCUGCGGCGGCGGCGGCGGCGAGAGCUCCUCGGCGGCGCCGCCCUCGUCGGCGGCGGCGGAGGAGAGGUUGGGGAGGAGGAGGGAGACAAGGGAUCGGAGGGAGAGGGCGAGGGAGAAGAGGGAGGAGGUGGCGACGGUGGAGGCGAUGGAGAAGAGGAGGUAGAGCGCCUCCAUUGUUAUCCUCUCCCUCUUCUUCUUCGUCCUCCUCACCAGCGUCGUCUUCGUAUCCGUGUGUGUGGUAUGAAGAGACGCACGAGCCACACGUAAUUGGGCGGUCCAUGGAUGACGUGGUGCAGUAGGUCCAGUGCAGAUGCGUACAUCAUGCUGCGAAACGAAGAAGAUAGAUGCGCGUCUAGUGUAGUUGGGCGGUCCGCGGAUGACGUGGUGAACUUGGUCCACGAAAAGUAAUUUCGUAUAUAAACUAUAAAGCACAUGUACUCUAGUUAGUCAUACUAGGAGGAGGAAGUGUAGUGUGCCGUACUUACACCAUAUCAAUAAUGACAAAUUAAUCAUAUUUCUUAUUUAAAAAAAAUAUAAUAAAAAUAUUUUAUUUUAUAAUCAUGAUGUUGUGGUAUAUUAAUCCCAAAAAAUUUAUUUGAUUGAUGAAUAACGUCACGUCACUAAUAUAACUGGUACAUUCUAUAAUUUUUUAUUUUACAGUCUCAUGCACAAAAAAAAAAUUUGUACAUGAAACCGUCCCGAUAAAUAUCUCAGCCAUAAAGUAUGUUUCAACUAUUGGUUACUUUUUUUACCGACCGUUCCUAACGCAAGUGACAACGAAUUUGGUGGUUGGUAUCAGAGAUUCUGAAUUCGAAUUGUAGUUGAUUAAUUCACAUUGUCAGCUAAAUUUAUUUCUAAAUGAAAUAAACGAAGCGGGUAGUAGAUACAAAUCAACUGCUCAAGGAUUAGUUAUUUGUAAUUUUUCGUGCUAUAUAUAAAGUAUUUAUUGAUGGAAUAUUUUUUUUUUUUAAAAAAAGCCUAUGAACAAUUAGAUAUAUUUCAUAUUAAGGGUUACAUUGUCCUCCAAAAGGUUAAGUGAUCAAAUAUAUCCUUAUAAAUUUGCUUAUUUGUUCAUAUCAAUUAGCUAUGAUUAAACUAGUUAAGCAAAUUUAACCAGUAGAUUCUAACAGCAGAUUCAAAUAUAAAUAUCAGCACUUGAACUUUGAAGGAAUAUACUCUCACAAUUUGAUGUAUUUAUAGAAAGUUGUAUGCAAUUAAUAAUCCUACAUACAAUAGAACUUGACACAAAUUACUAACCGAUUUAAGACAAGAAGAAAGGGUUUCAAUGUAAGUUACUAAACUUUUAACUAUUUUUAAGAUUUACCAAAUUUUUAGUACUAAACAAAUUGGUCAUCAAAUCAUUACCAAUUAAUCUGGCGCAAACUCAGUUUUCGCAAUCUCCGUAAAAAGCUAUACGGCCUGAAAAACUACGAAACCAAAAACAAAAAUAGGCCCAAUAUCGUCGUCAAGCCCAGAUUUUUUAUACCGAGCGCACAGUAGUAAUAAUUUACAAAUCCUCUCAGUAAAGCAAUGAACGUCAAAUUCGAACACCGCCGCACAUAUAUAUGUAAUUACUGCUAUUAAUUCCUAUGCAGGUGCUCAACAAUUUCAUCAUUGAGUUAUUUGAAGCUGUAAGGAUCUUUUAAGGGCACCAGAUGAUACUAUAUUGUGGGUCAAGCGGAGAAAGUUAAAAUUUAAUAACAACGGUCUAUAAUGCAUCUGAUAUUACAUUAACUAUUUUAACGAGCCAGCUCCCGUUGUAAACGGAACGCGCAAACUGUGGACUUGCAACAGAAGUUCACUUAUCAGUUCUCACACCUGACGUACACCAAAACUGUAAGAAGGUCCCUACUUGGUGCAGCAGGUCAGAAGUUAAUUUGGCAGGAUUCCAGAAAGCUAUUAUUGUACGACAAGAGAUCUGGAGGUACAGGGCCAAUUUUAUUCAUUUCAUCAACUUUAAAACUUUUUACGGGUUAGCAGGACACUGUUAUGAUCACUAGUUGGUAAGUAUAUCUUUCUUUUAAAUAAUGUAUUUGAGAUUGAAAGUAUUGAUGGUGUUCAUAUGAUUUAUUUAAAGUGAUUUUUAGAAGCACAAAGAAAAAAGAAAAGAAGAGUUACAUGACUGACAGAAUCUUUACGUUCAAAUAUUUCAUCCAAUUUUACAAAAAUUUAUGAAUUUUUUUUUAAAAAUAUUUUAUAAAUUAUUGUUCUAUUAAAAAAUAUGUAUACUUAUUCACAUGUGUUUAUGCCGCAUUGUACGGUUAAUCAUGGAAAGUUAAAUAUGUUAUUGUUAAAAUCGAAACGACGAAAAAUAGAUCCAGAAAAUAAAUUAAUGCAAGAAAAGAAAAGAUAAGGAAAGAACACACCGAUAUUUACGUGGUUCGGCCAACGGCCUACGUCCACGGGCGAAGACGGAGCAAAUAAUUUAUUAAUGUCGAAAAGGCGAAGUACAAAGAAGAUCUCUCGAAGAAACCCGGAAACCAAAGUAAAUAUAUAUUCGACGCGCGUUACCAUAUACGGCAUCUUCUUAGCACGUCCUGACAAUAUAUCUUGGCUCGGCUCACCAAAACAAGAAAGUACGGCACCAUGCACAUUGGCUGAUGGUGUUGCUGCCACCGUACACCAUCACAAGCCACUUAAUUAAUUAGUGCAUCACAACUCCUCCGCGGAAGCAAGCAACCUCAACUUUAAUUAAUUAGCAUGGCAUCAUAAGGCCAGCUCCUUGACCGUACAGAACCAAGAACUCUCAAGCUUAAUUCGAGUCGCGACUUCUUAAUUUUUGGUUGCGGCGUCAUUAACUUGGCCGUAGCAUGUAUAUAUAAUACAUGUCUCCUAAUUAGAGUCUAAUUCUAAUUCAAUUAGAAUUACACUCCUAAUUAAAAUCCAUAUAUGCCAAAUUAAAUCUAAAUAAUAUCUAAUCCCAAUUAGAUUAGGAUUUAACUCCAAUUUAGAUAACUACAAAUCUAAACCAAAUAUAACAGUUAUCUUAUAUAAAUAUUUGGUUACCUUAAUUUCAUUAUAUCUUUUCUUUUAUAGAAUAAUAGACAUUCCUUAUAUUAUUGUAUACUAUAAUUCAUUAUUUACCAUGUAUUUGCUUGACCUCUCUUUAUACAAAGAGGUAUUUUGUAAUUUAUAAAAUCAAAGAGAAAUUAUAUUUCUUCUCCAAUUAUCUUUUGUUUCAUGGUUUCAGAGCGUGACUAGCUUGAUCACUAGCUUGAUCUACAAAAGCUGGUCGUCACAAGCUCACCGUAGGUAUCUCCCUAUCUAGUUCUGUCAUCAUAUCCGCACCUCCAUCGAUGCCGCCUGUACUGCCUACACAGUUUCCUACACCGACUAUUGCUAAUUAGCUCGAUGUUAAACUCUCUGAGCCUAAUUAUCGUGCAUGGUCGGUGUCCAUUCAACUCUUGUUUGAUGCUCUCGAUCUAACUAGACAUAUUGAUGAUGCUGGUCCACCAACCGAUGAUUCUAAACUCAAAGACUAGCUUGUUGCUGAUCGACGUGCUUGUGGAAUUAUUUCUACAUCAGUAAACAUAGACAUUCGGAUGCAGCUUAUCAAUCUGUCCACCGCUCACCAAAUGUUGUCUCUUUUUCGGCAGAUGUAUGAGCAAUCCAGCUAUGCUAUACUGAGUUUCAAGAGAUCUCCAUGGUGCACCAAGGUGAGUGUAGUAUUCAAGAGUUUUACAGUUUUAUGCAGGCUCGUUGACAUCAACUAGCGACCAUGGAUGAACCCAUGUGUCGCACUUGCUUAGCUUGUCAGUAUACUGUCAAGCAAAAGCAGGUGCGUGAUCAACAAUGAUUGUUCUAGUUUCUUAUGCACCUAUGACCUGAGUUUGAAGUGUUACAUGACCAACUACUCCAUCGAACUCCUUUUCUUACUAUUGAUGUAGCUUUCGUGGACUUGAUUGCCGAAGAGACACGUCUUCGAGUUUUGAGUUCCUCUGUUUCUGUAAUGCCUAAUAUUCUUGCUGCUCAUGGUCCUGCUACUCCACCUCCUAUGCCGGCGCCUACUUCUCAUCAUCAACCAUCUUCUAAUUACAUCCCAAAUCUUGGUACUAGAAAAGACAAGCGGAGCAUUCAUUGUCGUUAUUGUCAUCUUUGGGGCCACUUAAUUCAAGAUUGCCGUUAAAAGAAAUAGGUAGAUCAGCAUUUGCGAUCCUCUUAUGGUAUGCCUACUGUUGCAUCUGCUCCUUCUAUUCCUCUGGUCAACAAUGCGUUAUCUACAGAGCAGCAACCUUCGACUAUUCAAUUGAGUCUUCCUCAACUAUUGCAGAUGUUUCAGCAAUCCCAAUUAACACCAUCUACUUCGUUAGGACAGUCCUUUGUCUUUCCGUCUACGCCAUCAAGCUUUGGUAUGACUGAUCUUGGAGGUACUUUGGAGCAUUCCUUGAUUUUAGAUUCAGUCGCAUCAUUUCAUAUAACACCACAUGUUUUUUUAGUUUCUUCACCUUCUCAAUUUAAUUCACCUUCACAUAUUUUUACUGUUGAUGGUACCUCUCUUUCUGUCAAUCAUAGUGGCACUAUUUCACCUAAAAUUGAUACUUCAAGAUGCUUUAUUAUUCCCUCUAUCAUACAUAUAUCACGACUCUCUCUUAAUUUAUUAUUUAUUAGCCAAAUUACUAAUCAUAACUGCACAGUGACCUUUGAUUCAUCUUAUUGUCAUGUGCAGGAUCGUCGGACCGGGACUUUGAUUGGACAGGACCAUAGACGUGACGGUCUGUAUUAUAUGGACUAUUUGUACCUUCCUUCUAAAAUUAACUAUGCGAAUAUUGCUACAACUCCAACUUCCAAUCUUCGGCAUCGUUGUCUCGGUCAUAUCUCUUUUGAUAAGUUUAGUGUUUUAGUUCGUCGUGGUGGAUUAGGCUCUGUUUUUAAUUCUUAAUCUAUUUCUUGCAUUGGAUGCAAACUUGCUAAACCUUCCAUUAAACCUUUUCUUGUUAGCAAUUCCGUUUCAAGUGCACUAUUUGAUCUUAUUCACUUUGAUAUUUGGGGACCGGCACCUAUAUCAACCCGUGUUGGAAAUAAAUAUUAUGUUAUUUUCAUUGAUGAUUACUCAUGUUUUACCUGGAUUUAUUUUAUACAUAACAAAUCUGAACCUUUUCAAUUGUAUCAAAAUUUCUCUAACAUGUUUCAAACUCAAUUUGGUGUCACUAUUAAAACUUCUUGCUCUGAUUCUGGUGGUGAGUGUCUUUCGAAUGAAUUUCGUCAAACUUUUUGCUAAAUAUGGUACUUUGCCGCAACUUUCUUGUCCUUAUACGCCUUAAUAGAGUGGUGUUGCUGAGUGUAAAUAUCGACAUGUCCUUGAAACUGCUCGCUCUCUUCUAAUUGAUGGGCCUGUGCCUAAACAAUUUUGGGCUGAUGCUAUUUCUUUCACAAUUUAUUUGAUUAAUAUUAUGCCCUUUGGUAUGUUCUCUGGCAUUUCCCCUAGUGAGAGAUUGUAUGCUAAUUCACCAUCUUACUCAUUUUGCAUGUUUUUGGAUGUACUUGCGUUGUUCUCCUGCCCCUGCAUAAACAAGCCAAACUAACUCAAAAAUCCUCUAUUAAUUUGUGUUUUCUUAGGACAUAGUAUUUAGCAUAAAGGAUACAAAUGUUAUGAUCCUACUGCUCGUUGUAUGCGAAUCUCUCGAAAUGUCAUUUUUCUUGAACAAUUACCAUAUUAUGCUCAAUCCAAGUUAAGUGUUGAUCCCUUUGUCGUUUUAUCACCUUCUGUUGUUGAUCUUUCCUUCCUUGUUAUUCUUCCUCGGCCACCACAUUUUCUCCUGAAGAGCCCCAACCUAUUGACUCUGAGCCUACUACGUCUUCAUCUUCUGCAGAACUUCCUAUAAUACCGGUACCUCAUGACGUACGACCCACCAGUUACUGUUCCAUUCGACGAUUUGACGACGGCUGAGCGUCACUAUCCAUUGUGUACUAAUCACCCCGCGAAAUGUUUUGGUUGUCUUACCUCUCCUUCCUUUUCUCCACGAUAUCAUACUUUUCUUGUGGCUAUUUCUAAUAUCCAAGAACCACGUACGUACUGUCAAGCCGUCUCCAUUCCUGAAUGGCGGGACCCAAUGACCAUAGAACUUACUGCUCUUCAUCGUACUGGUAUUUGGGAACUAGUUCCCCUCCCGCCUGGCAAGACUCUGAUUUGUUGUAAGUCAAUAUAUAAAGUCAAGACAAAUUCUGAUGGUUCAAUUGAUCGCUAUAAGACUCGUUUAGUUGCUCGAGGGUUCUCUCAAGAAUAUGGCAUUGAAUAUGAGGAGAUGUUUGUCCCUAUUGCUAAGAUGAUCUCUGUUCAUGUCCUUAUUGCUAUUGCUGCUUCUCGUAGUUGACCUCUUUACUAACUUGAUGUUAAAAAUGCCUUCUUACAUGGCAAUCUUUAUGAAGAAGUUUAUAUGCAACCACCUCUUGGUCUUUCCCAUCCAUCCAGUCAUGUUUGUCGACUUCGAAAAGGCUUUAUACGGUCUUAAAUAAACUCCUUGAGCUUGGUUUGAAAAAUUUCAGUCUGCUAUUAUUUCUUUUGUAUUUCAUCAAAGAAAAAAAUGAUUGUCUUAUUUAUUCACACUUUUGCUCAUGGGCUCACUGCCUUACUAUUGUAAGUUGAUGAUAUGAUAAUUACCAAUGAUAAUCUUGAUUGUAUUUAUUCUGUUAAAUCCUAUCUUCAGCAAUAAUUAGACAUGAAAGAUCUUGGCCCUCUUCGAUAUUUUUUGAGAAUUGAAGUGGCUUAUAAUGUUCGAGGAUAUAUAUUGUCUCAACAAAAAUACAUUGCUGACUUGAUAUCUCGUGCUAGGCUCACCGACAUCGACACUGUGCAUACUCCUAUGCAGCUCCACCAAAAACUAACAAAUAUGGGCGAACCUUUCACUAAUCCUACCCGUUAUCGUGAGCUAGUUGGUGCGUUAGUAUAUCUCACUAUAUCUCACCCAGAUAUUGCUUAUGCGGUCCAUAUUGUUAGCCAAUUUAUGCAAGCACCUACUUCUGUUCACUAUGCUGCUCUUUUACGCAUCUUGUGCUAUUUGCGAGAAAGUAUUAGUCAAAGUUUAGUAUUUUCUUCCUUUUCCAAGCCUCAACUUCAUGCCUAUUGUGAUACUGAUUGGGUUGGAGAUCCUACUGAUCGUCAGUCUACGACUGGCUAUUGUAUUUUCUUUGGAGAUUCUCUAAUUUCCUGGCCGUCAAAGAAAUAUGAUAUUGUUGCCAAAUCUAGUACAAAAGCUGAAUAUCGUGCUACGUCCUUUGCCGCCGCAGAAAUUUUAUGGCUUCGUGGACUCCUCGGUGACCUAGGUGUCCAGUGCUGUACUUCAAUACCUUUAUAUUGUGACAAUCAAAGUGCGAUCAAAAUUAUGAAUAAUCUUGUCUUUUAUGAACGUACUAAACAUAUCGAAAUUGAUUGUCAGUUUGUGCACUAUCAUUAUAUUAAUGGAACAAUAUCUUUGCCAUUCGUUCCCUCUGCUCAACAACUUGCCCUUUUUUUUUACCAAAUCUCAAACUAUUCAACGUCAUCAAUACCUUCUAUCUAAACUCUCAGUAUUUAUUCCACCUUGAGCUUGCGGCGGGGGUUACCUUAUAUAAAUAUUUGGUUACCUAAUUUUCAUUGUAUCUUUCUUUUUAUAGGAUAAUAGACAUUCCUUAUAUUAUUGUAUUCUAUAAUUCAUAUAUGAUUUACUAUGUAUUCGCUUGACUUCUAUUAUAUAAAGAGGUCUUUUGUAAUUUAUAAAAUCAGAUUCUUCUCCAAUUAUCUUUUGUUUCAAAAUAUAGUAUCUAAAUCGAUUUAUCGACUGUGUUUGAGAUAAUAUUGCAUGCAUCCAAUGCAACAUAUGAUAGUACACAAUAAUCUUAUUUCAAUUAUUUUUAUUUUUUUGUAAAUAUAAUUUGAAAUAAAAAAAAAUUAAAUUAUUGGCCAAUAGUGAGCCAAGUAUAAAACAUGACAAAGAUAAUGACCUGCACUGUGCACGACCCACAUGGUGCAAUAAUUGCUCGGAACAUUAAUUCGAUGCAUAUGCUCUGAACUGCAAACAAAACUACUUAAUUACUUUCAAAGCUUCUGCGAUUACGUGCUCAAACUACGUGACACAUAAUAUUUAAAUCCUUUUAUUUUAAUUUAUUAUAAUUUUUAGCUUGAAUUUUAAGAAUUAUUAUAAUUAAAUUUCACACUUCAAUUUAGUUAACUAAAUUUUAAUACAUCGUUGAUAUAAAAGCCUUAUGUCAUCUUAGAUAACAUUAGCACUACGCCAUUUCUACAUCAGCCAGAGAUCAAUAUUUAGCCAACUAAAUUCAGUUAUAGAACUUGAUUGCAAUAGUUCUGAAGUUUCCGUGAUUAUAGUUUGAGGGCCAAAUGCGUAAUUUAUCUUACAUGCCACUAUCAGUGCUAGAAUGAGAAAGUCUUGUACACGAAAGAGACUGGUAAAUUACUCGGUGAUGGUUCAAUUCCAUUCGCUCAUCUCACUUUUAAUUUUACUAAUUUCGCUGUAAGAUAUAUAGAACCUUUGACUCUAGAUCAAGAUAAGGGAAUACUUUUUUUCUUAGAGAUAUAUAGGCAGCAUGCUAUCUGUUUCGUAUAUUUUAUUUAAAAAUAAAUUUAGUUGGAAAUUCGAAUCAAUUAGAAUUCGAAUUUGAGACCUCAAAUAUCAACCACUAAAUUUUUUAUCACUUGCGUUAGAAACGAUGGAUGGAAAUACUUUUUUUUUUUUUUGAGAGAGAGAUAGGUAGCACACUACCCGUCUCGUUUAUUUCAUUUAGAAAUAAAUUUAGCUAGAAAUAUGAAUCAACUAGGAUUCGAACUUGGGUCUCGGAUAUCAACCACUAAAUUUUUUGCCAUUUGCUCUAGGAAUGACCAAUUUUUUUUUUUUAUUUUUGUGAGCGUAGACUUUAGUUAAGCCGCACAAUCUACUAAAAUAGAUAUAUAUAUAUAUAAUAAUUAAAAAAAGAGUUGUACAAUAUUACAAAGUAGCACAAAGGAUGCCAAAUAUAGAACGUACUAGGGGGAUACCCUAAGCAUUCGCCCUUUCCAAAAGAAACUCUGUGCAGGCGCACUGCAGGGGAGCAUUGAUGUAACAACCCCCAAAAAGGAGCAUGCAUCAGCGACUCGGCGACACCCCCACCACCGGGCACUACCCAACACCUGCAAAGCACAAAAGGGGACUCGCCAUCACAUGCAUUUGUCCUCAUCCUCCUCGUCCUCCUCCUCCUCGCCCCCAGAUCCAAAUCUAUCUCCCACACAAGCAACUAAUCAUACAACAGAACCCCCUCUCCUCCCCAUCCCCACCAAACCAAAAAACAAAACAAAACAAAAAAACAAACAAAAGGAAAACAACUUAGCUAGCUUAUAUAUUAUUAGAGUCUUAAUGUGAGAUCGAGCUCGGGCUCAUCCUCACUACUAUUUUGUUGGUGUUGGUGUUGGUUUUGGCGUGGUGGUGGGAGGGAUGGGUCGACGUUGGAGUGGUGGGGGUGGUGGUGGUGGUGGUGGGAGCCGCGUUGCCAGUUGAGGAGAUCGAAGAGCUCGUCGGGGCCGACGGGGGGGUCGGCGGCGGCGGACAUUGCGCGGUUGGAGCUGACGGAGGCGAGCAGCGGCAGGUGGGCGGCGAAGCGGGCGGUGCCGCCGGCGGCGGCGUAGGAGCUGUUGGCGUAGCCCCAGAAGCACGAGCUGCCGCCGUCGUACGCGGGCGGCGCCGAUCGGCACGAAUGGGAGGCGAGCUGGAAGGCGGUCGGCCCGGCCGUCGGGUAUGCAGGAGGGAGGUAGAGGUCGAGGUCGGACUGCAGGCCGCCGACGCUCCUCUCCUUCUUGUGCGCGUUCUGGUGUCCCCCCAGCGCCUGCGAUUUCAGGAACUUCUUGUUGCAGAACAGGCAGGGGAACAGCUUCACGUCCGCCCCGCGAUGAUCCUCCUUCUCCUCCUCCGCCGCUGUCGGAGAGCCCGCAGCAGACAAGGCGAGAGAGAGGCUGGGGGCGGAAGGUGGUGCUGGUGCUGGUGGUGGUUCCAUUUUUCUGGGUUUAGGGUUUCUAUUAUUAGCAACUCUAUGUAUUUAUGUGCGCGAAUAUACUUUGCAGGAGGAGUGAUUUACUAGUUUUCUGGACAGCGUAUAUAAUUGUUUUAUUAUUUCCCUGCUCUUCGUUGUCAAGAAGCAUUUAGGCCUCAUCUACAGUAGGAAAAUUUUAAGGGGGGGACCAUUCAUUCCAGCAGCUGCGGGACCAUAUAAGAGUGUAUUCUACAGAUCUAUUUGUUCCAACCCAAGCAGAUUUGAUUUCUUUGGAUUGAAUCAAAUUUAUUUUUGGCUGAGUUAGAUUUCAGAUAAAGAAUUUACUGUAUCUUCGCCGUUUGUUUCUACAGCUAUAGAAGUUGAGUUUUACCGGCUCUACUGUUUGUUCCGCACCGCAGAAAGUGAAUAACGUAAUAAAUAAUAAAUUAUAAAAUUAUUUUAUUUUCUGUAUUCUUGAUAAACUUACCUCUACUCUACUGUGAUAUUCUUCUCUCUCAUUUAACUUAAUAAAUAAUAAAUUAUAAAAAAUUAAUAAGUAAUAUAAUUAUAUUUCUAUACAAUUAUAAAAAUAAAAUUUAAAAUAAUUUUAUUAUUUUUUUGUAUAUAAAUGAUAAUAAUACAACAAAUAAAAUUCUGAAGUUAAAAAAUAAUUAACAUUUAAUAAAUUAAUUUCAUCGUUUAAAAUUUAAACGUGCAAAUUAAAUAAAAAGUAUAUUGAAACUUAACUAACCAAACUUCAUCAUAUUUUAAACAUACAAUCUAAAUAAAAAAUUAAUCACUACCAUAAUUAAAUAUGUUUGAAUAGAAUAUAAUUAGAAAGAGAGAGAAAGAGAGAGAGUAACCCUACAAGUCACCAUAAUUAAGUUCUUCACUAAUAUUUUAUAAUUUUUCUCUCUUCUUUCACUUCAUCGGUAUUGACUUCAUCCUAUAGAAGAGUAAAGUCAAUUUCGAUAUUUUGGGUGAACUGGAUAGCGAAAGUGAUCAAUUUUCGCUGAAAAUUAAUUUUUCGCUCCCCACUUACGGUAAAAUAAGCAAGCCCUAAACCGCACAAAAUAUUCUAACCUCAAAAAAAUGAAUUUACAAUUAAUACAGUGAUCGCGCACUACAGGGGUGAUCUCAGUAAACAGAUUAGCCCAAUGCUCGUUGAUGAUUUCUAUUGAUUUAAGGCUUUUGUGCUUCAUAUUCUACUUCUAUCUAUUUCUCCCAGUGACAUGAAAAAAAAAAAGAAAAAAUUUUAAAUACCAUCCUGUGAUUUCACACUUUCUCACUUUAGUAUCAUGUGAUUUAAAGUAUAUCAAUAUAAUAUCCUGUGAUUUUAUUUUUUUAUUAUCGUUUUUAUUAAUUUUUUCAUUAAAUUAGUGGCAAAAUUAAAACUAAAGGGUGCUAAAGUGAAUAUUCGAUAAAUAUAGGUAGAGUAUCUGAAGUUCUUUUUGUAUAUAAUUCAACGAAAUAUCAACAAAGAAGCUGAUGAAAAGAUAAAAAUAAAAUCAAAGAACACUAACUUAAUACACUUUAAAUCAGAUAAUACUAAAGUAAAAAAGUACGGAAUACAAAAUUGAGAAAGCAUGAAACCAGAAUGAUAGUAUUUAAAGUUUAUCCAAAAAAAAAAAAAAAGUGGUCGGCCUAAAAAUGAUUGAACCUAGCUAUAUAUCGUGCUCAAAAGUAGCUAGUGCGCCGGACACCAGAGGGUGUAAACAGGAUUGGAAGUGCGAAAGGACUGGGGCAUCGCUCAAAAAGAUGGGUGGGAACAGGAGCUACACAUUAUCACCCAUGAUGAGCUUAGGACAUUUGAAUUGGAUGUAUAAAACUUUACCUGAAACUUUAUAAUGAUUAUAUAUAUAUAUUAAUAGUAAAAUGUUCUUUUUGCUAUCAAAAUUUUAACUUUUGAAUGAAAAAUUAUAAGGUCAGAAUGAUAUUAGUCGGUUAGAGUUGAGUGGUCCCCCUAAGAUUGAGUGGUUCUUACUGGGUUAUACUAUUUAAUCCAAUGGUUAGAAAUAAUGAAAAGAGUUGAUCCAAAGGUUAAAAAACUGGUAGCAACAAUGGAAUUUUGCUACUAAUAGUAGCCCAGUCCAACUCUAUAUAUAUAUAUAUAUAUAUAUAUAUAUAUAAUACUAUAUAUAUAAGAGAGAGAGAGAGGAGAGAGAGAGAGAGAGAGAGAGAAGAGAGAGUGUGCGCCACUAUACUUUAUGAGUACAAUCACAUUUACUCAUAAGUUGUUUUCGAUGAUAGAGCUUCCGAAUCGACGAUCCACACCGUUAAACGUUAUCUAGAGCAUUUAAAACGUAUAGAAAUCAAAUUUUAUAAUUUUUCGACAUCAUUACCUUACGAUCAAGUAUCACAAAAUUGUCAAUUUUUAUCGGCCGUAUGAAAUAUUUAGUAGUAUAACAGUGUAAAAAAAUGAAAUCAGUUGAAUUUUGAUAGAAAUUUCCUAUUCACUAACUAAGAUAAAAGAUCAAUAACUCGAUCUUAAAUUGAAGGAUCCGAGUCAUCAUUUUUAGGAUGUUGUUCAUUUUGACGUCAUUUAUACCCAUUUGAUGGACUUUAUAAUGAUUUUGAAAAAUUACGAAACUUAUUUCUAAAAGUUUCAAAUACUCUAGAUCAUGUUUAACAGUUGGAUCGUCAAUUCGAAAAUUACAACAAGAAUAAUAUAUGAGUAAAAGGUAGCCCUACUAUAUAUAAAUAUAUAUAUAUAUAUAUAUAUAUAUAUAUAUAUAUAUAUAUAUAUAUAUAUAUAUAUAUUAUAGUAUAUUAGAGUGGAGCUAGAAUACUCCAAAGCACCAAGUGUGGUGCUUUAGAUUUUUAGCCUUUGGCCGAAGAGAUGGGAGGUUGAGAUGAUGAUGUAGGUGGAAUAAUGUUAUAUAUAUAUAUAUAUAUAUAUAUAUAUGCCAAUUUAUAUAAAAAAUUAACUAAUUUUCGCUUUGUAAAAUAGGCCGUCUUUUUCGAUUUGCAGAUUCAGACGCGAAUUUUCAGCAGCCUGAAAAGGGGCCGGGCUUUAUUAUAUAUAUAUAUUUAUAUUAUUAUAUAUAUUAAUAAUAUAUUAAUAUAUUAUAUAUAUAUAUAUAUAUAUAUAUUUAAUUAUAGAGUGGAGACUGCUACUCAAAGCCAUCGGUGGCUUGCUGUAGAGUUUUUAGGCCCUUGGCUGGGAGCAGCGGAGUUGAGGAUGAUGAGUAGGUAGUGAAAUAUAUUAAUAAUAUAUUAUAGAUUAUGCAUUUAUAUAAAAUUCAAUAAUUUUUCGGGUUUUGGAAUAAAUAGCGUCUUUUUUCGAUAUUUGCAGAUUCGAACGAAGAUUUUCCGUUGACCAAGAGGUGCAUUUAAGAUUCGUCAGGACUGUACGUUAGGAUAUACAUAUCUCACCGAAUACAAAAGAGGCAGAUGUAGAUGAUGGCAUUUUGGUUAGACGGUUGAAAAUCCGGUCCAAUCUGUAAAAUCGAAAAAGAUGAUCCACUUUUGCAAAAGCGCAAAACUAGUAAAUUCUUUAUACAAAUUAGCAUAUAUAUAUAUAUAUAUAUAUAUAUAUAUAUAUUACUUUUUAUAAUAAAAUCUCUACCGGAACAGCUUUUUUUUUUAAGAAAAAAAAAAAAUUGCGGCGUCCUAGACUGAAAAAACAGUCAAUGGAGCUUUUUUUUUAUUUUUUAUUCUGAAGAACAUUACGGGGGUGACAGAGUCAAAAAGCCUGGGUGCACAAUCCCUUUUUUAGUCCUCCUGCAAACACAAGGGCAAUAUGCCAAUGUCCAAUGAGUGAGCGAGAAAGUGUGGGCACGAGAGAGAGAGAGAGAGAGAGAGAGAGAGAUUGAGAGAGAGCAGGUGUUUUUCGUUUGUUUCACUAUAAAAGUGUAUUUGAUUUCAGUAAAAUUAUAAAAAAAUAAAAAAUAAAAAAAUUUAGUUAAAAAAAAUUUGGGUAGAAAAAUAGUUUUAUGUCGCUAGUGUGAGGAGUGGGUGAUUGGUCCACAUUUGGACCACUCAUGUGGUCCACAAAAACCAGGCUUUCUCGUGGACCGCAUUUUUUUUGAGCGGGGCGCGUUUUGGGAGCAAGUUUUCGUUUUCUGCCAGUGGUGGGCGAAAUUCAAAAAGUUGGUUUUUUUCGAGAAUUUGUACAAAAAAAUUGUUGGGAAAGUAAUUUUCGAUAAAUAUUGAGUAAUCAAAUAAGGGAAAACCACUUUUCAAGCAAAUUUUUUUUUUCCAAAUAGUUUUACAGGCAUUCAAAUACACCCUAAGUGGAGAGAAGGAAAGUAAUUUUCGAUAAAUAUUGAUUAUUUUCGCUAUUUGAUUUACCGUAAUGUUAGUACGGUCGAAAGUUCAGGUCAUCCAAAAUAUCAAAAUUUUCGUCGCUCUCGCAUGGGACGAAGUCUAUUCCGCUAGAGUGGAGAAAGGGGAAACAAACACAGUGGAGAACUUAAUUAUAGUGACUUGUUUAGUAUUAUUUUGUGAGAUAGAGAAGGGUAGCACGCUACUUGUUUCAUUCAGUAAGUAAAUGAAUUUAGCUAUAUUGAGUAAAGCAGCUAGGGCCUCAAGAAGACAGAGAGUCAGCACAAAAAAGAAGAAAAAAGAACAAAAAAGAAGAAAACAAAAAAGUCGAGCAGAGUAAAAACAAAAAAAAAAAAGCAUAAAAAACGAAGGGCGUAACAAACGCUGCCCUCACCCAGUUCUACAAAAAUCAGCUCACUUUUUCGCCAGUACUCUAAUACGGUGGGCAGUAGAAAUAGCGUUCAUAUAUAGGUUCUGAAAAAUAGCGUUUUUUCUUUCGUACCAGAUCAUCAACCUGUGACCCUUUCCCUGACAACUCCUCCCAGAUGAUGUUGACGUCCUCAAUGUAGGGGAAGAUGUGGGGGUCGUCGAGAAGCGAAAUCAAGAAGAACUUGCUAACAACACAGUCCACCAGCAAGUGAUCUACUGUCUCUAGAUCAACGGCGCACAGGACACACCUGUUAUUUCCUGACCAUUCCCUUUUGAUAAGAUUAUCCGUAGUUGGUAGUCUUUUUUUUAAGGCUAACCAAAGAAAAAUUUUAACUUUUAUUGGAAUUUUCAGUUUCUAGAUGGCAGGAGUCGCGACAUCUUUGACACCCCCAAUCCUGAUGAGCGAGUACACUGAUUUGACCGUAUAUUUAUUGCCAGAGUUCUAUCUCGAGUGGAUGCCAUUAGGUUGAUCAUUAACUCGAAAGUUAGUGAGAGUGCUCUUCAGCUCCCUAAUACUCCAUCUACUGAGUUGUGUGUUUCUUCUCACUCUCAAAAUCUUUCUCCACCUCCAUCUGGAGGCAGAGAAACAAUCACUCCCUCGCACUUAUUUAAGGUCAAUGCGAGAAUAAAUAUCUAGAAAGUAUGACUUAAGGGGUGCGUCACCACACCAUCUAUCGUUUCAGAAAUCAAUGAGUAGUCCUUCUUCCAGCCCGUAACUCAAGUCUAUUUUGAAAACUUCCUUCAAUUCUAACAUGUUCUUCCACCAUUGCGAGACUGGUCAAAAAGAUUCUACUAUGAAACAGUGGUCGCCUUCUGUUAUAAUAUAAGCCCUUAAUCAACUUAGUCCAUUAUAGUCCCUAUCAGUAAAAAAAUGCCACCACCAUUUAGUUACCAGUGCAUCGUUUAUGGUGGCCAAAUCCUUAACGCUUAAGCCUCUUUCAUUCCAACUAAUGCACACGUUUUUCCAAACAACCAAAUGGACAACCCCUUUAUAGCUCGCCCGUCCGUUCCAAAAAAAAUUCUUGCAUAACGUCUCCACACGUUUUAAAACCCAUUUUGGUGUUUUAAAAUUAGAGAAAAAAUGCAACGACAGGUUAGAAAGAACUAAAUUAACCAAUGUUAAUAUGUCACCUCUCGAAAGAAGUUUAGCCUGCCAACUGUCAAUCCUUCUCUAGAAAUUUUUAAUGACACUUACCCAAUCUUCUUUUUUAAGCUUCCUAAACAUCAAAGGUAGACCCAAGUAUCCAGUAGGUAAUUUCCCAAGUAUCUAGUGACUUGUUUUGAAUUACUCUUUCUUUAAUUAUAUUUCAUCCAAAUAUAUUUAAUUAUGAUUGUUCUUAAUUUUUUAUUUAGAUUGUAUAUUUAAAAUAUGAUGAAGUUUGAUUACUUAAGUUUCAAUAUAUCUUUUAUUUAAUUUUCACAUUUAAAAUACGAUGAAAACUAAGUUGUUAAAUGAUAACAAUUCUUUAACUUAAGAGUUUUAUUUAUUGCAUUAUUAUAAUUUAUAUACAAAAAAUUAAUAUAAUUAUUUUUAAUUUUAUUUUUAUAUGUAUAGAAAUAUAAUUAUAUUAUUUUUUAUUUAUUUUUUUAUAAUUUAUAAUUUAUUAAAUUAUAAAAUAGAUAAUAAUAUCAUGUAGGAGAUAAGUUUAUGAAGGGUACGAGAAUUAAAUAAUUUUCGGUAAAACAAACAGAAAAAACGGAGAACUGUACUUUUUACGUUAUUCACUUUCUGCCAAACAAAGAGUAGAAUUGGCAGAAUUUCAAUUUCACAACUAUACAAACAAGCAGCAAAAGUGAAGUAAUUUUUCACCUGAGCUCUAAUUCAACCUAAAGUUCACUUCACUUGAACUGUACUUAUGUUGGAACUACACCCAAUGGAAUUCGACGAGGUCGGCACGGCGGAGGUCGAAGUUGGGAGUCCAAGCCGUGCCGACGAAACCCGCCGUCCCCUGAAACGGAUUCGCGUGAGCAGGUCGCGUAGGCCCGACAAAAGUCGAGCUCCACAAUUCUGUCCAAACACCUGUAGCUGUAGCAUUGGUUACAAAAACUCGGCCACUUCAACUCCGGCUUCGAUCAAAACAGAUCCACCAAAAGAGAGAGAGAGAGAGAGAGAGAGAGUUUAGCAAGGAGAGUAGAGUGUGGAAGAGACGGAGAAUGUCUUAUGUGGCUGAAAUUAUUGAUUAAUCCAACUAAGAGAAAGGGAUUGAACAUGGCAUCUGAAAAAAAAAAAAAAAAGAAAAAAAAAAAAGUAGUGUCCUACAGUAAAUCCAUUGAAUUUGCCCCCAUGCCAACAGGCAUAGCACAGAGAUUGUCUCUAUAUGGCUAAAUUAUUGAUUAGUCCUAUUAAGAGAGAUUAGGAUCAAACAAGCACCUAGUAAGAAUUCGACACUUGCUCCGAUACAAGUAGGUGUAUCUAGCAAAGGGCACAAUAAAAUAAAAACUGGUUAAACAUUUUUUUUUUUUUUUGAGAGAGAGAUAUGUAGCAUGCUAUUCGUUUCGUUUAUUUCAUUUAGAAAUAAACUUAGCUGAAAAUAUGAAUCAAUUAGGAUUCGAACUUGAAACUUCAGAUACCAACCAUUAAGCCCUUUGCCACUUGUGCUAGGGCCUGUCAGUAAAACUAGUUAAGCAUGUUACCACCAUAAAAUAGUGUUAAUUACCUUACUUGUAUGAAAAAGAUUAAAUCUUUAUUGAGAUGUAAACUUUUAUUGAAAAUGUACGACUGGAUUCAUAAUUGAAAUUUGGAAUUGAAGUUAAAGCCUACUUAAGUAAAAUUCAGUGAAUGAAAAAAAUUAAUUUAAAUUAAAAAGGUUCAAUUAUAAAAAAAAUUUCUGUUAAUACCUGCUUUUUUUUUUUUUUUUUCCUGUCAUUCAAAAACCUUCACUUUGCCCCCUUAAAAAAUUAAAAAUGUUCACUUUGACCCCCGCCGUCAAUGUUCUGUUAGAGUUCUAUUUAUAUCCCAUUUUUAACACCAAAAUUAUUCCUGAAACCCGCUUUCUUCCUCAUCCUUGGCUGCGCCGCCUCGCCCACUGCCGCGGUGCCGCCUCGCCCACCUCUCUAUCCAUACCCCCACACACACGCCCACGUCCGCCUCUGCCGCCUCACCCUCGUCCUCGCCCAUCUCUCCAUCCACGCCACCGUGAAAAAAAUGAGGGACAAUUUGAUCAUUUUAUCACAGCAUAUUUCCCUGUGAACAUUUUUUAUUUUUUAACGGAUAAAGUACAAAUUUUUAAAUGAUAGGAGGCUAAAGUGAAAAAGUAGGUAUUGAUAGGGAGAUUUUCUGUAAUUUGAAUAAAUAGCUUGAAUUCAUAAUUUGAAUAAAUUAUUAAAAAUUGAAGUUCAAGUUGACACUUAAUUUUGCAAACAAACUUAGAUUUACGUCCAAAUAUGAACUUAAAAACUUAAUUCUUGAAUUCAAAUUAACAUUUUCAGCGUACACUUAAAAUUUAAACUUAAAUUUAAAUUUCUAGAGUUCACAAUUAAAGCUAAAAACAUAAAAUUGAAAUUACAAAAAGUUGAAAAUAAAAAUUUAAAAUAGAAAUAAGAAAUCAAAACUAACACCAAACCACCUUACUCCCAACAAACUCAACCUUUACAUGAACUUUUUGCUUUUGAUAACCAUUUCACGUUUCAACCAGCAGGUUGCAAUUUUUUUUUUUUUUUUUUUUUUUAAGUGAGACCUAAAAAAUUUGGAAUGGUUUUUAAAUUCAGUCAUAAGAUUGUACCAAAAUGCUAGACUUUUUUAAACAAUUGAUGUCAACAUUUUAGUUGGUAAUGUAAAUUACAAAUCUAAAUUCAAAAUCCAUAUUUAAAUUAAAAUUUUUUUUUUAAUUUAAAGCAGAAAUAUUUGAAUUUAUGUAAGAUAUAUAUCUAUUUGAGCAUGCUGAGUGAUAUUGGAAAGGCUAAAUAUAUGAAGUAAAUUUGUUUAUUAUUAGCGCACUACAUAGGAGCACUGCUCUAAACAUAUCUAUUGUAUUCCACUGAAUUUGCCUCUUUGUACUGGUGUAAUAUAGAACUUGUCACGCAGGAAUGAAACUCCUGUCUCUCAAUAUCAACGUUUUAUGAUUUUUUUUUUUUUUUUUUGAGAGAUAGGUAGCAUGUUACCCGUUUUGUUUAUUUCAUUUAAAAAUAAAUUUAGCUGAAAAUGUGAAUCAAGUAGGAUUCGAACUUCGGAGCUCAGAUACCAACCAGCAAUCCUUUUGCCACUUGUACUAGGGACGGUCGGUCCUACCAAAUGAAAUUCAAUAUGUAAUCCUAUCUUUACACUAGAACUUCGAAACGUUUUGAAAUCAUACUUUUAAACUAGCCAUUAGUUGCACGCUUGCGGAGGGAGCUGAGCCUAAAAAAGACACAGUUUAUGGCUGCAGGAGUUAUGUACUCCACAAGGGACUCUAGAGAUGUAACAACCUAGUUUCUAAUCUAUGUUAUGAUGGUAAAAUAUCUCAGUGUGAAGCUAUAUAUUGUGGGUUUGAUCCGAAUUGUGCUCGGAAUAACAUAGAAUUUAUGACCUUUCCGUCCUUAGAUAUGUUUGGCGAGAGUUCAGAAGUUGAUUAGAUUUGUCCCAAAAAAUAAAAAUAAAAAUAAAAGACGAAACACUGGGCCCAAUUUCAGUAAAAGCCCAUUAAGGUCCAGGUCAAAGAUAAUGGGCCGGAUUUAGUACACGUAAUUUGAGCAGAGGCUCAGAUCCGACCCAAAAAAAAUUUAAGUAAUGGCCGAGCACGAACUCUUCUUAUUGUUCUUCUUCUUUUUUGUAGUUGUAAAAUAUAAAUGGUCCUACAAAGGCAAAAUAUAAAAAAGUGUGCACAUUGCCCGAAUUUUGGCGCAUUUUGAAUUUUGGCAUCUAAACUUUUUGAAUUUUCCGCUGUUUGACAGUAUAGUUUAUAAAUCUUUUGAUAGAAAGUAAUAAAUUUUAGUAGAAUUUGACAAAGUUUUUUGAAAUAUAUUUAGAUCUCAAAAGAAAUAUAAGAUUAAAAAGCUAAAAUUUAAAAUUUUUAAAUUUCGGGCAUUCAUUUCAAAAUAUACUAUAGUUUAGGUAACGGCUAAGAAUGGUCUUAUUUGCUCACACUUAACAAAUUUCACACUUUACAACAAAUUAGAGCCCUAAGUGUUCUUUGUUUAGCAUUAACAAGGACCUAAUUAAUUAAAAUUAACCAACCACUCCAACCUCAUCUAAAACACAAUAUCCUUAAUAUUAAAAAGAGAUUCUCCUUAUAUCAUAUUUCCUAAUCCAAGUUGCUUGACCUCUUUCCGCCGAAUCGUUGAAGUUAAUCGUUUAUUAAUGUUAAACUAUGGUUGAUCUUUUUCUUCUUUGGGUCUAGAUAGAUUCAUUGAGAAUAUGAUAAGAGGAUGCAUAAUUCAAAAAGAGUAAAGAAAAAAAAAAGAAAAAAGAAAGAAUCCAUGAACAAAUAAAGGCAAGCAUGCAUGGAAAAAAAAAUGAAGAGCAAAAGUCUCUAGCUAUAUUCUACCUAGUGAUGGCUUAAGAGUCAAAUGGUUAGGUCAUAGGAAGGUAAGUUCCACCUAAUUAUAAAACCAAUUAGCAAAUGUAGGAAUAAGAUAGAGCUUAAUUGUUGUUUUAGGAGCUCAUUAAACACUAUAUAGGUAUAUUGGAACUCAUUUGAAAAGUUAAUUUGGAAGCUUACAUUAAUUGUAUAAUUGCAUGUUAAUUUGUUAUCUAAAACAAAAUGGCUUUCUUUUUCUUAAAAGAAAGGGAAAAAAUGAUCUAUGUUCUCAUUUGAUAAUUAAGUAUGCAAUUUGUCUAGAUUUGGUGCCUUUUAUAUGAAACAAUGGAUAUUGGAUUUUCACUUUUUAUAAUAUCUUUUCGCAAGCCAUACAACACCAAAUCAAACCCAUGUUUAACGAAGCAGCGACAUUUGAGAAAGUUUUGUUUAAAUGAUACCAUUAGAGAAGUAUUAAAUUAAACAUUCUUAAUAGUUUUCUUUUAAGGCAAAAUGAACAUCACUACAUUAUUUAAUGCCUACGCUACGACUUUUGUGGCUCACAAGCACUUUACAUAUUUCUCCUAGCCAAGUGCGCUACUGAAUGAACUUGAUAGCGAAAAAUAAAAGUGAGGCCACGCAAAUCCUAGUGCAUUUGUUUAUUAAGACAAUCUAAAACAUUUGAUAUACGUCGAAACAAGUGACAACGCACAAGUUGAAGUAAUUAACGAUCCUAAUGGAAACGAAAGUGCAACAAAUAGCUUUUAAAAACGUAUAUAUAGUGAUCUCUAAUUUGCUUUUUGUAUGACUAAAGUUAAAGGUGUUCACAUGUUCCAGGUUUAAGCCACAUAUAUAGAACAGUACAUAAGUACUAAGUAUAAAAUUGAUACAUUAUUAGGCUUAAAAGCAUAUCUAGACUAAGUCAUUCUUUUGACUUCUCACUUGAUGUACCUAAAAUGAACUGAUCAGUGUGUAGGGAUCAUAAGAUUGAGGUGAUAUUCUAACUAAUCACACCAUUAAUCACCACAUCGACGACUAAUAUACAAAUAAAAUAGGAGGUUAAUGGCUUGGAUUGUGCCGUUUUGGUACGCAUGGCAAAGCACUCUCUUUAACAAAAGCAACGAUUCACGACGCAAACUGAUAAACAUUACUAAGAAAGACUCAAAAUUAGUGCAAGAUAUAUGAAUUUGUAUAACUUGAAAAAAAUAUAGCAUAUUAUCAAACAGAUUAUCCACUUGAGCAUUUACCACAAAAUAUAAAGAUUUCGACGCAAUUUCUAAAUUGCAUUUACGUGAGUAGUACUUAGAGUCCAACUUGCGCUCCAUAUCGUGAUCCCAUGAUUCUUUGUUCUUGAAAUAAAAUAAAUCUAAAAAUAAUAAUAAUAAUAAUAAACAAAACCACAUUAAUUGUUCUAUCCAUUUUGUUUAUUCAUGUGUUUUAUGCGUGCAGUUUCAUGCGUAGAAUCUAAAACGUACUACAGAUUAAUUAUUUCUCCUUAAUUAUUUAUUAUUGACAAUAGUUUAGAGUGCGCGCCUAAGAUGCGAUCAUCAUAAUCUAAGUGACACAUCAUGGUAGUACACAAGGCACGUACACCACAUCCCAAUCAUAUUAAUUAGAAGGUUUGACCCUCAAAAUAAGGAAGAACAUGACAUAGUUAACAUCCUCCUAUGCUUGUUCCUUCUUAGAUUAGGAAGGAGAAAAAUCUAAGGAACUCGACCAAUAGGAAAUAGACAAGUGCCGAAAAGCGAAAAUAAAAUAACCAAAAAAGAAAUCCACAAGUUGAAAUAUUUUAAAUAGGCAAUUACCAGGUGUAUCUUACCUCGCGACGCCACGUGGAUAGUUUCGAUGGUACUAGAACUAAUGCCCAAGGGAAAAAACCAUUAAUGUAAUAAGAAUAAAAAUAAUGAUGCGCGCGUUUCAUAAUGGUACCAUAUACAGUUGAUAAGUUAAUUUUAUAUAUCUUUGAUAACUUAGUUUUAUAUACCUUUUCGCCUAGUUAUAUAUAUAUAUAUAUAUAUAUAUAUAUAUAUAUAUAUAGAGAGAGAGAGAGAGAGAGAGAGAGUUGGACUGUGCUAUUAUUAGUAGCAAAAUUUCAUUGUUGCUACCAGUUUUUUAGCCUUUGGAUCAACUCUUUUUAUUAUUUCUAACCAUUGGAUUAAAUACUAUAACCGAGUGGGGACCACUCAACCCUAGGGGAACCACUCAACUCUAACCGACUAAUAUCAUCCUGAUACUACAAUUUUUUAUCCAAGGGUUAAAAACUUGAUAGCAAAAAGUGUGUUUUACUAUUAAUAAUAUUCCGGCCUAAUUCUCUCUCUCUCUCUCUCUCUCUCUAUAUAUAUAUAUAUACUAAGUUGAGCUGAAAUACUAUAAAUAACAAACGGAUUUCGUUGCUAUCCAUUAAUUUUCGAUGAUAAAGUCUCCAAAUCGAUGAUCAGCACCGUCGAACAUGAUUUAUACUAUUUGAAAUAUCUUGAAAUCAAAUUUUAAAUCUUUCGACAUUAUUGACGUAAUAAUCAAAAGGAUACAAAAAAAUAUAAUUUUAAUAGUCAAUAUGAUGCAUUUUCUAAUUUAAUGGUGUAGAGAUAUCCAAAUUAAUUAAAUUUUAGUUAGAAAAUUUUUUAAACUAUUUAAACUAAGAUCUAUACUUUUGAUCUUGAUUACAAAAUUCCUAUCAUAAAUUUUUAAAGAAUAUUUAUUUUUAACUGUUCAUUUUUGUGUCGAUUUAAUAUCGAAAAAAUAUGAAAUUUAGUUUCUAGAUGCUUCGAGUAGUAUAGAUCAUAUUCAACGUUAUCGAUCGUCGAUUUGAAAGCUACAUCAUCAAAAAAAAUGAAUAACAAAAUUAAAGUCUGUUUGGUACUAAUAGCAUUCCAGCUUAUUUUACGUAUAAAGAAGGCCACUUCAUUUUUGGGCACUUUUUUGAGUUGCCCAUAGUAAACAAAUAAUAAAUGGGAGAUGAGUGAAUUUUAAAAAAAGGUAACACUUGCCCACUAAUGAUUGGCCACUUAAUUAAAAUUAGAAAAUCUAUUGACCUUCCUCUAUCUAUGGGACACGUGAGGGUUUACAAUGCUUUCCAAAAUUAGUAGCGUGGAAAGCAAAAACAUGUAAAAAAAAACUAAAAAUAGUACUAAUAAGUAUACACAAUUACGUGGUAGGAGAGAAUAUGAGAUUUAAUUAUGACUUUGUUGUUCCACAAAUGAUGACUCAGGUGAAGCAAUGCGUGAGGGGUGACAUUCGCAUGGAUUGAAUAAUCAAGGAUGUGUUUACUCUGAUUAACUUAUGCUUAGAUCACAUUUAUUAUUAAUUUCGCUUCGUAGAUCUAAGAAUCUUUCUAUUAGAAGAUAGUAGAAAGACAAAGACAGGCGGAUCUGAAGGCACCGAAUACUGAACUUAAUUUUUAAAACUAAGAACGCUUAAAAUUGAGUCUGAUAUCGUAUUAUGUAUAAGAUCAAUCAUUAGGAAGCGUAUAGUCAAAGUUUAUGUAUAUUUUUGACUUAACAUCUGCGUGUGAUCACUGAUCGAUUGAUUCUCUCCAAAAAUGUUUUUGAAUACGACAUUUGGCAAAUUAGUAAAAAAUUAAAAUGAAAUUUUAGGUUCAAACAACAUUAUUCUUGCUUUUCAAGAUAGAGUUACUUUAGCAAUACAUUUACGAAAGCUCGAUCUAGGAGGUCAAAUUAAUAAAACUUCCGGAAAAAUCAAAUUUUCCUGCGCAAAAGUUAGAGAUAUGAGAUUUGAAUUAGACUUUUUUUAUGCCAAAAAAAAAAACCACUUAAUUUUAAUGUCUUUUCAUGCGAAAACUUCGUACCAAUUUUUGGCCAAAAUUAGGUGAAUGUAUAGUACAUUGGUAGGUACAAUCAAAAUCGAAAUAAUACGAACGAAUCAUUGUAAUAGUAACUAGUUGUAGGCCAAGGGCUUCUAAGAAAAGCGCUUUCCAUUUUUUAAAAAAAAAUUAUUUUUAUUAAGUAUUCUUUUUAGAGAUAGGUAGCACGCUAUCCGCUUCGUUUAUUUUAUUAAAAAAUAAACUUAGUUGGAAAUGUGAAUCAACUAGAAUUCAAACUUGGGUCUCGGAUACCAACCACCAAGCCUUUUGCCACUUGCUCUGAGGACAAGUAGUUUUUUUUUAUUAAGUAUUACGAUUAUAAUUAGUAGUGCUCGUUAAACUUCACUUUCCUAAUGGAGGAACAAUCUAGUACAUGGUCAUACUACACUCGAUGAACGAGUGGAUCGAAAAGCACUUUUAAAUUCGAAGAGAAGUGCUUUUAAAAACUAAUCACACGGAACGUGAGAUGUUAUUAAAGAUGUUAUUAAAGUGAUAUUAAGAACUGCGGCCAAUGUAAGCGUUACACCUCGCCAUGAUCCCUAUAUGCUAUAGUGGCAACCUCUCUCUCUCUCUCUCUCUCUCUCUCUCUCUCUCUCUCUCUCUAUAUAUAUAUAUAUAUAUAUAUGUGUGUGUGUGUGUGUGUGUGUGUGUGUGUCAUUUUUCUAUUAUAUUAAAUAAAUAAAAUAAUGUGUCUUACUGAGACUCGAUAACUACAGCAUUAAAUAGUUAUAAAGUUUAAUGAGUAUAUAUAAUUGAGCAAUGCUUCAAUACUCCGUUGUAAUCUUAGCCGUUUAUUUUUAAUCAAUGAAGGAUUAAGAUUUAUGCAUAAAAAAAGAUGACCUGCUAUUGCACAAGAAGUACCGGUCACCAGGUAUGUGAUUUAGGAGUGUUUUUGGAAAAAAAAGAGCUAAUAUUAAAAAAUUAAAUAACUAAUAUUGGAAAGUUUUGCAUACUACCCUUAAAUCAUGGAGAGAAUAAAUUUUUAAUUAAAUUAUCCAUUUUUAAAGCCGAUUUUAAUAAUAAUUUAUGAUCGCAUUUGAGUCAUAAAUUUAGUAAUUUAUAAUUUAAAAUUAAUUUUCAAACAUCGAAACUUUAUGUUUAAAUAGUUAACAAAAUUUUUUUUUAAGUAUAAUAUAAAUUAAAUCUAAAUUUAUAAUUUAAAUUUGAUCAAUAUUUUUGAAAUUUAAUGUUGUUUUUCAAUAUUGAAUUAACAAUUUCAACUUACUUUAAAAUGUAGAAAUCUUUUAUUUAAAUAAAUAAUAAAAGUUUAUAAAUACACUAUAACUUAAAUUACAAUUUUAAAGAUAGUAACAUUAAUUUUUGAACUUUCAUGUUAGUUUAAUAUUGAAUUGAUAAUUUGAAUUGAAAUGUUUACUCGUUUAAAUAUAAAUUUUUCUUUCUAAAAUUUAAAUUUAAUUUAUACAAUUAUAAAUACAAAGUUUAAACUCAAGUUAAAUUUUGAAUUCGAAUUUAUGAAGAUUUAUCACUUAUGAAAUUAGCCAUUAUCUAAGUUGGUAAGUAACAAAAUUAAAUUAGGAAAUGAAGAUUUGUUGGAUAUUAUCAAAUUUGGUAAUUAGCUAAUGCAUACUUUCAAAUAUUAUCUUUAUGAUUGAUUGGUAACCUGUCCAGCAGGUUACCAUUGUGUAAAAGUCAAUCUUAACCUCAAAAAUUGAAUGGUCGGAUUUAAAUUGGCCGGUGUAUGAAAGUAUUUCUCUAUAUAAUUAAUGAAAAAUUUUUGUUUCAGUAGCAAAUAAUAUUCUCUUUUUUUUUAACUUUACAAUUAAUUAGCAGUUAAUUAGAAUUGAACGAACAACCUCUAGGAGUCUUCGCAUAAUAAAAAUAUUUGAAAUUAUAAAUAAAUCGCAAAAGAAAAAUUAUGAAUUUGAAGUUUCUGGCCGCCAAUUAUGAAUUAUUGAGAAAUAACUUUUUGUUUUAUUUCUUUUUAUUCUACACUUGAUUAAGCUUUUUAAAAUUAGUGUUUUGAUUAUUGGCUUAAUUUGGUAGGAAACUUUUCCAAUAAGUUGUCGGUGUUUGAAUUAAUUAAGUCCAAACUUUUAAUAAGAAUAACCACAUAAAUUAGGAGCCCGAGGGACCUACAAAGGAUCAAAAAGGAGACAAAUUGCACUGCCACGAAUCAAGAUGUGACUAGCUCGGAGUCCGACUUCGUCAACGCGGAGUUGGCUUGACUCUUUUCAAAUAUUAGAGCAUUUUUCAGGAGUUAAAUAUUUUUUUAUUUAAAUUUUAAUGCACCAUUAGUGAAAAUCAAUGGCCUCAAACACACUACGAAAAAAAAAGUUAUCAUUUUUUUUUUUUUUUGGAAAAAAAGUUAUCAUUCAAAAACAAAAUGCAGUGUUGGAGUUAAAAUUGCUAGCGAUAUAUAUAUAUAUAUAUGUAUAUAUAUACAUGUAUAGAGCUAGGCGGGUAUACUAUCGGUAGCACGGAGGCCUCUAUGCUACCGAGUUGUUCUCAAUGAUGCGGCUUCCAAAUCGACGAUCGGCUCCGUUAGACUUGAUUUACACUAUUAAAAGUAUUUGGAAACUAAAUUUCAUAAUUUUUCGACAUCAUUUAUGAGUAUUGGCUUUCUCAUACUCUUAAGUUUUCGGCCAUUGGAUUUAUUUCAUUGAUCAUUUUUAUCAGUUAGAUCAUACUAUUCAACCAACUACCCACUCAACCCUAAUGGACCACUAUCAUUAUAAGUCGGAACCACCAUCAUUCUAACCACACAUCCCAUCAAUCAACGGUUAAAAAUUUAUGAGUACAAGAGGAUCUAUACUCAUAAGAAUAUAGUAGCCCCAGCCUAUAUAUAUAUAUAUAUAUAUAUAUAUAUAAAAGAGAGAGAGAGAGAGAAAACUUGACUUCUAUAUUUUCGAAAGUGCGGAUGCCUCCGCACUUAUAAGUUGUUUUUGAUGAUAAGACAUUCGAUUUGACGAUUGGUUCCGUUAAAUAUAAUCUAUGUUAUUGGAACCGUAUAAAAACCAAAUUUCAUAAUUUUUUGACAUCAUUUACCAAUUGAUCACAGGGUCUCAAAAAUGACUAUUUUAACGGCGACAUAGCAUGUUUUUAAGUUCAAUUGUGUAGAAGUAUCUAAAUUCCAUGAAACUUUAAAUUCUACUAACAUCAAGAAUAAGAACAACACUUCCAAUUUAAAAUUUGAGUCUUUUAUCGCUAUUUUUAUGAGAUUUUUAUUUUCAACCGUUUAUUUUGAGACUAUUCGUUUACUUGGCAAAUAAAGUUCAAAAAUUAUGAAAUUUGUUUUCUAGAUAGUUCCAAUAGUAUAGAUCAUGUUUAACGAAGCCGAUUCCCAAAUCAAAUGUCUCACCAUCGAAAACAACUUACGAACUCGAAGCCUCCGUACUUUCGAAAAUAUAGAAGACAUAUAUAUAUAUAUAUAUAUAAUAUUAGAGAGAGACGGAGAGGAGAGAGAGAGAGAGAGAGAGACGAGAGAGAGAGAGAGAGAGAGAGAGAGAGAGAGAGAGAGAGGUUGAGCUAUGAUACUUUUACAAGUAUCACCAUCAUGGUGCUAUUAGGUUUAAGCCAUUGGAUCUACUUUUUGAUUAUUAAUAGCCUUUGGAAUUAAACACAUAUUCCACCUACCAUCACCUACCACCAUCAUCUCAACCUCACAUCUCUCCAUCCAAGGGCUAAAAACACACAAGUAUCACCCCCAUGAUACUUUUACAAGUAUUCUAGCCCUACUCUAUAUAUAUAUAUAUAUAUAUAUAUAUAUAUAUGGUCCACUAAUUAAAGUGGACUCUUCUAAUUUUUCUUAUUUUCAUGACGCAUAUAUAAUAAGUUAAAAUUUUACAUUAUAUUUAAUAGGUUAAUUUAUUAUACUUUUUAUAUUUACUGUGUAGGUGAAUGAGAGUACUAAAUAUAUUCAAAUUCUGAGCUGUAAUAUGAUAUUUUUAACAAAAUUAUUGCUCAUUAGAAAUUUGGCAAGAUAUUUUUUCCAAAGAAAGUAUUGCUCAUUAAAAAAUUGACACUUUUCGCUUUUACGUUCCACGUCGAUUGUUGAAAACUAGGGCUCCCCACAUUUUUACAAUUCCGUGUACACUUUGGAGCACAAAUGAAUCCAUCUUAGCAUUAUUAUCACUAUUUUUAUUAACAUUUAUAUUAUUUUUUUUAGAAGCAUCAUAUCACAAGGUCGUCUUAAUCUAUGCCCCAGCUAACCAAGAGCUGUAACCACAUUUCAAGUAAAAAGAAAAAUUAAGGAGAGAUGUAACCAUCGACAGCUAAACAAGUUAUAAAUUUCACGCAAAGUAUAUAAAGAAGAUUAAAAAAAACAAAGAAACAAAAUAGAAACACCAUAUAUGUAAGGGGAGAGAAAAAAUAAAUAGAAACAUAUCAUCACUUUAUGUUUCCUAAAUUUUUAAAACAACAAAUUUACCCCUUUAUUUUUCAGAUGUUGUUUGUUUAAUCCUCUGUGAUUGAUUAGUCCUCGGAUCGGAUUAAUUUUUGCUGGAGAUAAAAACUUGGGCUGUAGAAAAGUUAAGUACAAGGACAAGGAUAGUUUUGAUAAAUUUAUAGAGUAGAGGCUACUAUACUUUUAUAAGUGUAGAGCUUUUUGUACUUAUAAAUUAUUUGUAAUUAUGUGGUUUCCGAAUCAACGAUUCAUGCUGUUAAAUAUGAUUUAAAGUAUUUAAAAUUUUUAAAAAUUAAAUUUUGUAAUUUUUUAAAAUUAUAAUAAAAUUCAUCAAACCAGCAUAAAAUGAAUAGUCAAAAUUGUACGACAUCCUAAAAAUGGAUGAUUAAAUUCUUUAAUUUAAGAUCGGAGUUAUUGAACUUUAUUUAGAUAGUGAAUAGAAUUUUUUAUUAAAAAUUCAAUAAAUUUUGAUUCUUUUAUAUUGUUAAACUAGCUAAUAUCCUUAUCUUUUGACUAUAAGAUAAAUGAUGUCAAAAAAUUAUAAAAUUUGAUUUCUAAAAAUUUUAAAUAUUUUAAAUUAUGUUUAAUAGUAUGGAUGGUUGAUUCAGAAGUUUAAUCAUCAAAAACGAUUUAUAAAUAUUAUUGUGAUCGUACUCAUAAGAGUAUAUUUAUUAAGCGUGUCAAGUAGUCAAGGUGACACGUCACGGUCGGAGUGGUAACCAAGAUUUACAUUUCGAUAAAAAUUUAAACAAAAAUUUAAAUUAUAGGCUAUUUUGAUUUGACUAUCCGACCUUUCCAAUUUUGAUUUUUAGCGCUGAACUAUACAAUUUUUGUAAAUAUAAAUUUUUAAAAAUAAAAAAUUAGUUUAUAUUUUAAAGCUAAAAUACCAUUGACUAAUCAAAAUCAAAUAAAGUGAACAAUUGCAAAGUAAAAUCAAAUUUUGGAAGAUCGAAUAUUCAAUUCAAAAUGAUUUAUAUCUCGGAUAAAUUUUGCACAAAUUUAUCUUAUAUUUAUUAUUAUAGGAGUCCGACUACGAUACUAUUGAUAGCAUCAAACACUUAGUUCUAUCACAUUUUCUGUCGUUAGAUUAACUCCUUUAACCAUUUUUCUCUGUUAGAUCAUAUUAUUCAAUCAACCAACCACUCAACCCCAGGGGACUGCUAUCAUCUUAACUGUAUAUCGCUUCAUCUAAGGGCUAAAACUUUAAUCGCACCAAUGACUUAUGCUGUUAAUAGUUGUUAAUAUAGAUUGUAAUAAUGGAUGUGAGAAAAUAACUUGAAAAAUUAAAAUUGAUAUCAUAUGAAUGGUCGUGUCUCUUUGAUAAAUUACUUACGAAAACGUGCAAGCACACACCCGUGCGCUUACACGCUUUAAGCUCACUACAGGGAAGAUUGGGGGAGCAAUCUUCCCUGCCUAUUCUCCUUGGGGAAAGAUAGACCUUUUCAUUUAAUGCAAAGAGAUAUCUCUUUUAUGAAAGAAUAUGUUUUUUCAUUAUUUUUGAAAUAGCGUGUCCUUUUGUGAAAAAAUAUAAUUUUAAAAAUUAUGUCCUUUCAUCGUAACCAUUCACCUCCUAUGAAUAGGAGAUAUUUGAAAACUUGAAGGAUAACACAAUUAAUCUUUCUUCUUUCUAAUUUUUUUAUAUUGAUUAUUAAGAGAGAAGUUUUUAAGGAAAAGUCUUCAAAAAUGAUGUUUGCAGUCUUUCGACGGUUUUGUUGUAUGCUGAAGGUGAUUUACUGGUAACCCGACAGCAUACAUUCGAGUGGGGACAAAUAUCACCUUAAAAUUAUUGAGGAAUAUGAAUGGAGAUCAAAUAAAUUAUGGUUUUGAGGCGUGUAAGUCAUCUCUUUGAUAAAUUAGUUAUGACAAGAUACGCCUUUUCAUUUGACGCAAAGAGAUAUAUCUUUUUACAAAGAGACGCGUUUCUUUACGAAAAGGUGAACCUUUUAUGAAAAAUUAUGUCUUUUCACUAUUUUUCAAAGGACGUGUCCUUUUGUAAAAAAAUAUAACUUUAAAAGUUAUGUGCUUUUAUCAUAACCAUGUACCUCCUAUAAAUAAGAGAUAUUUGAAGGCUUUAAGGGUACGUAAUACAAUUAAUCUUUCUUUUUCCUAAUUUUUUUAUAUUGAUUCUUAAUAGUAAAAUUCUUAAGAGAAAGUUUUCAAAAGUGUUGUUUGCAGUCUUUCGACGAUCUUGUUAUAUUCUGAAGGUGAUUUGCUGGUAAUCUGACAGCAUACAUUCGAGCGAAAAUAAAUAUUAACUUAAAGAAAAUAAACUUAUAUAUUUUAAGAUCAUGAUUUACUUAAUUUUUAUUCAAUAAACUUAUAUAUUUUAAGAUCAUGAUUUACUUAAUUUUUAUUCAUAUUCUCCAAUAAUAAUAUUUUAGCCUGGUUCUAUUAUAGAUAGACAUACUGAUAGCAUUUUUCGUCCAAAAACCAUGAAAAGGGUGAGGGCCUAAAAACCUACCCUACCCGCGUGGCGGCGUGUGGAGUCGUAAGCAGUGACACAUCACGGUCGGAGGGGUAGUGGACAACACUCGGAAUGUGUUCGAACCAUCUCGAGGCACCAGAGCACAACACGCCCAUCACUGCCACAUAAGUCCACGCCACUUAGCUGGUCAACAACCGUACUACAAGAAAUCAUAUGUUACUGACGUACGAUGCUUAACGCAGUUGGUUGAUAUUUUAAACCAUUAAUUAAUAAUAAUUAAUAAAUCGAAUAUUCAUAAUUGAUAAAAAUUUUGAUAAUUGGUAAUUAAGAUUUUGAGUUCGUAACCGAUCGUUGCUAGCGCAAGUGGCAAAUAACUUAAUGGUGGAUAUUCAAAGUCUCAAAUUUAAAAUCUAGUUGCUUUACAUUUUUCGCUAAAUUUAUUUUUUAAAAAUUAAACAAAAUAGAUAAUAUGCUAUUUUUCUCUCUCAAAGAAAAAGAUUUUAAGCUCAAUGUAUAAUUAUUUCAUAUAUUUUUUGCUAAAUUUAGGUAAAUUGCAAGUUUUGGUUCUCAAAUUAUGUGAGGAGCGACAAUUUAGCCUUUAACUUUUAAUUUACUAUAAUUACAUACUUGAAUUUUAGAAUUAUUGCAAUCAAAAUUCACAAUCCAAUUAGCCAACAUUAAUGAGAAAUGGCGUGGCCGUUUUGUUAUUAAUGAUUCCCCAAUAAUUAAUAUCCUGUAUUAUUUUUAUAUUAGUGAUGCAGUAAUAUUUAAUCAACCAAAUUGAAUUAUAAAAUUUGAUUAUAAUAAUUCAAAAGUCAAAACAAAAAUUAUAGCAAUUUUUAAGAAAUAAAUGAAAUGUAUAACAUACUAUCUUUCUCGAGGGCUUAUGGGCUUGUAUAUUAUUAGUAUCAAUGUGUUUAAUGAAUUAAUAUUUAGUUUUACUUGAUUGCUUUAUUAAAUGAUCUUUCCUGGACUAUAAAGACAUGCCUUAAAUUAAAUUAGAGUACACAAAAGUGUAAGAAUUUAUGGACUGCAGAAUCGUAUUUUGCUCAUUUGUGAUUUAUAAUAUAUAGCACUUUAUUAUCAUGCUUAUUAGUAUUUCUAAAAUAAAAUAAACACUACCCUACUGAUGUUUAUUAUGACUUCUCUUUUUAUGAAUAAAAAUUCUAAUCUCUAGAAAAGUUAGAUUCAUUUAAAAUCAUGUUUUCUCACAUUACACUCACUAAGUUUUCUUUUGCUGUUAUUUUUUCACUGGAAUGAUAAUCACACUAAGACUAAUAUUUUCUCACUAAUCUAAUCAUUUUUUUAUUACUUGAAGUUCUAAAAAAUAUUUUUUAAAUAGAUGAGCAUAAGAUUUAUAAUUUACACAGUGUACAAAUCAUAUUUUUCUAAUUUUUUUUAUGAUAUGAUAUAAAGAGUCCAUCUUAGAUGCUUAUGAUAGCAUAUGAAUAUAUAUGUUAUGGAUUUUUGAACUCUCCAGCUAAAUAAUAAAUUCUAUAUAUUUAUUUAAGGAUUUGAAAGUUAGUAAUAUAUACUAUUUAAAAGUUAGUAAUAUAUUAAGGAUUUGAAAGUUAGUAAUAUAUACUUGAGAAAAUAUACAAAUUAUUUUUUUUCAUAUUAUAAUACUAUAUUUUAUAUAAUUAUUUUGUAUUUUGAACUACUAGACAUAUUUUUGUAUCAAAUUAUAAAUAAUGUUCUAUACAAAUUAAACUAUUGAUCGUAUGGUGUUGAGAAUUUCAAACGGCUCGUUUAGGNCUUUCUCUUUUUCUGUUUCUCACCCUAAGUGGCCAAGCCAGAAGCUCUCCAAGUUACCAACUAACAGCAUAUGCCCGCCGUUGACUACCUUGCUAUUAAUUGUAUGCUUGAGAAAAUAUACAGAAUAUUUUUAAAGUAAAAAAUUAUUAUUCAUAUAAAAUUUUAAUUUUAGUUAUAUAUGAUUGGAUAGUUUAAUCCAAUAUUUAUCUAUAUAAUUUAUUUAUUUUUGACUGCAUAAAUGAAAAUAAAUAAUAUGGAGAUUGAAGGCGGAAAAAAAAAACAUGUCAUGCUGAAAAGAUUAGAUAUUCAACUCAUAAAUUUUUUUUCUUCAUAUUAUAAUACUAUAUUUUAUAUAAUUAUUUUGUACUUUGAACUACUAGACAUAUUUUUGUAUCAAAUUAUAGAUAAUGCUCUAUACAAAUUAAACUAUUGAUCUUAUGGUGUUGAGAAUUUCAAACGGCUCGUUUAGGACUCGAGCUCGCUUGACUCGAAAUUAGGCUCGCUAAUUUCAAUUCAAGCUUGAGCUUAAAUUUAGACUCGAAAUUAAUUUUAAACCGAAUUUGAGCCGAAAUAAGCUGGUUCGAGCUCGGCUCGUUUCCGCUCCUACCUAUUCCGCCACGUGUGCUUCUCCAAGAUGGCGAGGUGGACUACCCCAUUCAAACCGCCCCACUCUCUCUCUCUCUCUCUCUCUCCCCACUUCCGCACCCUAUAAAUUCCCGCUCCUCCCCCACACCAUUCCCCUUCAAGGCUUCAACUCAGAAGCGCUUCUCCCAACAGCAGCUGCUCCUUCCACUACCCGACAAAACCAAAUUCAACACAAGGAGGAGGAGGAGUAAAUUUGCUCCCACCAACCCCCUUCCCCUCUCACUCUCUCUCUCUCUCUCUAGCGCCCUUUUCCACUUCCACUCCUUUUUAAAUAAAUCAAUCAUACAUAGUCACUGCAAGUAACUAUAGGGAAAAGAAUAAAGAUAUCUAUGGCUACUGCUGUUUCCAACAGCGCCAUUUCACCACCAACUACCAAANGGCGCUUCUCCCAACAGCAGCUGCUCCUUCCACUACCCGACAAAACCAAAUUCAACACAAGGAGGAGUAAAUUUGCUCCCACCAACCCCCUACCCCUCUCACUCUCUCUCUCUCUCUCUCUCUAGCGCCCUUUUCCACUUCGACUCCUUUUCAAAUAAAUCAAUCAUACAUAGUCACUGCAAGUAACUAUAGGGAAAAGAAUAAGGAUAUCUAUGGCUACUGCUGUUUCCAACAGCGCCAUUUCACCACCAAGUACCAAAACUCGCAAAUCGAAUAUUCUCCUCCUCCUCGGCCCCAGCCGGCCCAAUUCCGUCCAAUUUCCAAAGAAUUCGCUCAGUCGUGCGGCUGCGGCCGUCCGCUGCUCUGCCUCCUCUCGCUCCCUCGUUUCCGCCGCCAACACCGAUACCGAUACCGAUACCGAUACGGCGAGUGGCGCUUACUAUCCCCCUUCUUCUUCUUCUUCUUACGUCGACGCCGAUGAAGAGUCGUCAGCGCCAAUCUUGACGAACAGAAGCAAUGACAAUCUCGACGAGUGCAGAGGUCGCAGGUUCCAUCCCCCAAAAUGGAACGCGCUGCAGCGGGCUGCGGCCGCCGCAUUGGACGCGGCGGAGGGGGCGCUGAUCUCCGGGCUGCUGGAGCGGCCGCGCCCGCUGCCGAAGACGGCCGACCCGGCGGUGCAGAUUUGCGGGAACUUCGCGCCGGUGGGGGAGCAGCCGCCGCGCCGCGACCUGCCGGUGGCGGGGCGCAUCCCGCCCUUCCUGAACGGCGUCUACGCGCGCAACGGCGCGAACCCGCUGCUCCCGCCGGCGGCGGGGCACCACCUCUUCGACGGCGACGGCAUGGUCCACGCCGUGCGCCUCCGCCACGGCGCCGCCGCGUCCUACGCGUGCCGCCACACCGAGACCGCGCGGCUCGCGCAGGAGCAGGCGGCCGGGCGCCCGCUGUUCCCGAAAGCCAUCGGCGAGCUGCACGGCCACUCCGGCCUCGCCCGCCUCCUCCUCUUCCGCGCGCGCGCCCUGCUCGGCCUCGUCGACCCCUCCCGCGGCUGCGGCGUCGCCAACGCCGGGCUCGCCUUCUUCGACUCCCGCCUCCUCGCCAUGUCCGAGGACGACCUCCCCUACCACGUCCGAAUCACCGCCGCCGGCGAUCUCGAGACCGUCGGGAGGUACGACUUCUCCGGGCAGCUCAGCUCCCCCAUGAUCGCCCACCCCAAGCUCGACCCCGUCUCCGGCGAGCUCUUCGCCCUCAGCUACAGCAUCCUCGCCGAGCCCUACCUCAAGUACUUCCGCUUCUCCCCCGACGGGGUCAAGUCCCCCGACGUCGACAUCCCCCUCGACCAGCCCACCAUGAUGCACGACUUCGCCAUCACGCACAACUUCAUCGUCGUGCCCGACCAGCAGGUCGUGUUCCGCCUCCCGGAGAUGAUCCGUGGCGGAUCGCCGGUCGUCUACGACCGCUCCAAAACCCCGCGGUUCGGCGUCCUGCCCAAGCACGCCGCCGACGCCUCGCAGAUGCGGUGGGUCGACGUGCCGGACUGCUUCUGCUUCCAUCUGUGGAACGCGUGGGAGGAGCCGGCGGCCGGCGAGGUGGUGGUGAUCGGCUCCUGCAUGACGCCGCCCGACGCCGUGUUCAACGACUCCGGGGAGAGCCUGAAAAGCGCGCUGACGGAAAUUCGGCUGAAUCUACGCACGGGAAAGUCCAGCCGCCGGCACAUCCAGAGCCCCCAGGACCAGAUGAACCUGGAGGCCGGAAUGGUCAACAAGCACCGCCUCGGCAGAAAGACCCGGUUCGCCUACCUGGCCAUCGCCGAGCCCUGGCCCAAGGUGUCCGGCUUCGCCAAGGUCGACCUGCUCACCGGAAAGACCGUCAACUAUCUCUACGGAGAGGGGCGCUUCGGCGGGGAGCCCUGCUUCGUGCCCAGGGACGCCGCCGCCCCGCGGGAGGACGACGGCUACGUGCUGUCCUUCGUGCACGACGAGCGCGCCGGCGUGUCCGAGCUCGUCAUCGUCAAUGCUGCCGACAUGCGGCUCGAGGCCACCGUCAAGCUCCCGUCGCGCGUCCCCUACGGGUUCCACGGCACAUUCAUCGACGCCAAGGACUUGGCGUCGCAGGCCUAAUAAGCCAGCCUCGCCAUAGACAGAGCUAAUUUUAUUAUUGACAGUCAGACAGGUAGACAGAUUUACUAAAUCUAGUCUCUAUCCACUCGGCUGGUUUUAUAAGAUUUAGUAUAUCUGAUCUGUCUAUGGCUCAGUCAAUACCGCUGUUUAUUCCGACCUACGACCUUUUUGCAGGGCAGGGUACACCAAUAGGGGGCCUCCCCUGUUUCUUGGUUUCAGUUGGAUUUUUCCGUUUCUUUUUUUGCAUUUUACCCCUUGCUAUUUGGGGUUUUUACAAUUAUAGCAGUCAUAUGGUUUUGUCUUUUGCUUUUCUUUUUCUUUUUUUUUUUUUUUUUUUUUGUAUUUCAGGAGACGAGUUUGAUACGGACCAUGAUAGAUGGUUUUUGUAUUUACAUUUAUUUUUCCAUCUAUCGUUGGCUUUCUUCUUCUUCUUUUAUUUUCCUUUUUUUUUUUUUGUUUUCUGUGUCGUGUGUAAUGAAGUGUAGGGGGCCCAUCCCCGAAGCUUCUCUUUUUUCUUCUGAUACUACUCAGAAUAACAAGUUACUAUUAUUAUUUUACAUUACAUAAUUCUUAUGUAUGAUGGUGCCCAUUUUUUCCUCUUCUUUUCUAAGUUCGUGUGAAGUGCUUCCUCUCCAACACCUAAACAGAGUGAAUAGAGUUUGGGCUUCUGUGAAGGACUUGAAACAUUUUAUUGUUUUUCCUAAUAAUCAAAUAUCCUAGUUGAUUCACAUUUCUAGCUAAAUUUAUUUCUAAAUAAAAUAAACAAAACGGGUAGCAUGCUACCUAUCUCUCUCAAAAAAAAUAAUCAAAUAUUCCAAGAAUCCAUGGUAAAUUGUUCAAAAGGGAAUAUAUUUGAUCACUGAACUCAAAUAAGUAAGCACUUGAAGAGGCAACUAAUAAACAGGGCAAAGUGAUAAUAUCAAAUUACUACACAAACUAAUUAAGUGCACCAAUGAAGAUUGCGAUGUAGGCACCAGCAUGUUCUUCUUUGGGAGUUCGAGACCCAUGUGGGUAAGAUGAUUAUAUCAUAUCCUUUUACCCUCUUAUAAUUGUUCGAAGUGAGACAAUUCGUGUAUUAUGGGAUUAUUCAUAUAUGAACUCUUAUCCUUUUUCUCUUUUUCUAUGUGAAUCAUUCAACUCUUCUCUCUUUUCUCGUAUGUUACUCUCUUACCAAUGCAGUGAAUCACUUUUCGGCUCUUCUUCAUAAUUUACUACGAACUCACUCUUCUGAGACUUUGCACUUUAACCCACACCACUAGAAAAUUUUAUGAGUCCAUGCAUCUAAUCUUGUGCCUCUCGGGCCCGACUAUGGGCUUUAACUUAUGCUACCCAAAAAAAAAAAUAAAUAAAUAAAUCAUAGCCUGUGCGCCAAACCGUCGUAACUCAAUCAUGUUCAUAAGAGCUACUAACUUGAUUGCACUACACAAUUUAGACAAAUAGCCUAGAAUCAUCAAAUUAUCGGCUUUAAUAAUACUGGUUAGCCAGUCCUGAAUCCAGCCAAAUCCACAUGAGUGCAAAAAUAUGAUAUAUACAAUGGAGCUCAUUCAAUUUAAAAACUUAAGCUUAUUGGAUCUGAGCUCACCAGUGUGUAUCAACUAUUUUACUUGCUUAUAAUUAUCUGAUAUAGGACUAUUUAUACUUUUGCACUUAUUACAAACAUUUAUACUUGUAAGCUUACUAUGUUGAGAUUGUCCCACACUUUACACAGUGACAUGGCUUUAUAAAGUAACAAUUCCAUUAGUAAACCUUUGGGAUUUGAGAAUAUUUGAAAGAAUUUGUGAAAAUUAAGAAGGAUAUUUUGGUCAACUAGGAGUAUAUUAGAUAUUUGUGAAUUUUUAAAGGGUAUAAUAUAUAUUAUCCUCUCUUUUUUUCUAUUGUGUCUUGUUAUUACAGAUUUAUUGCCCCUUGAAGUUAUGUUGUUUACUGGUUGAGGCUUCUCCUCUUGGCCUCAAGUUGCUGAAAAACAUUGUAAGAGUCAAUUAACAACUUAAGGAUUUGAUUUUUGCGAAUGUGCGAAAAGUUUACGAGGUGUUAACGCAUCACAUAUUUGGCUGCAAUACGACAGUGGGCCUGUUUAGCUCCGCUUUUGCAGCAUCACGACACGAGUUUAACACUAGGUUGAUGUAAACGGCUAUGACAGCCCGCAAUUGCGAAAAACGUACCGUCCUGCAGGAGCAUCUCAGUCGAUGCUUGUGGGCACAGCACUGCAGGGUGUUCCGCAAAUGAAGUGCACUCUAAAUGGAAGAAAAGGACAUGUCUCACUUCACUACGAAGUGGAGCCACGUGAAAUCGCGGCUUUCGGGAUGCCAAAGUUCAAUCGAAACUAAGGACUUCAACUAGUGGAAGUCGAAGCAUGGAAGCGAGACGCAUUUUAGCCCCAUCAUCACAAAAUCGUCACGAUCGAACUAACACAACUUGCAAAUUGUUGUCCCCCAACUUGUUCGACGGGAACAAACAAGCCAUCACAUAAGAGCGCUCUUCUGACGUCAAACUGCCAUCCAACUAAUAUCCAGUCAAUCAGUAUUCUAUUUUAUUAGCAACACAAUGUAACUUGAUUCUAUCCGUAAACACGUUCACCGGUCCUUUUUCGAGCACCCAAAAAGGCACUCCUGGGUUAGUGCAAACACAUAUAGCAUCCAUUAACAUAGCUUCAAGGGACCAAGGCACAAUAUAAUAAUUAAUAAAUAAGAUAUUAUCCACUGUGCUCUACAUAUCUAUUGAAAUGAAGGUCAACUUCCCACACUAAUUUUCCUUUUCUUCAACUAUUAACUAAGCAUCAUGGCCAAACACUACUUGUGAGCCCUUUCACUCAUCAUUUUGACUUUUGCUGAAGAUGAAUUGCAGUUCCAUUCACUUCCCUACUUGCAUUAUUCAAUCCACAUCAAGCUUGCCAAGUUGGGAAAAUGCAGGUCUAUUCUCGGAAAAUGCGAAGUCGACUCAAAGGUAACAUCAAUUUGAUGCAUCUUAGUUAGACCUAUUGGAACACAGCUUACAUCGUAACUCAUUUUCGUGUUUGAAAUUUUAGAAAGUAAAUUAACCGGCGAGUAAUUGCGAUAUGUAUAAAACUGACAUAUUACAACAUUUAGGAUACGAAACCUUAUCCGUGUCGAAAAUUAUAUACUAUUUUUGAGAAUGUACUUACAGGUUAUAACCUUAUACGAUCAUGCAGGUGCAUGUAGAGUAAUUUUUAUGAUAAAGUGUAACGAUUGCUAGUACUAAUGACUUGUUAGACUCAAACUAUUGGUCCUAAAUACUUAAAUUCAGUUAUUAUUAAUAAAAUAAUGAGUUUUUACAUGUUUGUAGUCAUCAAAUCAAAUUUUCUAGCCAUUCCUUAAGCUAAAAUUAUCAGAAAAUAUAGGAUUCACUUUACAAUUUUGACUGACAAACCGAUUUUAAAUUUCAAAUUUAAUGAUCUAACUCAUUUUACACUAAAAACUAUUGGGCCUAAACAACCAGCCCGAAAACCUUAAGCCCAAUUUUGCUAAUAAAGUUUCUUAUCCUCGUAUAUCCAAUCAAAAUUUCUUUUUCACCCGAUAUAAAAAUAUAGGAAACAAGGUAAUAAAUUUUGGGUGUGCAUAUGAGUCCUACCAAAAAGAGUUGUUCAAGAGAAUAUUUGGAUAUAUACAUUGGAACUUUGCAUAAAGUUUUUCCCAAAAAAAUACUUUGCCUUAAAUUAAGAUAAAUUAGUACUUAGCUGCAAGACAACAGGUAAUAAAUGGGUAAAGCAUAGUUAAAAAAAGAAAAAUAAAACCAAGAAAUCCAUUUGGCCAUUCCUUUAAAAGAAAAAAAAAUAUUAUAUUUUAUAUAAUUUUAUGCGCAGAAUUUUUAUGUACACAAAUUAUUGAACUGCUCAUUAGGGGUGGAAACGAGCCGAGCUCGAGCGAGCUUACCUCGGCUCAAAUUCGGCUUGAAAUUUAUUUCGAGCUUAAAUUUAAGCUCAAGCUUGGAUUGAAAUUAAUUCGAGCCGAGCUCGAGCGAGUCUAAUUUCGAAUCGAGCGAGCUCGAGCCCUAAACGAGCCGCUUGAAAUUCUCAACAUCAUACGAUCAAUAGUUUAAUUUGUAUAGAACAUUAUCUAUAAUUUGAUACAAAAAUAUGUCUAAUAGUUAUAAGCACAAAAUAAUUAUAUAAAAUAUAGUAUUAUAAUAUGAAAAUAAUAAUUUAUGAGUUAAAUAUCUAAUCUUUUCAGCCUCACAUGUCUUUUCUUCCGCCUUCAAUCUCCAUAUUAUUCAUUUUCAUUUAUGCAGUCAAAAAUAAAUAAAUUAUAUAGAUAAAUAUUGGAUUAAACCUCAACAUAUAUAAACAAAAUUUAAAAUUUUAUACUAGAUAAUAUAUUUUUUUAGCUUAAAUAUUCUAUAAUAUUUCUCAAGCAUACAAUUAAUAGCAAGGUAGCCAACGGGCAAAUAUAUGCUGUUACUUGGUAACUUUGAGGGCUUUUGGCUGGCCGCUUAGGGUGAGAGACAGGAAAAAGAGAAAGAGAGAAAGCAAAUUGAAAAUUUAGGGUUCUGUGAAAGAAAGAAAGAAAAAUUUAUAAAUUUAGUGAAAUUUAGCUCUUAUUUGUCUAUUGCUUUUUUUUAUGCGGCAAAGUAACUAAACUCAGAACUUAUUCCUCAGCUAUAUAUAUUAAAUAUAUUAUAUUUACUAUAUUUUUAAUAUAUAUAUAUAUUUAAUAUACUUAUAUAUUAUAUAUUAUAAUAUAUAGUGUAAACUACUAUGUAUUUUAAAAUAUAGAGGAUUUGAGUUUAAUUUUGACCUCUUGAAUUAAGAAUUGUAAUGAUUGGGAUGAUUGCGAUUCCCCCAGAUUAAUAAUAUCCCUAGUAUUAUAUUCAAAAAAUUAGUAUAAAGGGCAUUGAUCUAAGAAUCAAAAAAUGAAAACACCAUAUCCUCUAUACUUUCGAUAGCCAAUAUAGAUAGCAUAUUACUAUAUAUAUAUAGUAUAUAUAUAUAAUAUAUAUAGUAAUAUAUAUAUAUUAAUAUCAAUGAUAUUGAGUAUUUUCGAGCUUUUCGAGCCUAAUUCGAACGAGCCGAGUAAUACUCAAGUUCGGCUUGAAAUGAAUUUCGAGCCUUUUUUUUGUUCAAGCUCGGCUCAUUUAGUUUCGAGUCGAGCUCGAGCGAGCCAAAUAUCGAGUCGAACGCGAGUCGAACGCGAGCCGGCUCGCUCAUUUGCCAGCCCUACUGCUCAUAGCAGUAUCAAUUCGAACCGUCCAUAUUGAGUUAUCUAAAUUUAUUCUGUUACGGAUGAAUACUGAAAUGAGUCAUGUGGAGAGCCUAGAAUUAUAUAUUAAUAUCAAAGAAAAUAAAAUAAAUAAAUUAUAAGCUUAAAUCCAUAUUGUGGACCACGUAACAGUAAUAUGGACAUGAGAGCCCAAAAUUUAAGGUAGAAUUUAUUGAAGCAGAAGAUCUUGUGGGCCAUGUGUCACGUGGACACGUGGAGCCCACGGUCCCUUUCACAUUGGUGCACGAGCACCAAAAAUUAAUGCGGUGAACUUUAAAUAUCGUGCUAGGCAAAACAAUGUAAGUGUUUGGAAAAUUUCGUGAAUAGCCUUGAUUCUCAUUGGAUUAGUGAAUUAUCUCGUCCAAUGGGACGAGAUUCUUAUCCUUGUAGAGCAUUUUUACUUAGAUAAAUAUAGCACAAAUAUUUAUGGGGCCAAAGAGAAAAAGACCUCAAAUUUUUUUAAUUUAAGAAAUAGGUAACAUGCUAUCCGGUUUAUUUAUUUCUUUUAUAAAUAAACUUAACUGAAAAUGUGAAUCAAUUAGGAUUCGAACUUAGGACCUCAGGUACCAACCAAGCCCUUUGCCGCUUGCGUUAGGAACGGUCGGUAAAAAGUCCUCAAAUAUUGGAUCAUAUAAUAUAUAUAUAUAUAUAUAUAUAUAUAUAGUUGAGCUAGAAUACUAUCGGUAGCAAACGGGCUCCGUUACCACCCAUUUGUUUUCGAUGAUGGAGCCUCCAAAUCGAUGAUCGGAAUGUUGAAUAUGAUCUAUACCACUUGAAGUAUUUAGAAAUCAAAUUUCAUGCUUUUUUGAUAUUGUUCUCUUGUCCAUCAAGUGAGCGUUAAAAUGAACGGCUGAAAAUAAAUAUCCUCUGAAAAGUGAUGAUAGGAAUUUUGUAAUUAAGAUCGAAAGUAUAGAUCAUAUUCUAAAUAGUUUAAAGAAUUUUCUAACCAAAAUUCUAUUGAUUUGGAUAACUUUACACCGUUAAACGAGAAAACGCCUUAUAUCUACCAUUAAAAUUAUAAAUUUAAAACCCUUUGAUCAUUAGGCCAAUGAUAUCGAAAUGAUUUGAAAUUUGGUUUCUACAUACUUCAAGUGGUAUAGAUCAUGUUCAACAGUGCCGAUCGUCAAUUUAAAAGCUCCAUCAUAAAAAACAAAUGGGUGGCAACGGAGCUAGAUUGCUACCGAUAGCAUUCCAGCUCAACUCUCUCUCUCUCUCUCUCUAUAUAUAUAUAUAUAUAGAGAGAGAGAGAGAGAGAGAGAGAGAGAGAGAGAGAGAGAGAGAGAGAGUAGAGCUAUUAUGCUAUCGGAAGCAUAGAGGAUCUGGUGCUUUCGGAUUUUUAGGUCUUAGAUCAAUCCCUUUCGUCAUUUCUAACUUUUAGAUUAAUACUAUUACCCUGUGGGGACCACUCAAUUCUAAGAGUACUAUUUAACCCUAGGGGAGACCGUAAUCAUUCCAACCGUCUAAUUUUUAAUCUAAGGGUCAAAAAGUCGAAAAUAUCAAAUUUUCUAUACUUUCAAUAGCACGGUAGCUCCACACUAUAUAUAUAUAAAGUAUUUUAUUAGUUUCUUAAUUUGCGCCUAUUAUAAUUAUCAUUUUGCUCAUGAAUUGCAUCACUUUAAUAAAGAUCUCUCUUUCUUCUCUUUUUUUUGAGAGAGAGAUAGGUAGCACGUUACCUGCUUCGUUUAUUUCAUUAAGAAAUAAACUUAGUUGGAAAUGUGAAUCAACUAGAAUUCGAACUUGUGAUCUCGGAUAUCAACCACCACCCUUUUUGCCACUUACUCUAGGAACGGUCAGUAAUAAAAAUCUCUCUUAUCAACAAGUUAGUUAGAACUUAGAAGUAAUAGAAUAUACAAGUUGGCAUAAUCCAUUUAGGGCCUGUUUGUUUGUCUGGAACUAUGACUGUGGCGAAGUCUCCAGUUUUCAGAGUCGCUUCAAUCUGCUGAACCUGAGUCCCAAACUUUCAGAACCAUGCAGGUGAAGUGUCGCUUCGAUAAGUUCCAAACACAAACAAAGCUCAAAUUACCAGAAAAAUGGUUCUUUUAUAAAUCUAUAUUUUUUAAAAUUUUCCUAAUGUGCUGAAGGAUCUUGACAGUUAGCAGAAUAUGUUAACUGAAAUAAAUGGAAAAAAAAAUUAAAUAAGACCAAGAAUGUCUUGAAAAGGAAAAUUGAAAAAAAAGAAAUAAAAAAAGAACUUAAUUAGGCUUUUAGCAUUGAUACAGUAUGAAGUAAUCAUUUUCCUCUAAAACUCCUAUUGAACCAUGUAAUGGUUUUCUAUUUUUUUUAAGUAAAAUUUCGUAAGCAUUUUCAUGAGAAGAAAAAUAACAAUUGACGGCCCCAAAUUAUGAUUCCAUCAGACAAAUUUUUCGAUUUGACUAGCAUUCUCCGUUGUAUCCUUGCCUACCAUUAUAUUUCACUCUUCACAAAUCUUAAAGCGCUGUGGCGUAAAUUCAAUAGUAGAACGAGAAGCGUCUUCAAAGGUCGAUCUUAUGUAAACUUUCUCUAUCCCAAUACAUAAAAAAAUAACAAAAAACAAAAAAACAAAAAAAAAAAAAUAGUAGAAUACAUAUCUUAUAAGACAAAAUGGGAAUGAUUCCGUCCAACAAAUUUUUCUAUUUGACUAGCCUUUCCCGUUGUAUAUGUCCUUACACAUAUCUUUCCCUUUGCGUGCUCUGUAGAGUAAAAUUCGAAAGUAUGUUGGAAAAUAUUCUAUUUGUUUUCGUACGUAAUAUUGCAUUCCGCGUCGGUUAUGAUAAAUUUUCUGCGAUCCCAUUGGAGAAUGCAGAAGCAUAUCCCUAUAUAUUUUUUUCUCAACUUCAUUUUAUUUAAUAAUAUUAGAUAAAUCUCAAUACCAAACUAAGCCUUAAAAGAUUGAUCUUAUAUAAUCUUACUCUAUCCCGAUGGCCGAUACUGAGGGGAAAAAAAAACAAAAAUUAGUAUUGUAUAAGACAAACUGGGUAUGGACACUCCUAGCCAAUCAUAAACAAAGAUUGAGUGCUAUGGGAACAUGCAUGCAUGCUACUUAGCCGGAAAAGAGGAAUCAUUGGAUUUGGUCUAACUCUUUUUGUGUCCAAGUUCAACUAUUGCUCGGAGUUGAUUUUGUGCGAGUCCCAAAGUCCCACCGCCGCGUAGUCGAAAGUUUAAAAUGCAAGGGAAAAGAAUAAAACACGAGUACUCUUUCGUUCUCGGAGGAGUUAAGAGAAUUUAUUAAAGCAUGCAUAAACACAAAAUCUAUUAUUAUUAUUAUUAUUAUUGUUGUUGUUGUCGUCGUCGUUGUUUUGAAGCUACUAAUAGGUUACAGAGUAGAGUUACUACGCUAUCGAAAGUAUAGUAAAUUUGAUAUUUUCGACUUUUUAAUCCUUAAAUCAACCUCUUUGAUCAUUUCUAAUUUUUGAAUUAAUACUAUUAUUUUGUGAGGACCAUUCAACCGUAAGGAUACUACUUAAUUCUAGAAUAGACCGCAAUCAUUCUAAUCGUACAAUUCUUAAUCUUAGAAUCAAAAAGUCGAAAAUAUCAAACCCUCUGUAUUUCUGAUAGCAUAGUAAUUCUACACUAGGUUACCCGCAUGUACUCUUAGAUAGGUAGUAAAACUCUUUAUUAGCAGCUCUAAUGUAAAAUUUAAUUAAAUUAACUAUACAUUGACUGAUAUUGAUCGAUCCGAUAAUUUAAAUAUUCGUCCUUUUUUUUUCCAACUAGAAUUGAUGAUUAAUUAUGAAUUGGACCAAGAAAAUAGGUAUUCAUGGAGAAUACAAUUAAAGCUUUGUGUCGUCAUUAACUCUCAAUAACCAUAUUUUUGUACUAACUAGCUUUCACUGUGUAGCUCUAAUCAAAUAAAAUAGAAAUUACACAAAAUAUCAAAUCCUUAAUAAAAAUUUCACCCUGGGCAUAUUUGUCUCUCUCUCUCUUGUUUUUUUUCUUCUUCUUCUUUUUUUUCCCCUUGUUUUCUUUUCUUUGACACUUCACACCUACAUUAAGUUAUUUUUUAAUGAAUAAAAGUACUUGCCCGGUUAGUUAGUGCGGCUUCCAUUUUCGCUGCACUGAGUUUUGGAUUCUGCACGUCAUUCUUCAGGCCAAUCUUGUCUGCCAACUUGCAUCACUGCUUACGUCUCUUCUGCCACAAUUUAAAUUAUCAUUCUUAUUUAUUUUUAUAUUAUUAUUUUAUAUUAAAAUAUAAAAUAAAAUUUUUACGAAACUUAACUUAGCCAACACAGUAUGCUAUGAUCUCAGGCAUCAACCGCGAAGUCUUUUAUUACUUACGUCAGGGACGAUCAAUUAUAUACGUUCGAUUUUUGUUAGUGAAAAGAAAUAUUAUUAGAAUUGCCUCACUUAAUUUGUGUAAUUAGGUCGCACUUUAUAGAGUCCAGGAAUAAAUUAGCAUUUGACCAGGUUCACACCGAAUUUGAGCUACUAAUUUUUAAUUAGUUAACUAAUUUAUUAAUCACUAAUUAUAUCCAUUUUCAACUCUUCAAAUCAUGAACCCAUAUAUACAAAUUAAUAAUAGCUAGAUAAUUUGCCUCGUGCUGAUUUUUUGAUUAAUUUAGCCUUGCUUUAGUUAAUGGGGAAUUAAGUUGUUUUUCCAAAAUGUUUUAGUACUAAUGGAAGAGUGAGAAUGGCCACUUAAUUCCUUCCAAUAUUAUUGCCAGUAAAGUGUUAUAUAUAAAAAUAUAUAAAUACCGUUCUCUAACAGUUUAAUCUCUAGAGUACAAUGAUUAUUUCAUAUAAUAUUAAAGUAGGAGAUUCUGAAUUUGAGUCACGCCAUACUCUUAGUAUUAUUAAUUUUUUCCUAUUUAAUUUAAACUUGAUGGAGAAUGUUAAAUAUAAAAAUUAUAAAUAUCGUUUUCUAACAAUUUAAACUUUUAGAAGUAUAUUUAACAAAAAGUAAUCAAAGUUAACAUCCCUAAAUACAGGAAUUAACUAUUACUAGUGAAGAGAGCAAAAGAUAAAAUGUCAUAUGAAAAAGAGAAACGGUUGAAGGAAGAGAAGAGGUCGGUUCAAAAAAAGCAAAAAAGAUAUAAAAAAUCUAAAAAAAUGAGGGCUUGCCAUGUCAUCAUUUUUAUUGGAAAUUCAUAUAGAGUUAUAAAAGUUCAUUAUAUAUAUAUAUAUAUAUUGGCAUAUUAUUUAAUGUGAUUAUCUUGGGAUACUUGUGAUUUGUGUUAAUACUUUUUUCAAACAGCAAGUUAAUAACUUUUAAAAGUAACUAUAUAUAUAUAUUACAAAAUAUGUUCAAUAAUGAGUAUAUUUAUUCGAUAAUUAAAAAAAUAUCGAAUAAAGUUCACAAAAUAUUCAGACUUUCUCUUUAAUCGUGGCAUUGACUCAGAUAUUUUCACGUCCAGCAGGGCCCCACAAAUUUAAAUAGUUUGCCUACCACAUGAAAUAAACGAAGCGGGUAGUGUGCUAGCUAUCUCUCUCAAAAAAAAAAAAAGAAAAAAAGAACUAUGCGCAAUUCCCUAGGGCAAAGUGGCAAAGUGUUUCCUCAUAUACCUUUGUUCAAUUUAAUUUCUCUUAUAAAUGUUGCCACUUUUUUAUUAUUUUUUUUAAGAAUAAACUUCAAAUAUCAUCCUAUAAUUUUACAUUUUUUUAUUUUAGUAAUCUGUGAUUUAAAGUUUAUCAGUUUAGUAUCCUAUAGUUUCAUUAUUCUCUUUUCGUCAACCUUUUCGUUAAUUUUUCGUUAAAUCAUAUACAAAAAACUUCAGAUACUCUACCUAUAGUUUUCCGAAUAUUCAUUUUAGUAUCUUUUACUUUUAACUUUGUCACUGAUUUAACCAAAAAAAAAUAGUGGACGGGAAUGAUAAAAAUAAAUAAAAUAAAAUCAUAGGGUACGAAAGUAAUACACUUUAAACAUAUUAAAGUAAAAAAGUGCGAAACCACAUAAGUAGUAUUGAGUUGAGCUAGAAUACUUGUAAAAGUAUUAUGUGGGUGGUGCUUUUGAGUUUUUAGCCAUUGGAUGGAGAGAUGUGAGGUUGAGAUGAUGGUGAUAGGUGGUGGUAGGUGGUGGUAGGUGGAAUAGUGUUUGAUCUAAGGGCUAUUAAUAAUCAAGGAGUAGAUCCAAUGUCUAAAAACCUAAUAGCAUCAUAGAGGUAAUACUUGUAAAAGUAUUCUAGCUCAAUUCAGUGGUAUUUAAAGUUUUUCGUUUUUUUUUAUUUAAAUAUUUUCUUACUUACCCCACCUCUUAUUAAAAAAAAAAAAAAACAAAAACAACUACACAUUUGUUGCCACACCUAUAAACUGCUUUAGAUGGUCCCUUUUUUUAACUUACUAUUAUUAUAUAUUAAACUAAAUGCACUAAUUUUUCAUAAGAUUUUAUGCUAAAAGAGUGUUACUAUUGUUCAUCUAAAGCUUGUUGUGUGCGUGUGUGUGUGUGUGUUUUUUUUUUUUUUUUUUUUUUUAAAUUUUUUAUGGCAGACGAUUUGUAUGUUUAAAUUUUAGGGAAAACUUCAAAAAAUCCCCCUAUAGUUUCACACUUUUUCAUUUUAGUACCCUAUGGUUUAAAGCGUAUCAAGUUAGUACCCUAUGGUUUCUCACUUUAUCACUUUAGUACCCUGUGGUUUAAAGUGUAUCAAUUAGUACUCUGUGGUUUUAUUUUUGUAUCAAGUUAGUACCAUGUGAUUUUUAAACCACAGGGUACUAAAGUGAUAAAGUACGAAACCACAUAGUACAAACUUGAUACACUUUAAACCACAUGGUACUAAAGUGAAAAAAUGCAAAACCACAGGUACUAACUUGAUACACUUUAAACCACAUAGUACUAAAGUGAGAAAAAGUGAAACCACAAGGGGGGUAUUUGAAGUUUUCUCUAAAUUUUAAUUACAUAGUAUAAAUUAUUACGUAUAAAAUUAUAUGUAAUAUAACUGUCAUGAAAAAUUUUUUUAAAAAAAAUAUUUUUAUAUAGCUCUCUGUAAAUAUAUCGAAUAACAGAUAUAUUCCUAUAAAGUUUAAUUUUUUAUAUCUAUGCUUAAAAAAUUCUAACGAUUUCAAAUCUACCAUGAUGCUAGUGUCAAUUAUAAAAAUAUAGUUAGCCGUAGGUGAAAUAUUCAACCUUGAUUAGUCAUGCAUGAAGCAAAUUGAACUUUUCACUCCUGUGAUUUAUACCUUUUUCUCUCAAUCAAACCAUAGCAAUGAAAACCCUUCUUCUUCCUCGCCAUCUUUUUCUUUAUCUCCCUCUCUCUCAUUCAAGCUAGUUUCAAAUUCGUAACUAGAAUUUAUCUAUCCUCAUUCCUUUACGAUGUGUAUUACUUUGCUCCAUGUUGAACACCGAAGAAUAAGUAUUAAAUGGGUAAAAAUCAUAAAAGGAGUAAAAGAAGAGGUAGAGAAGGGGUUGUAGCAAUGAUGAAUUGGAUUAGUUUUUUAUAAAGAAAAAAAUGACUAUUGAAGAUUUUUUCGAACGAUAUCUUAGAAAGAUCGUAACAAUUAAGACUUUUGGAGGAAUAUAUUUGUGAUAAUAAAAUUGACAUUUUACUUAUCUUCUAUUAAAAAAUAAACAGUAAGCUAAUGCUAAUAAAUUAGAGAAAUAAAUGUAAAAAAAAAAAUCAGAAAAAUAAAUAUAAAUAUCACUUGAUUAUUUUAAAAAUAAAUUUAAACUUUUAAAAUUUAUAAAAAUAUAUUCAUUAUUGGCCAAUUUGCAUAAAAAUUCUAUUAGUUUUCAGCGUUUGCAAAAGUAGGUCGUCCUUUUAAAUUUUGCAGAUUCGUGCCGAAUUUUUAGAAAGCUGACUAAAAUACCCUUAUUCCCUUUUCUCUCUUCUCUUUUUUUUUCUCGUUCUUUUUUUUUCUCUCCGAAGAGGGUGAUGGAGGCAUUUAUUUGAAUACAUUAUAACUUUUGUAGAGAUAACUUAUGAAAGUUGAACUUUGUAUGAAUAUAUCUGCUAUUCAUCAUGUUUGUGGGGACCUGUAUGAAAUUAACCCUAAAAAUUUAUAUGCAAAAAUUUUUCUAAUUUAAAUUUUUAUGACGAGAGAAAGAGAAGGUUGGAUCGGAAAAGAUGGGCCCCAUCCCUAACCCUACAACCAAGUGCCCAAAUUAAAUAAAAGAAUAGUGCCGACACAUAGGAAGUGAGCCGAGAAUUCAUAUAUUAACAUAGAUAAUAAUAAUAAUAAUCAUAAUUUCUCCCAUAAAUUUUGGGAGCUUGAUUUUUUUUUAUCUUCAUUAUUUUUUUAUUUGCAUUCCAGAUGCUUCAUUCUUUUUUAUUUAAUUACUAACAAUUAUAAAAUAUUUACUAGGUCAAAAUCACACCUUACCAUGCACGUGGAAAGAUUUUCGUGAAUCAUGUCCACCAACCACAUCAGUCCUCAACUAUAUAAGAGCCAUGGCAAAGGGGAAUUCAUGCUAUUUCCAUUUCUUCACAUCCGACCCAAACUGCUGUCAGUCCCGGUCGAAUCAGACAGAUCCACAUGGGACAAGUGGUCGGCCUUAAAAGGAGUCCUCCUGCCGCCCGCUUAAUUCUAGUGAACCACUGUUAUUCUAAUCGCACGUAUUUUUAUUCAAAGAUUAGAAAUUUAAUAGCAUUAAUGACUUGGUGCUAUUAAUAACAUUCCAGCCAAAUUCUAUAUAUAGUCCUGUUGGGAUACUAUCGAUAGCACCAAGUGUUUGGUACUACCGAGUUUUCUAUCAUUAGAUUUCUCUUUUUUAUUAUUUUUAACCGUUAGAUCAUACUAUUCAACUAGCCAUCCACUCAAUCCUAGGAGAUCACAUCAUCCUACCCGUAUGUAUUUUCAUCCAAAGGUUAGAAACCUAAUAACACCAAUGACUUGGUGCUAUUAAUAGUAUUAAUUCCAGCCAAAUUCUCUCUCUCUCUCUCUCUCUCUCUCUCUCUCUAUAUAUCUAUAUAUAUAUAUAUAUAUAUAAAGAGAGAGAAAGUAGAGCUGCUAUGCUAUUGGAAGUAUAGAGGAUCCAGUGCUUCUGACUUUUUGGUCUAUAGAUUAACCUCUUUAAUCAUUUCUAACUUUUGGAUUAAUACUAUUACCUUGUGGGGACUACUUAACCCUAAGAGUACCACUCAAUCCUUGGGGGACCGUAAUCAUCCAAACCGUACAAUUAUUGAUCCAAUGGUUAAAAAAUCGAAAGUAUCAAAUCUUUUAUGCUUCCAAUAGUAUAGUAGCACUACAAUAUAUAUAUAUAUAUAUAUAUAUAUAUAUAGAGAGAGAGAGAGAGAGAGAGAGAGAGUUGAGCUAAAAUACUAUCAAUAGCAAAUAGGCUUCUUUGCCACUCAUUUGUUUUCGAUGAUAGAGCCUCCAAAUCGAUGAUCGGCACCGUUGAACAUGAUUUAUACCACUUGAAGUGUUUAGAAAUCAAAUUUUAAAUCUUUUCGACAUCAUUUGCCUAAUGAUCAAAGGGUUUCAAACUUUGUAAUUUUAAUGGUCGAUAUGAGGCGUUUUCUCAUUUAACGGCGUAAAGAUAUUCAAAUCAAUUGAAUUUUUGUUAGAAAAGUUUUUAAACUAUUUAAAACAAGAUCUAUACUCUUGAUCUUAAUUACAAGACUCAUAUUAUCAUUUUUUUAAAAAUAUUCAUUUUCAACCGUUCAUUUUUGUGUCCACGCGAUGGAUUAGAGAAUAAUAUCGAAAAUGUAUGAAAUUUGAUUUCUAUACAUUUCAAGUGGUAUAAAUCAUAUUCAACAGUGUCGAUCGUCGAUUUGGAGGCUCCAUCAUCGAAAACAAAUUGGUGGCAACGGAGCCCGUUUGCUAUCGAUAGUAUUCUAGCUCAACUCUCUCUCUCUAUAUAUAUAGAGUCCGGCUAUGAUGCUUGUGAAAGCACCAAGCACUUGGUGCUUGUAAAUUUUUUACCGUUAGGUCUCUACCUUUGAUAAUUUUUACCUGUUAAAUUAUACUAUUCAACCAACCACCCACUCAACCCUAGGGGGCCUACAUCAUCCUAACCACACAUUCCUUAAUCCAAGAGCCAAAAACUUACAAGCACCAAUGACUUAAUACUUUUAAAAGCAUAGGAGCUCAAUUAUAUAUAUAUAUAUAUAUAUANUAUAUAUAGUUGAGUUAUAAUACUAUCGGUAAGAAACAGACUCCAUUGCCACCUAUUUAUUUUUGAUGAUGGCGCCUCUAAAUUAAUGAUCAUGACCAUUGAACAUGAUCUAUAUUUUUUAAGUAUUUAGAAAUCAAAUUUUAUGUCUUUUCGAUAUUAUAUAUUCUCAUGUCCAUUAAGUAGAUACAAAAAUAAAUGGCUGAAAAUGAAUCACUUUUAAAAAGUGAUGAUAAAAGUCUUAUAAUCCAGAUUAAGAGUAUAGAUCUUCUUCUAAAUAGUUUAAAUUUUUUUUUAACCAAAAUUCAAUUGAUUUGGAUAUUUUUACGCCGUUAAACAAGAAAACGUCUUAUAUCAACCAUAAAUUACAAAUUUUGAAGCUCUUUGAUCAUUAGGCUAGUGAUGUCGAAAAGAUUUGAAAUUUGAUUUCUAAAUAUUUUAAGUACUAUAGAUCAUGUUCAACAGUGCUGAUCGUCGAUUUGAAGGCUCUAUCAUCGAAAAUAAAAUGGGUGACAACAGAGCCCGUCUGCUACCGAUAGCAUUCCGACUCAACUCUCUCUCUCUUUCUCUCUCUCUAUAUGUGUAUAUAAAUUUCCAUCAUAUUUUUCAAUAUGUAAACUAAAUAAAACAGUAAUUACUAUGACAAUUAAAUAUAUUUUUAAUAUAACUGUCAUUAUUCAUUAUAUUAUUUUAUCGUAAUUGACUUCGUCUUAGUCUGUUUUUAAUAACUCGAAUUUCGACUAUAUUUUAAUUACGGCAACUCGAAUAGCAAUUAUUAUCAUUUACGACUGAAAACAAUUUAGCCCUAUCUGUUUUUAACCCAAAUGAAUAAGUCCUUGAAGUAUUUUCAUAAUUUUUUAAAAAAAUAUAUAUUAAGAUGGUAAUAAUUAAAGUAAGAGUUAAAAUAAAUUUGCACACCGAUUACGGCCUGAACGCGGUCGAGAGGACAAUUUUUCUUUAAAUCCUUUGCGAACAGUUCGGUGCCACGUGUCCAUUCUACAACCGUUGGGUCAAUGUCGACGCGUGCGCCGACACGUGGCGUCGGCGCACGAAUCGAGGAAAUGUCCCCGCAGGGUCUCGCACGUGCUUGUUCGCACGUGUUACCCAACUCCACCAUUCACAAUUUCUUUGGACGCGUAUUCAAAUACAGAUAAUAUAAAUAUAUAUAUCUGACGCUAAAUUUUUAUUUAACUAUAUUUAUUUAAAACGAAUUAAAAUUUAAAUAUUAUUUAAAUAAUAAUACAUAAUAAAAUAUUUUUAUAUAAAUUAAAAUUAGCACAAUAAAAUAUAAAAUAACUAAAUUAUGAAUGUAAAAUUUUGGAUAAAAUUAUUAGAUUCUUGAAUAACUGUGUUAGAUAUGUGGAUAAAACUAUUUUGAAUAUCAAUCAUUAAAUUUUUAGACAACUGUGCUAAAUACGACGGGUAAAACCCACAGUUUUCGAGAACACAAAGGCGCGAUCUACUAAUUACACUUUGAAAGCCCUUGUAAUUAAUUAAGUUGUACCGCUCCACCAGCAUAGCUCCUUCUUUUUUUUAUUUUUUUGAGAAAAAGGUAGCACGCUACCCGCUUCAUUCAUUAAAAUGAUGAACUCAGUUAUAGGUGUGAGGCAACACGGCCUCGGGGUGAGGGCGAAAAAGGUAGCAUAGCUCCUUUUUUAAUUAUUAUUACUACACCUAUUUAAUUUCAUUUAGACACUUCGAGAAAUAGGUUUUAUUUAUUAUUGCUACCACACCUAUUUAUUUUUUUAUAAACUUAUUAUAUCAUUUAGGCACUUCUAGAAGUAGGUGGAUUGCUUCUAACAAUUUUUUAUUUUAUCACGUAAUAAUUAAUUAAACAAAGUGCUGAAUUUGAGGACUAGGAUAAGAGACAGUUCACCGCAUACAAGCUUUUAUAGAAACGAAUAUAGAACUAGGCUAGAAUACUAUCAAUAGCACCAAGCUAUUGGUGCUAUUAGUUUUUCGGUCCUUAGAUGAAAAAAUAUACGGUUAAAAUGAUGCGAGUUCUCUAGGGUUGAGUGAGUUAUUUAUUUAAUAGUAUAAUUUAACGAAUAAAAAUAGUCAAAGAGUUAAAUCUAACGGCGAAAAAUUUGAUAGCACCAAACGCUUAGUGCUAUCGAUAGUAUUCUAGGCAGACUCACUAACAUAAUGUAUGUUACAAACAUGCAAUUAAUUAAUUCAUUGGCGUAUUUCACACUACAACAGAAUUAGAUUAUAGGGACACAUGUUUGGGACACUUUUGUCUAAGUGUCCCAUUUAUGUCAAAAUUUUAAAAAACAUCUAUUAAUGUCUAAAUAUAAAGCCGAAUCCAACAAAAAAUAAAAUGUUACUAUACUCAACCUACCCAACCCAGCCCAUUUGGUCCGAUUCCAAAUAGAAAAGAAAAAAAAAAAAAUCGAUUACCAUCUCCCCAUCUUCCCUCACUUAAUCCAUUGAAAUUCUAGAAGAAGGGCCCUUCCCUCUCGUUCUCCUCCGCCACCGCAGCCAACGAGAUAGAGUUCUGACACUACAACAAAACAUGCCUUUAGUGGCAAUUAAAUAGUGGCCAUUAUGAAAUGGCUGUUAUUGAUUUAAUAUCUAAUUAUAUUUUCGCAAUAAUUUUUAAAUUAUAAAUCAAAUAGGAACCCCAAUAUGAACCAAUCCCGAUCCCACCGGAUUGUAACCCAAUCCCACCCCUCUCCUUCCUUGCGUGGAUCCUCCUCCCUCUCUACCAACAUCGCCUUCUCCUCCACCUCUCUCCAAUGGCGCCGCUCCCUCAAGCUCCAAACCCUACCCCGCAGGUCUCCUCCUUCCUUCUCCCUCCUCCACCGUAGGAGCUUACGAUCCUCUUCCUUCUCUGCUCCUCAGGAGGGAGUGCCCUAACACCGAGUGCGGGGCGGGGACGUUCAUCGCCAACCACUUCGAUCGCCAUUACUGCGGCAACCACGAACUCUUCUUCUUCGACUCUCCUCUCAACUGCUUCUACACAAAGGGGUCGCCUGAGGUAAAAGCUUAGGGUUUCUAAGCCAUCCUCUCUAUCACCUUUUUUUUUUUGUUGCAAAAUUUGUUGAGAUUUUGUUCCUUUGAUAUGCUCUAUAGGAUCAGAUCGAAGAUUAGGUUUCAAUAUUUCAUAAGGUGUUUGUUUCUUUUAAUGCUAUUGAAUCAUGAGGCAUAGAGAUGGGAUUUUUGUAUUGGGUUUGGAUGAAGUGUAUGUGUAGCCCCUGAAUCGUGAUAAUUUUGUGACUUGGUCGCUGUAAUUUUCACUUGAAUAUUGUAGACAACGCUGCCUUUCAAUUUCAUUUAAAAGAAAAAAUGAAAUAAGUGAAUCAUUUUACAAAUGGAGGUAAUUUUUUCAUUUUGUAACUAAAAUCAAGCAUUUUUUUUUUAAAGUUGGGGAUUGAGGGUCCUAAAGUGCAAGAUAUGUGAAAUUUCAUGGACUAAAAUGUUUGAUUAUAGGGAGCAAGCUGAUCUCUGAGCAUUUUACAGUAAGAUAUUUUAUGAUUGCAGUUUCUAAAUAAUUUUGUUUGUAUGCAUUCCUCUCAGAAUUAGUGUCUGAGUGGAAAUUAUUUACCUCUUUUUUGAGUAAAUGGUUGAGAUUACUUGCUUGUAUUUUUGCGACCAGAUCAGUAUUCAACACUAACUAGUUAAGGUUUUCUAAACUUGGGUUUACUUUUAGCUAUUUUUUUUUGUUUAUUGCUCAAUACGGUGAAAUUGGAGAAUGAAUAUUCAACCAGCCUUAUUUAGUCUUUGUUUGGUCGAAGUCGUCAUCUUUGUUUUCAAAGAUAAGAGAGCUAUUUGUGUAUAUUUCUCGUCUUUUAUCUAGUAGUCCUUGUUGCUUAUGAUUAGCUUUGUUUUUUUUGUUUCUCAUGUUUUCUACUUUUCAUAGUCCUAUUCUGUUUAUUUAUAGAUCACAAAAAAAAAAGAUGGUGAAUGUUGUUGCUGUUCUAGGUAGCAAUGAGGGUGUCAAAGGCACAAUCAACUUCACCCAGGAAGGAGAUGGUAAAUAUAAUACCUAAUCUCAAGUUCAUUUUCGUUGUACUAUUUACAAAAUUUGACUUAGACUAUUGCUUCAUAUGCCACUUCGUUUUUCUUUUUCCCCUUGUUUCAUUGAUUUAGGUCCAACAACUGUGAUUGGGAUGAUCGGGAGCAUAUCUGGCCUCAAACUGGGGCUAUAUGGCUUCCAUGUCUAGGCACUUAUUGGUGACACUAUCUGAUUUGUGGAGGUGAUAUUUAGUUGUCUAUUUAUAGUGUUUUUUAUAAGUAUCUUUUUUUCUAAGGUAAACUAAUUUUUGUUUGGUUGUUCUAUUGUUCUGCUUGAUUUACUAGUGGUUUAUGUGUUGUAAUAUUGUUCUACUUGAUUCGGCGGUAUAGUGUUGUCAUUUAUUCACAUUGCUUUGAUUCGAGAAGAAAUAAUUUUAGGGAACACUUUUGUAUGUGUUUUUUUUCCCUCUGUGACAUAGACAAAUUUUGUCAUGUUUAGAGAAUAAAAUUGUGAUGCAUUACCUGGACAGUGUUCUAGGAGUAGGAACUAAGCCUCUUAUAUUGAUUGCACAUAGGUAUAUCACCUGCUUAGUACGCCUCACUUUUACAAUAGACUUUUUAGCCUCAAACUUCUAGGGAGAGAAGAUGAUUCAGAGGAACAAGUCCGUGAGUCCUAACCAUCACGUGAUUCAUAGACCCACGUCCAUCCCAACUAUACUGUGAUCACAUACACAUUUUUGAACUUGUAACCGAGUUCAAGAUAAAAUUUUGAGAGAUUUCAAACUUCAAAUUAGUUGCUUGGAUUCUUUGUGAAGAGUUGAACUUGGGGAGUGCUUCAAUUCAGUGACCUGGUAGGUUUUGAUUGCUGAAAUGGUGAAUAGUGCUGGAUGUGGCAAUUCUUGAAUUAGAUGGAAUUUACCUUGCUUAAUCUAGUUAGCUGAGCUUUUGCUGGGUUUUGGGUGAUCUUAACUUCAUCUUUUUCUAGUAAGAAUCUUAUUCGGGUUGAAUCGAAGGUUAGUUUAGAGAGAAUUUCAGAUUUUACUUGAGUUCCAAUCAAUUUAACCUCAUGUGGAAUUCUGAUUUUUUAAUCCAAUAUCCACCUCUUUUAGCUGAGAAGUAUUGGUGUGAUUUUGGAUGUUUUCAUGGUAGAUGAGUUAUGGAUCGACCUUUGAACUCUCCCUCACACCCCUCUCCUUGUUGCUCUCUUGCUGGUUGGUUUUCUGCGGAGCACGCAAUCAACAACAGCUAUAACAAUCAGCCGACAGCAGCAACAUCAGCAUGCUGGCAGCAUUGAGUCGAGAAUUGGGAGCUAAAUUGGAUAUGAUUCGAUGCUCCAUUUUCGAAAUUGAGCUCUUAUAUUUGUGUGGGGAGAAGUUGAGAAUCAUCUUGUACCUUCCUUGAGCUGGAUUUGCAGGUUAAUAGCUCUGAUUUUUAUGUUGAUCGAAGGUGAUGCAUAAUGCUGAUUUUUGACCCAACUUCAUAUUUGAAUAAAAUUCGUUUGAAUUUCUUCUAGGAACUGAGUUUGGAAGGAUUGGAAGCGAUCUCAACUUCAUCCUUUUGUGGUUAGAAUCUUGUUUGGACCAAUUUGGAGGUAAAAUGAGUAAGAAUUUUAGUUUUCUUUGAGGUUGAAAAUCGGAAAACUGAUUUUGGCAUUCUUCGCAUUUUUGACUUUUAAUCACUUUUGCAUGGUAAUUUUGUAGUGAUCAAGUGAGUUUUCUGGUGGAUUAAAAUCCUGGGAACACACUUUAGAGUAUGUUGGUGUUCCUCAUUCCCUUGGUUAUCCCGUGGAUUAGCCCUUGGAGCGGAGACAGCAGCAAGUAUUUUUGGCAAUUAGUUUUGAUUUGGACCUUAUUGCUACGAUUUGAUGCUUCUAGGGUGUUUUUGAAGUACAGAGGAACAUGGGAAUUAUGUUUCAACUAUUGGUUUGAGGUGAGUAAUACUAAAUUUUAGUUUUUUUCGAACUGAAUCGACAUUGAUGGAUUCUUCUUAAUCCACGGUACAAAUCCCACGAUUUCUACAUUGCAGGAGACACGAACAUGGGAAUUAAGUUUCAACUAUUGGUUUGAGGUGAGUAAUACUAAAUUUCAGUUUCUUUCGAACUGAAUCGACAUUGAUAGAUUCUUUUUUUUAGUAUAUAUAAACUAAGCAAAUGAUGAAAAGUAAUAAGGGAAGAGUGAAAAUGCUGUCCAUGCAUGAAAAAUGCAACCAAAAACACCAUGUACGCACUUUCAAGGAGCUUUUGCUGGCAGCCACCUGAGUAUCCAGAGGUCUUUCCGGUCCACCGUCAACCUUAGACGUGUCCUAUCUCUGUCACGGCCUUUUCAUACUGGGAAUGGUGUUUUCUUUUUUUCUUUUUUUUUUUUGUUUUCUUUGAGGUCGAGCUUGGAAUGGACUUAAACAGUAAAUUACCGUGUUUUGACUAGUGUGAAACAGGCAGCUUCUAUCGAGCUGAUGCUCUCGUUGACAAAAAAGUGGAAAUUCUCCGAUCUUUUUCAGGACGGGUUGACUAAUGUGAACGAGCAAACAAUUGUACUAACAUUCGUAGACGCAUCCUUCCUCGCCAUUUGCACAAAAGAGCUCAACAAGUGUUUUAAUUAGAUCGACAUCCACAGAUGACGAACCCGUGGGAGCGUCGUAUCACAGUUAAGAAGUAACAACAUAUCACCUUUUUUUUAACUUUCUUUUUUUUUUUCCGCCCUCCUCGAGACCUCAGAUGUUUCAUCCCCGUAACUAAAUUCAUAAUUUCAAUAAAUAAAGCGAGUAAAAUAUUAGCAUCAUAAACACUAAUGGCGUCAACACUCGGAUUGUAGAUGAUAACACUGUUAAAUUUGUAACUGGAUCUUCCAAGGAACUUCAUGAGAAACUUGGCAAAUAAUAUGGAAGUGAAUGCGAGGCAUGAAAGUAUUAGGAGUGCGUCUUUUUUCAAAGAAAACUAAAUGCACACUAUAUCUCUGUUUUUGGAAUCUUUUUUGCCUAACUAUAUUUUUUGCUUUGAUCUGAUGAACUUGGUGUUUAAUACUGAACGGAGUGUAUACAGUUCAGAUUCCGCCUUUUUUUUUUUAAUGCAUUUAUGCAGGAAAGCUAAUAACUUAGCAUUGAUCUUAUUUGAUGCUGUAGUUUGUGAUCCAGUCAUGGGAGAUGAAGGAAAGCUAUAUGUUCCACAAGAGUUGGUAUCUGUGCAUCGAGAAAAGGUGAGCCUCAGACCACUUGAUCUACAUUUUACGGCACAUUACCAUCGUUUUCUAGCAUUUUAUAAAUUUGUUUUAUGUCCUGUAGUUUAUUCAGAGAUAAUGGCUUGGAGUCAUGUUUAAUACUCUUUGUUCUUAAUUUUCUUUAUAUGAUGUUAUAUUUUUGACAAGUCUGUGAUGUUUGAUCUACAUGUUUAAUAUUUUUUUCCUUUUUCGUUUUUGUUAAUUAAUGUAAGGUCGUUCCUGUUGCUUCUAUGCUUACUCCAAAUCAAUUUGAAGCUGAACUACUGAUUGGAUUGAGGUAGGUAUGCGUUUAGUUUGAAGAAUAACAUUUAUUUUACAUUGGCAUCAGGAGCAUCUGACCAGAGUCCAUAUAAUACUAUUUAUAUCUAAUUUUUUUUCUUUAGGAGCGUCUGAUCACUUUGUAAUCAUAUUUAUGUACGAAAAUGCUUCACAGGUUGUUGUUAGAAGAGUCAUAUCCUGGUGUGCUACUUUUUGAUUUUUGAACCCGGAAUUGUAUUUAAUAUAUUGUGAUUUAGUAUAGGAUUAAAAGAGUUAGUUAUUUUGUUAAGUUUAACUAAAAUCACUGUUUGUGGAGGAAUUAUGUAUAGCUUCAAUGUAGUAGAAUUUUGAUGCUUGCAAUUUGAUAAUAAUUACUUGAUUGCUAUUGUCAUGACUCUAUAUUGACAUCUUCAUGUUUUAUUAGAGUAGUUGCAUCUGGUUUGUAGGUCUGUUGCAUCCAACAUGCAAAUAUGAAUCAUGUUAAAUCUGAGCUAAUUCUACUCAUAUGACAGUUACUUCAUUGAAUCUUAUUAUAUAGUUGCUAGUUCAAUUUGCCAUCCUAGAUAUCUAGUACUAAGAUUACUGGUCAUUUUCUAUUCAAUCGAUUAUUUGGUAACAUGUAUCAAAACUAGUUGUAAAUUCAUGCCAUUACUUAUCUGGAUUGGCUGAUAACUAUGAAAAUGCCGCUUUGGUAUGGUAAUGAGAACUCAUAUCCUUGCUUACUAACCGUAGCUUCGUAUUUACCAUCCUUAUUAUCCAACUAAAGACGUUAACCCAUUUAAUUUCAUGUUUUCGCUGAAGGAUAAACACUAAGAGCUGAAUGAUAGCUCAACAUAAGCAAGGGAGGUUCCAAAUGUUAUGAACUUUAUGAGCUGAAUGAUAGCUCCGAUUCUCGACCCGGCGAUCCCCAUAUCUCCCUUGCUAUCGCCCAUGACCUACUCGGCCCCGCGAGGACGAUCCUCGACGAUCCGAUCCGAGCCCUCAGCGGUGCCGCUUCUCGAUUCCUCUUCUCAAUUUGGUGCUCCGAUCCAUUGGUAAGAGUUCUCAAUCUCAAAUCAUUAGUUUCGUACUCGAAUCCUCAGUUAUCUCAAAUCAUUAGUUGUAGGAAUGAUUAGACGAUUUAGAUGUUUCAUACUUUCUUAUCCUUUAUUUAUUUGCAAAUUUGGACUUAUUCAGAAAUCUGCAUUGGUUUAGAAAUCCUACUAUAUCUGCAUGUCUAUUUUGUUUUUUCUUGGGAUUUCAUUAAAUUCUUUUAAAUAAGGUAAAUGCUUAUGGGGUUGUGGGCUUAGAGCUUAGGGUUUAGGAUAUUUGGGUCGUAUUAUAAAUGCUUUAGCUACACCUAUUGAUGGGAGGGGAAAUUUCAGCUUCUAAAUCUUGGUUAAUGCCCCCUCAAAUAGGGCUUAUUGCUAUUGAUUCUAUAUACGUAGAUGAAUAAAUAUGUAUCAUACUCUAGACUAUUAACGAAUAUCUAUCCCGAUCCUUCUCUAUUAAUUAUUGGUUUACACACCAUUUGUCUUUCCGCCAGCGGCUUAUGUAGUGGUCAGCCAAAGCCUCACAGCAUCUAGUAGUCUUGCCCCGACUUGAUACCCUAGCAUCUAAAUAGGGGCUCUUCCUUAAUUUACUUGUGCUUGGAUAAUGAAGGAGCAUAUAUGAGCAUGAAUCUUUUUACUACACUAAAAAAAAAGAUGUAGGUUAUGCUGCUUUAACUUUGUUCUUUUGUAUCUUGAUACAUUUUCUUUUCAGUAGCUUUUCUACCUUUGUUUAAUGAUCUUAAUCUUUUUUUUUUUUUGUUUAAUGCAUUUCGUAGUGCAGAUACCAAUUUUCACUUUGUUGGGUGGCAAACUUUUACUGAACUCUUAAUUCAACUUCGGUCGCACUUUGUUGGGUGGCAAACUUUUACUGAACUCUUAAUUCAACUUAGGUCGCACUGUCUAUAUAUUUUAUUAGGUAACUUCAUAAUUUUUUGAAUCAAGUCUAGAUUUAGCCUAUAGCCUGAAAUCUUUUUUGCUGUUCUCAUAUUCAUUUUCAGAUGUGCUUGUCUACUUAAUUAAAGUGCUAUUAUUACAAAAUGAAAAGAAAAGAUAGACCAAAUCAGUACAACCUAACUUUUAUAUUUUUCAGAAAUUUGAUAUGAUGAUUUUUAUUUGGUAAUUUCGGACACUGAUUUUAUGACUUUUUUUUUGUUGAUCCAGAACAGCUGGAGCUGCGGAAAUUGAAGUGGGAAGCAAGAAUUUCAAACAUGCGGUGUUUGUUAUUUUUUAGCUACAUUUUGAACAAGUAUUUUUUGUUAGAACUUAUGUUUGAAAUUUAAUUUGAAUACUGAGAUUGUAAUUUGAGAGUUGAGACUAUUUGUUAUACAAAUUAUUAAUGCUUUUUGGUUACUAAUAUUUUUUAAUAUUUCAAUUCAUUGUAGUAUUUAGUUGUUAAUCAAGUAUUUUAAUAUUAAUUUAAUUGCCGCUAUAAGCUUUAUUAAUCAAUCAUUUAGUAUGUUUUUUGCGGCAAUUAUAAUUAAUUGUAGCGGCAUUUAUAAUAGUUGUUAUUGUAUAUUAUUUAGCGGCAUUUAUAAUAGUUGUUAUUGCAUACUAUUUAGCGGCAUUUAUAAUAGUCGUUAUUGUAUAAUAUUUAGCGGCAUUUAUUUGGAUUUUUACCAACCGCCGGAAUAAAUGCCGCUAAAACUUUUAGCGACCCUGCCAAUAGCGGCAAUUGUUAAAAUUGCCACAAAAUAUUUUAGCGGCAAUUGUAAUUGCCGCUAAUUUAAAAAAUAAUCGCCGCUAAAAUAUAAUUUUGUUGUAGUGUGACUAUUGCUAGAUGCUUAAAUAAGUGUUGCUAAAUUAGCAAGACUUUUGUAGGUUAUAGCGACACUCUUUAACUGUCACUAUAUACCUAGCGACCCCACAUAUAGCAACACUUUUUAAAAGUGUUGGUAAUUUAGCCAGCAACACUUUUUUUUACCUAUACCGAUAUUUAAAAGUGUCGCUAUAGACCGUUUUUGUUGUAGUGUCAUGAGCAUAUUAACAACUAACACAAACAUAUGCAUAGAAGUGCUUAAGCAGUUAAUUAGAAAUGUCAGUAGAUGACUGAAACAUAUGCAUCGAUAAGCUUACCAAUUAAUUGUUUAUUUAGUUUCUCAUAUCCACAAACAAGACAUACUAAUUAGUUGUCGGAAAAGAAGCUAUGAAAAGGAAAUAUUGUUUGAGUGAUCAAAAGUAUAUGUGAGAGUUCCAAAAGUUAAUGUUUAAUGCACAGAAAAUGUGCAGUGGCUCUGCGAUGUAGUUGAACGUUAAAUCAUGCAUGGUGGUACUUCGCAGCAACGUAGGGGCACUUCGAAGGGGUAAGAGAAUAUGUAGAUGCUAUCGUUUUAAAGAGGCGAUAAGGUUCGUUUGAUUAUCCAACCGUUUUACGUGCAUGCAUGCGUGCGUGCGUGAGUAUUGACGAAGGAUCUAGUAAAAUGUGUCGAUCAGCAAGGGAUUCAUUGUACGUUCCACACCACGACCUUUCCAAUCAAAUUAUUACAGCUCCAACAAACUAAUCUGACAUGUUAACGUUCAUAAACUAUUUUUUAUCAAAUUGAUCUUUUAACUCUGCAUCACUCGAUUGGUUUUAGAGGUGUUGAGGUUGUAUUCAAACACCUUCAAAGUGUUUUAAUAUGAGCGUAUCGAGCAAUUUGAUUUAGGACUAGCCAUUGCUAGAAACAGAAAAAAAAUUGUUUGUCCUUUGUUUUGUUAUGGUAUCUCUUUUAUAAGUACAAUAUUGAUAUGAUAUUUAUAAUUUAACUAAUUUAAAAAUUGCAUGCUAAGCUAUAAGUAGGUAAAUCAUUUCUAGUACUACGUGAUCGAGCUAAUAAAUAUAUAUACAAUAAAGAAGAUGUGAUUAUUGAGGCAAUUGAAUUGAAAUAGUUAGUUUUUAUGAUUGAAUAAUAAUAAGUUGAGAUGGUUAGUUGUUGCACUCAACAUCAUGCAUGGGCUUUACGUCGUCGUUUUACGUGCCACACGGUUCCAUCUAAAAUUGCGUGCACAUUUUAUUUUUAAUUUUAUUCUUUACCUUUUUUUUUUUUUUACUGUAGUAACUUCUCUCAAAAAAUACAAAAAAAAAACAGAGAGGAAAACUUAGCUAAUAUUUUUGUACACUACCCUACGUCACCCGUUUACAGGUUGGCCCCGUCUACAUGAUAGCCUCAUCGCGUACGUAAUUUGAGCCACACAUAGUUCACUAUAAAAUGAAAAAAUUAAAGGGAAUUUUAAAAAAAAAAAUUCAUUGACCAUAAGUUUUAAUUUAAUUGACACGCGUCGCUAGCUAGUUUGAAGGUUAAAUUUGACAUUUUUUUAUUAGAAUAUUUGAGCGCGAUAUAAAGAUUGUUGGCUUAAAUAAACCAGCAUUUUGUUCUGUGCAGGGAGGCUAAGUAGACUGAGUCACGUUCGAAAUGGCGCGAGGUUGGGUUGGACGAAGUCAUGUUUGAAGUGGCGUAAGUUUAGGGGGACCGAGCCAUAAUCGAGACUCGUAGGCGUUGUAUCUAUACGCUUUAAUUAAGUGAAUUAGUUGCAUAGCUCGAGCUUUUGGGAUUAACGAUUAGCGCCAACGAUCCGACAUCUUUUGGGAUUAACGAUUAGCGCCAACGAUCCGACAAAGAUGUCUGCGGUUGAUGAUUCAAUUGAAUAGCGUGACGGCUAAAAAGUUAAAGUAAAAAUAAAUUUGGAAGAAAAAAACAUAUUUGCUUAUUUAUAAGGUUUAAUUAGUCAUUAAUUAGAUGUAAGAAGACACAUGCAUUUUUAUAUUAAUCCAAAAGAAGGAAUAAAUUUGCAUAUUUUAAGUAUUUCGAGGAAUAGGUAUGAUAUAUUUAAAUUUGCAGGGAUAAAUUGAUAUAAACAAAUUUCUUUUAGAGAGCUUUUGUGAGCACAUAAAAAUAUUAGUGAUUUGGAAGUAAUUGCUUGCGCUGAUGCAUUUGUGAGUUUAUUCAUCUUAAUUUCAUCCACUCAUCAUUGAUCCCAUCUAAUAUUGUCAAAUUCAAAAUAUCCAUUGCAACAUCCAAUAUAUGAAUAAAUGUGCAAGCAUCGAUAUAUAUAUAUAUAUAUAUAUUGUUUAACUAAUAUUUAGCGAAAAACAUAAUUAGCGACCAUAAUAUUAUUGAAAAAAUUAUGACCUAAAACUAGCUAAAAAAAUAUUUUUUCAAUCAAAAUGUCUUUUUUAGAGAUAUUUUUGGGUAAACCAAAUAUUUUUAGUAAUGUUUUUUGCAUAAAAUACGGAGAAUCGUUUUUUAUGAAAAAGAGUUUUUGAAUAAAAAAUAAUUUUAUAGGAUAUGAUGCUUGGUUCAUAGAAAAAGAAAAUCAGUUUCCAUACCAUAUUUAUUUACCUUGUCCCGAAAAAUAGAAAAAAUAAUAUAUAUAUAUAUAUAUAUAUAUAUAUAUAUAUAUAUAUAUAUAUAUAUAUAUAUAUAUAUAUAUAUAUAUAUAUAUGAGUUAUUUAGAUAAAUUAUUUAGUUUAUUUUAUCUAAACAUAUUAUUUAAGUAUUAUAGGAUAAAUAAUAACAAGAAAUCAAAUAUAUUUUAAAAUAAUAUGAGAUUAUAAGUAGAGAUUAUAAGUAUGCAAUUAUAUGUAGAGAGCAAUUACUCUGUUUUUUUAUUAUCUAAUAAUAAAAUAAUAUAUAAUAUAUUAUUUAUACAAUGUAGUUUAUGCAUUCGGUCAAUGAGGUUAUACUACUUUAAGCUCAUGGACCACGUCAAAAUUCCUAAUGUGGACUUGGGACGCGGCUAUUUUUCUUUUCUCUUUCAUAAAGAGAAAGAUAGCAUGCAUGCCAUUUAUUUCGUUUAAGUCCUUAAACUUUUAUACUGUAAUUUUUGAGGGGAGAAAUAUUUAUUUUUUAUUUUUUUUGGGUAGAAAAUGAAAACUCUUUCUUUUCAAAAUAUCUGUAAGGUUAUUUUAGAGGGAAAAUUUUUUAUUGGCAAUCAAAUCAAAUGAUUGAAAAAUUAUUUUUUCUAGUCAAAAAUUAUUUUGGGCUCACUUUUACACUUCCCUAGUUCAACACAAGUGGAUAUUCAACCUUCAACCACCGGAGGUUGAUCCACAGCUUGACGAACAUCGAAUCGGUCUAAACCGAAGUACGUACUAAAUUUCAGCCCAGCUCUGACCAAUGUUUGUUCAUUGUGGUGCAAUUUCAGUCCCAAUGGGGCGAAGAACUUUUCGGGCUUUUUACUCUUUUAGCCCCAAUUUGGAAAGGGUGAAUCUUGGGCCAAAGCCUAUAUAACUAGGCGCAGCCCACUCCCAUCCUAGCAUAUACAGGCUCAAAGCGUAUUUGGAUGCACGAGUAUUUUGUUCAGUGUAUCUCUUUAUUUAAUAAAGAAAUAAUCGGUAGAAAGAUAAUCACUACAUAAACAAGAGCUAAAAGAUGAAGAUAUUUCGCAGAAAUUUGGACUCGUACCCACACAAAAUCAAGCAUCAACCAAAUACAAACUAGCAUGCGUAUCAACUAAUGAUCCAUCAUAUGCUGCAGAAAGAUUUAGAUGUCCAAGUCUAAGUCUCAGGCAAACAAGAGCUGUAAAAGAUCCAAAGCGCAGGAGAAUUUGAGUAUAGGGUACAUAAUGUCGCUUACAUACGCGAUGAGUGGAAACAAGAGAUAUUUCAAUAACAAUUAAGAAGCUAAAAGAGUAAAUGGUCUCACCAAAUUCAAAUUUCACUAUUACUCGACACCCUUCCACGAUUUGGAGAUGAAUAGCAUCCUUAUAGACCAAGAAAAGUUUGAGAGGCCACUUCAACUUUCAAAACUGCACAUAAUCCAGAAAUGCAUAUGAACUAUAUUCAGAGCUAAUGGCCACAACAAAAGACUACCAACUGAAUUUGCUAAUCUGAAAUAUUUCAUGCGGAAUAGUGUUUGGAAAUGUGAAUCAACUAGGAUUCGAACUUGGGUCUCGGGUACCAACCACCAAGUCCUUUGCCACUUGCUCUAGGGACAGUCGGUUUUCAUGCGGAAUAGUUGAUUAACGAAAACAGGCAGAUAAAAAGGAACAAAAUUCAUGUGAACAGCAAGAAGAAUGCAGAGUUCUUCUAAAUGAUCAGAGAGGAUGGGACAGCAUAACGAUUGGAAAGAAAAUGAACAAAAAGCUAAACCAGAUAUCAAAUUACAAUUACCUCAGCGCUAUUAACGGUCACCAAAGCAAUCUCAUGGACAUAAUUGCUUCUUACGAAGUAAACAUAAUACUGAGGUACGAUGUUCGACAGUUAUAAAAUUGCACUGUAGGAUCUUCAUUUCACGAGUAAUACCCGAAUCAUACACUGCAAUAACAGGUUUUCACACUGACCCCACAGACAAGUGCUGUAUUGUGUUAUGCAACUUUAAACACUCUCCUUUUGGAAUUCAAACCAGCAGAAAUGCUGAGAAAACAAAAAAUACUGUUAAUAUUAAGAAUGGCAAAUUACUUUAGCUGCCUGAAAAUAAUUUGUGUUAAGAAUGGCAGUUGGUAGUCAAUACAUUUAAAGUGAUUUGUCCAAAAACAAAUACAUCAUAAUUGCCUGAAAAAUACAGUUAAAGUAAAUUGAACAAACUUUGUCAUUAUUUCAGUCAAAUAAAUUUUCUUAAUAAUCUUCAAUCAACUGAAAGUCAAAUAGCUUGAAUAAUCCUAAAUAUAUCCGAGCACUGAAAGAAAGAGGGACAUUUGAGCCAUUUGCAUUUAAUUGAAACAAUUACAAAGUUCAUAAAGUUUAUUUUAAUGUUUCAAAGUUCGGGCAGUGAUAUAUGCAAUCAAGCAAAAUGUUCAGGGGAGCUAAUCAAGUACUCACAUGCUUCAUAUUCAUCCUUCUAAUCAAACAUCAAUUAAUGGAUUAUAGAAAACAAUUCCAGAUCAAACCCGAUCCUCAAAAUUACAUAUAGCACGAUUCAUCAAGCUUAUAAAACGGGAUUUUGAUUCAAACGAAAAGCAAAGCAAACACCAUGCACUUCAGUUAUAUAAUACCAGGCCCAAAUCACCAAAUCUAUGCUUUUAAAAAAAAAAAAAAAACACGGAGAGUAGGAGCCCGCACAGAUCAACAUCGCAUGGAGGCGAAGGGAUCCCCAAAAUUACACAUAGCACGAUUCAUCAAACUUAUAUAUAUAUAUAUAUAUAUUAUAUGAUCCAAUAUUUGAGGACUUUUUACCGACCGUUCCUAACGCAAGCGGCAAAGGGCUUGGUUGGUACCUGAGGUCCUAAGUUCGAAUCCUAAUUGAUUCACAUUUUCAGUUAAGUUUAUUUAUAAAAGAAAUAAAUAAACCGGAUAGCAUGUUACCUAUUUCUUAAAUUAAAAAAAUUUGAGGUCUUUUUCUCUUUGGCCCCAUAAAUAUUUGUGCUAUAUUUAUCUAAGUAAAAAUGCUCUACAAGGAUAAGAAUCUCGUCCCAUUGGACGAGAUAAUUCACUAAUCCAAUGAGAAUCAAGGCUAUUCACGAAAUUUUCCAAACACUUACAUUGUUUUGCCUAGCACGAUAUUUAAAGUUCACCGCAUUAAUUUUUGGUGCUCGUGCACCAAUGUGAAAGGGACCGUGGGCUCCACGUGUCCACGUGACACAUGGCCCACAAGAUCUUCUGCUUCAAUAAAUUCUACCUUAAAUUUUGGGCUCUCAUGUCCAUAUUACUGUUACGUGGUCCACAAUAUGGAUUUAAGCUUAUAAUUUAUUUAUUUUAUUUUCUUUGAUAUUAAUAUAUAAUUCUAGGCUCUCCACAUGACUCAUUUCAGUAUUCAUCCGUAACAGAAUAAAUUUAGAUAACUCAAUAUGGACGGUUCGAAUUGAUACUGCUAUGAGCAGUAGGGCUGGCAAAUGAGCGAGCCGGCUCGCGUUCGACUCGCGUUCGACUCGAUAUUUGGNGGGAGAGGUCGUACGGAUCAACAUCGCGGCGAUGGCGGAGGGAUCGGGGGAGGAGAUUUAGGCACCCUUGGCGGCGGCGGCGGCGGAGGGAUCGGAGGAGGAGGAGGAGGGGGGAGAAGGGGCGCGGAGUGGGGCGACGAGGGAGGCGUCGGGGUCGAAGUUAGGGUUGAGGGAGCGGUCGAUUGCGUCGCGGCCCUUGUCGAGGCAGGGCUUGCACGCGAUCUCGAUGGUGAUCCACCCCAGGAUCACCGCCGCGAUCGCCACCACCGCGGUCACGAUGGCCCCCAUACCAAUCGACGGUCCAGAUCCCUCGAUCUCGAUCACGAUCACGAUCACGAUCACGAUCACGAUCACGAGGAGGCCCCCCUCUCUCUCUCUCGUUUCUCGCUCUAGCUCUAUUGGUUUAUCAGUGUUCGAGGAGAUCUGCGCCGCUGCGCGGGACACGGGGAAGCGCUUUGCCGUCCGAGGAGAAAGACGAACUAUUGCCUGGACCCGGUUCACCAUGUCAUCCGCGGACAAUUAUAAUUGUGGAAAUUCAUAUUCCGGACUACAUGAUCUCAGAACUUUUUUUUCCAAAAAAAAGAUGAUAAUAUUUCUCCCGAAGUUGGAUUCCCACAUGGAUCUAUCUCGAAUGAAAUAGGGACUGAAAAGUAUUUCUCCUUAUUAAGAAUGGAGUGGUGUUGAUACAUCUUAUAAAAUUUUCCAUCCUAACUUUAGUAUAUAUAUUAUGAUAUAUAUUUUUAACUAUAAAAAUAUACAGAAUUUAUCGUAAAGCUACCAUACUAUCAAAUGUAUAGAGAAUCUAAUGCUUUCGAUUUUUUAGCCAUUAAAUCAGCCUCAUUAAUCAUUUCUAAUCUUUGGAUUAAUACUAUUAUUCUGUGAAGACCAUUCAAUCCUACCGAUACUACUCAAUCCUAAGGGGGACCAUAAUCAUCUCAAACGUACAAUUCUUAAUCCAAGAGUGAAAAAUUCGAAAGUAUCAAAUUCUUUAUACUUUCGAUAGCGUAGUAGCUCUAUAUCAGAAUCUACCUAAACUAUGGAUCGAGCUACACAGUCUUUCAAAAUUAUAAUUUUAAUAUCAAACCUAUCAAUUUAUUUAAUUUGAAUCAGUCAACAUCACUUGAACUUUACAAGUCUAGUUAGUAUAUAUUUUUUUUAGUUCUCGCAAUCAUAAAUUUAUUAAAAUAAAUAAUAAGUUUAAAAUUUUAAGUUAAUGAUGACGGACUCAAAUCAAAUAAAUUAAAAUAUUGGAUAGUAAAAUCAUAUUAUUUAGAUGAUUUAUAGAAUAGAGCUACUAUACUUUUAAAAGUAUAAGAGAGUUUGUGCUUCCAACUAUUUAGCUUUUGAUCAACCCUUUUGACCAUUUUUGGCAUUUGAAUUAAUAUUAUUAUUUUAGAGGACCAUUCAACUCUAAGAAAAACUACUAUCAUUUCAAUCAUAUAAUUCUUAGUCCAAAGGUCAAGAAGUCAAAAAUACUAACUUCAUUAUACUUUCGAUAGUACAGUAACUCUCCAUAUGAUUUAUAUUUUAACACAUACGUAAAAAAAAAAAAAAAAAAAAAAAAAAACUGAACUGAACAAAAAAAAAAGGUGCGGCUCAUGGCGACGUGGUAAACUAAACCCAGGAAAUAUUUUCUGCAGGGCUGACACGUGGACCUGACAUGUGGGCCCCAAGUGUCUGUCUCGUAAAAGCGUCUCCUCUUCCCCCUCUUCGCCCCCCUCCCGUUAGAGAGAAAAAGUAAAGAGCGAGCGAGAGAGAGAGAGAGAGAGAGAGAGAGAGAGUCUCACACAAGUACCUUAAACCCAAUCCAAACCCUCCUCCCCCAAAACCCCUACCUUUCGCCAUGCCACUACCUCUCCUCGGGCGAUCAUGGCGAUCGCCCCUAUUCUCCUCACCCGUGCGAACCCUAGCAUUCUCCCUCGUCCAUCGAUCGACCUACGUCGACGUCGCCAUGAAGUGGAAGAAGGACCCCUUCUACGACUCCAUCGGCGUCCUCGCUCGCUCCAGGGAUCUCAAGCCCCUCGUCUCCCUCAAAAGCAUCAUCGCCCGCGCCCCCUCCGACGCCGGGAUCCCCGUCUCCGCCGUCUCCAAGCGCGGCCGCGCCCUCGAGACCUCCGGCCGCCGCGUCGCCUCCUUCCUCCGCCGCUACCCCGCCGUGUUCGACGAGUACACCGGCCCCAACUACAACCUCCCCUGGUUCAGGCUCACCCGAGAAGCCGUCGACCUCGACCGCGAGGAGCGCGCCGUCUAUGACGCCCGAAAGCCCGAGAUCGUCGACCGGCUCCGGAGAUUGAUCCUCAUGUCGAGGGAUCGCCAAUUGCCGUUCAGAAUUGUGCAGGGGAUGCUGUGGUAUUUGGGCUUGCCCGAAGAUUUCCUCGAAGACCCCAACAACAUCUCUAAUGGCAGCUUCGGGGUAGUCGAAAUCGGAGACGGGGAGAAAGGAUUGAGCGUUGUCGGUGGUGGAGAUGAGCCAGUGUUUUCGGCGCUCCAGCGGAACGCACUGAGGCAAUUUGGCGGUUCUGCGGAUUCGCCUCCUAAGGAAGUUGCUUUCCCACUAUUCCCCUCUAAAGGCCUCCGGUUGAAGAGAAAGAUCGCGCAUUGGUUGGACGAAUUCCAGAAGCUUCCGUACGUCUCUCCGUAUGAGGAUUUUUCUCAUUUGGAUCCGAGCAGUGAUAUCUCGGAGAAGCGGGCGGCGGGAGUUCUUCACGAACUUCUUAGUUUGUUUGUCGAUAAUUCGGCGGAGAGGCGGCGGCUUCUCUGCCUCAGGAAGCACUUGGGGCUGUCGCAGAAGUUCCACAAGGUGUUCGAGCGGCAUCCCCAUGUGUUCUACCUGCUAUUGAAGAGCAAGACCUGCUUUGUUGUUCUAAAAGAAGCUUAUUUUGCCGGUUCGGACACCGCAUUGGAGAAGCACCCGAUGCUUGCGAUAAGGAAGAAGUAUGUUAAGCUGAUGGAUAAAUCGGACGCUAUUCUGAGAAGCCGUCGGAGUAGGAAACCUGUGGAAGAUGCUGCCGAGGGAAGUUAAGUUGCUGCUAUUGAUUCGAUGGAGGAUUCUGAUGGGUUUAGCAGAGGACCAUUAGAACUUGAGCGGAAGUCGGAAGAUUGGAGACAUGUUUGAAGCUGAAAUUGGCAGACUGCUUGGGGUUUGUUGAAUAGUUGAGAAGAAAUUCAUCAUUGUGCACAGAGAAGCUGGAAAGAUACAGGCAUUCACUUGAAUUGUGUUAAGAGGAGGCUAACUCGAGUUUCCGUGGCCAAUUUUGGUGCCAUAUAGUAAAGUCGCCGUAAUAUGCAGCAGACCAUUUGAAUUGCCACCUUGAGAUUGUGCAAGUCCGGUUAUAAAGGUAAAAAAGUUUCCUAUUUAGUUAAAGACCUGGCGAAAACCUUGUUAUAUCAACCGUACAUUCUGUCUACUGAUCUUUACCGUCAAAUUGAGCUAAGAACAAAGAGAUGGAAUUUUGAUUACUGUUUCGUGAUUUGCUAUUUGGAACUGAGAACUCCCUUUAGUAUGAUCGAAGUUUGCUUCUUCAACCUUGUUCAGCAAGUAGUAAAUGCCAAUCUAAAACUAGGAGCACAAUUUUCAUGUUAUUCUGAAGUUUGUUUCUCAGAAAUAGAGCUAAAAGCAAAAGUUGGUGAUUUAUUUGACAUCUACCUCUACCAAUAUCUGAGGAAUGACUGAAAUCUUCUGGAAAAGAGGUACCAUGCAGACUCCAAUUGUAAUGUGUGGUUUUAGCAAAAUAGCACAUAGCAUUGAUGUCUUAGCCGAGAUUGGUAAUUUCUUACUCAUGCUGAUUUUCUGCUUCCAUUUAACUAUGUCUGAUGUAAUUCUGUCGGACUCAAGAUUAGUUUCUUGUGCUGUUAGUUUUUUAGGUCUUAAUUGCGCGCUCUUGAUGGGCCAACCUGAUCCAAUAAGUUGAGCAGUUCUUGGUGAUUCUUGGUACUGCCGACAACUGCAGCAAGGAGUUAAAAGAAACACCUUUUGAAGAAGAACAGUGAAGAGGAAAAUUCUGGGAAUUGAUCUUCUUCUGUUCUCUCUCCCAUUAACACUGCUUACACAAAAGCAAAAGAACUCCCUCUCUCUUUGAUCAAGGUGAUUUGGCAUUUAAGUUGUGGAAGAACUGAAAAGUGUGUGCGCUUUCCAAUUUGCGAUCGCACAUUUGACUUGCUUGUGAUUCUAUAUUUGGUGGCUCGAAGAAUGUCUUAUUCUUCACGCUUCUAAGGCUAGUUCAUUCAUAUCCGUAAUUGUUAUCAUUCGACAUGUACAAAAUGGUGUACUUCUAGCGAAUAAAUUUUGGGAAAUCUUACACUUUGCGGCCCAUGUGUGAAAGAUUUCGAUGAAGUAAAUGAGGGAUUUAACAUUAGAUUUAUGUGCCCAUGAUCCUGGAACUAAGCUGCAUUUAUUAUCCAUUUACUUAAUCAUGCAUUAUCUUCUCAUUAUUAUCUUCCUGUGUCUAGGACCCUGCAUUAUCCAUUGUGUUGGGGAAAUUUAUCUAAUGAAGAAAUUAUUCUCAAGUUGCAGCACUAAAGAACAGAGUACUCGCGCAGAAUUUUUUAUUUUUAAUUUUGAGUCCCUCUAUUUGCUGAUUUUGUGUGGUUGGAGAAGGUUGCAAUAGAUUUUCAGAUAAUUAUUUCAGGUUGAUGAUCAUACAUCCAAAUAUCUCAAUCCCUUUUCCAAGUAUAAGGUUUGGUAUGGAGUUGAUUUCAGGUUGCAGAAGCUUUACUACCAAAGUUUUUAUUUGAGCUGCUUCCUCAAUGUGUAGCUUGUACUUUUUAGAGGAGACGCUAGUAAACUGUGCGCUUAUUUGGCGUGGUCUAAAUUGCACUCUAGGUCCUCCAUGUAUGAAGCGUGGCAUUUUUGGAUUUUAUACUUUAAUUUGUUAUAAGUUUUUGCUUUAAUUUUUAAAAGAUAGUGAUGUGGCAUUUUUUAAUAUUAUUGUAUUAUCAAUCAGAAUACUGUUAUAUUACUGCGACAUAUUUAUUAGUUAGUCAAUAAAAUUAGGUUUUGAUUGCAAUAACUUGAAUGUUUGAAUCAUACAUUAUUACAACAAAUUAAAGUUUAAAGAAUAAAAUAUUAUUCCCUGCAUAGUCUGAGGACCCAAAGUGUAAUUUAGCCUAAUAAAAUAUUUUUAAUUUUCAACCCAAAAGAAAAAAAAUUGGUGGGAAAAAUUGAAUUGAGUUUCCAUGCCACAACAUUAGACUGUCCGAAUCUACCGUUACUACAGCAGGAAACUAUCGAAGAAGAGAACAUACUGCUUCUUUGAACAGCAUGAUUUACUAACAUUUACAGUAAGAAACUUUUGAUCACUUUUUGAUUCUACUUUCAAUUACCGUCGCCAUAAUAGAUCUUCCGUUGAAGCAAAAAAGUCUAAAAUUUCUUUUACAGCGAAAAAUAAAACUAGAUUUUGGUGUUCAAAACAAAAAAAAAAAAAUAUUUUUGAAUAGUAAUGGUCAAAUAAUAUUUUAUCAAAUAAUGCUGUAUAUUUUGGACAUAAAACUUUUCUAAGCACAAAACUAUUUAGCAAAAAUCAACCAGAAUCAUCAAGAAUGGCCAAGUGAUUGAUUAUGUCUCGAUUAUAAGCUGUAAAAUUAUCCACACGAAAAUCCUGGGUUACUGAGUCGUAGAACAUUCUCUCCCACCAAUACAAGUAAAGAUGUCCACACGUACAACUACAAACCGUAGAAUGAAGAGAAAACUUCAAAAAUUCCCUUUGUGGUUUCAAUUUUUUUCACUUUAGUACCCCGUGGUUUAAAAUGUAUCAAGUUAGUACCCUGUGGUUUCUCACUUUAUCACUUUAGUACCCUGUGGUUUAAAGUGUAUCAAGUUAGUACCCUGUGGUUUUGCACUUUAUCACUUUAGUACCAUGUGGUUUCACACUUUAUCACUUUAGUACCCUGUGAUUUAAAUCACAGGGUACUAACUUAAUAAACUUUAAACCACAGGGUACUAAAAUGAAAAAGUAUGAAACCACAGGGAGAGUUUUUGAAGUUUCCCUAGAAUAAAUGAAUGAUUGGCCACAAGCGUGUAACGAGCUAACAAAAUCUAGGCCGACUCAACCUAUCCCAGCUAGGCGCGACUCGACCCGACCGACCCGACUCGAGCCGAACCCAUUGCCCUUUUCCCGACCCAUCAUCCUCCUAUCCUCCUCCAAUAAAUAUGUAACCCGAUCAAAAUCGAGCUCCUCUCUCCUUCUCUCUCUCUCUCUCUCUCUCUCUCCUUCGCCCUCCUCUUCGAUCUCCUUCCCCGAUUCCAACCCUUCUCCCUUAUUCCUCUCAACCCUAACUCCCUCCCCCUUGUUCUCCUCGCCAUGCUCUUCUCUUCCCUGAUCAAUUCAUGACUCACGCGAAGCGGCCCUUCUCCUGUAGCAGCACCGCCGCCGCCGCUCACGGCCCCAGCUCCGCCGGAGUCGCCGGAACCCCGCCUUCCUCCUCCUCCUCCUCCUUGUCCCCGCCCAUGAAGAAGACUAAGCCCCAGCCACCGCCCUCCUCCUCCGCCGAGAAGAACGGCCUCGACGCGGAGGCCGAGCCCGCGGCCGCGGCCACCACUGGCGUCGCCGCCAAUCUCUUUAGGAAGAAGGCGACGCCGCCCCAGCCCUCAGCGAAGAAACAGCUUCGCAUCAAGAUCACGAAAGGUGCCAUCUUUUGCUUGUUCUCGUGUAUUGAGAAUUGUUCUUCUGUCGAUCUUGGAAUGAGCUUGUCUUAGUUGUUUCGCACUUGAAUAAGUCCUGUCUCAGUUGAUAUUCUCUGAUUCUUUCCUUUGUUUGAUUGUUAAGAUAGUUCAAUCCUGAGAAGCAUCUGUCUUGGAGCAGUUUGUGCUAUGCUAGGGUCAGCUCGCAAAGAUUUGAUAGUAAUACUGUGAAAUUGUUGCACUAGUGCAGUGUACUCAAAUUUGAUCUUGUUAUCUCUGUUGGUAAAUGCACUAGGAGAUAAGAUUACUGAUAUGGAUAAUCUUGUAAAGGCGACUUGGUUGUAGCCAAGGAAGAUCAUAGGAUAGGAAUGAGGCAAAUUGAAGCAAUGCAGUAGUAUUGUCUCUCAUGAAAUGACAUAUUAUAUUAGUGAUUUUGCAUUUGCAAUUGUACAAAGCUACUAAAACUUUCUAGUGCUAGCAAUAGUCGAUCUUUAACACAGAGUAGUUCAUUAAAUCUGUUUAGGAAGAUCACUCUUGGUGCCAUCCAUAGGUUCCAUCUUAAGAAUAGGCAUGCAGCAAUACUCCAUUAGAUUAAAUGUGACAAAGAUUCACAAAUUCUAAGUGAUGGAGUGUGCAGGCGGGUGGCGUAAUGCUUGCAGCCCAUAUUAAUUUUUUUGCUUCUUUUUUUCUUUCUUCUUUUUAAAGAGAAGAUGCCAUUUUGCAUCCUUCCUGGAUGCAUCUUAAGCUAACCAAAAAUGCUAAGAUAAGGAAGUUUGUUCACUAGCGUAUCCAAUCACAUAGAACUUGUGUCCAGAAAACAGAAAAAAGGGCAGCAGUACCAGUGAGGUCUUAGUUUCCCGCAUUCUCUAUUUUGCACUCUGUAACUAACUGAAUAGAAAAGGAGCUAUGAGAUUAGCUGUGAUCCAACGUUCUUUCAUAUUUCAAUUAAGAAAGUAAAUAAUCAAGAUAAUAUGAUCCCAGAUCGUGUGAUUGAGUUAUUAACUCCAAUAAUAAGAUAGUUUCUUUUGUACUGCCGUCGUUUUUGACUUUAUGUAGCUAGGGAAUUAGUCAUUAAUUCUAAGUAUUGCACUCUAUUUGCUUGCAAGCUUCUAAGUUGUAAUAUUUGUAAAUGUGUUUGCAUGCCUGAAAAUGUUUUGAGUAUUGUAAACGCACAAAAAAUUAUAUUAGGAUAGAUUUAGGAUCAAUGUCAAAUGUAGCUUACGAGAAUUGCUGGGAAUCUGUGUUUGGGUUAUUUGUUUAUGUUAUUUUGCUUGUUCAUUAAAAUUUAAAUGCUUUUAUCGUUUUCUUUUAAGAAACUUAUUUGGUCUUAUAUUUUGUGAGUUUGACAUCAAUUGUGUUAUGGUCUAUUGUAGGUCAGCCAAAAUUGCCAACCAAUUUUGAAGAUGAUACAUGGGCUAAAUUGAAGGCUGCUAUUUCAGCUAUUUUCUUGAAGCAGCCACUUUCUUGUGACACUGAAAAGCUUUAUCAGGUGCUUUUCAGUCCCAACUAUCUUGAUAUAUCUAACUGUUUAUCACUUUUCGAGUUGAGACUAGAUACUUCAAGUAAAAUGACUUUAUCUUAUCACAGCGUAAAUCUAUUUGUUUCAUUAUAGGCUGUUGGCGAUCUUUGUUUAUACAAAAUGGGGGCAAAUCUUUAUGAACGCAUGCAGAAAGAAUGUGAAGGGCACAUAUCAGCAAAACUAUCAUCAUUGGUUGGACAAAGUCCUGAUUUGGUGGUCUUUUUGUCUCUGGUUGAGAAAUCUUGGCAAGAUUUUUGUGACCAGAUGUUGAUAAUUCGUAGCAUAGCCUUGCUUCUUGAUCGAACAUAUGUGAAGCAUAACCCAAAUACGUGUUCAGUAUGGGACAUGGGGUUGCAGCUGUUUCGUAAACAUCUAUCUCUGUCUGCAGAAGUCGAACACAAAAUUGUUACUGGUCUCUUAAGAUUAAUUGAGAGAGAGAGGUAUGCUGGUGUUCCUAAAUUUCCAGGAAACUAUGUUUGGUGAACAAAAUAUUUUUUGUUAAAUUUACUAUCCAGUAUUGCUUUUGUACAUUUCCUGAUAUAGUCGACUGUGUUGUCUUUUCAUGGCUUUAAUUUUACCUCUUUUUGCUAAUAUACAUGAUAUAGUCAACUGUGUUGUCUUUUCAUGGCUUUAAUUUUACCUCUUUUAGCUAUUAGCAAGAGUAGCUUGCAGUAAUAAUUUAUCUGGGUAUUUGGACAGACUGAUGCUGAUGCAUAUGAAUCACAUAAAGGAUAUGAAUUGUACUCUUAACAAUUUUCAAAAUGAAGUUGGAUAGUUCACUAACUAGAUUUGGUCCCCUUUUUUCUCCCUAUAUACACAGGAUACAUGGAAUUCUGAAACAUUAUGCAAUAGUCUAUAUGUUAUUCAAACUUUCCAAAUUGAAUGUAUUAAUUUGUCCACUAUAGAUAUUUCUAUAUUUUCUGUCUUGUUCUUGAUUAUUAUCUGAAUUAUAAACACUUCAAACCUGUACAACUUAUUUCCAACUCUAUUUCUGCGUAAUAUGGUAGUCAUCAAGUAAUUUUUACUCUUGUACUAUUAUCUGUUGCUUGUUUUCCUUGGCGAGCAGACUUGGUGAUGCUGUUGAUAGAACUCUACUUAGUCAUCUGUUGAAGAUGUUUACAGCUCUUGGAAUUUACACAGAACGAUUUGAGAAGGCCUUUCUUGAAUGUACUUCUGAGUUUUAUGCUACUGAAGGUGCGAAAUAUAUGCAGCAAUCUGAUGUUCCAGACUACUUGAGACAUGUGGAGGUGAUAUGAGUCUUGCCCCUUUUCCUCUUAUCCUUCUCAUUUAUUACCCUCAAAUUCAGCAACUGAAGUGUGAUCCCAGUAUCAUUUACGUCCCUUAGGGUUUCACUCUAAAAUUAGUCCUUGAAGUUUGUUCUGCAUACUAAUUAUGGGCUCACUAAGCCACCAUCUAGAAGAAAUGCCAAGACAACGUCAUCAUUAUAAUUGAAACGUCGGGUCAAGGUGGGUUUUUUCACAAACAGUAGAUUAAUACUCAAUGUUAUGGGAGUCAAACUUUGAGGAUAAAAUUGUUAAAAUUGGAACUCUCAGGAUGUUAUCUAAAUCAAAUUCAAACUUCAAGGAUUUGAUUUUGUAAUUAACCCAGUUAUUUGACAUUUCUGAUGUUGUACAUGUCUGAAGAUUUGCUGAUGCAUAUUGCAGUCAAGGUUACAAGAAGAACAUGAAAGGUGCAUUCUCUACUUGGAAGCCAACACGAGGAAACCCCUCAUAGCGACUGCUGAAAAACAACUACUAGAACGCCAUACAUCGGCAAUACUUGACAAGGUGGAUUACCCACUACUUUUUGCCUCUCUUAUUAUGUUGCAAAAACUUGUCUUAUUUUCUGAUCGCUUAGCUAACAUUUCACUUUUCUCUUUAGGGUUUCACAAUGCUUAUGGAAGCAAAUCGUGUUACAGACCUUCACAGAAUGUAUACCCUUUUUCAGAGGGUUAAUGCUCUUGAGCUGCUAAGGCAAGCUCUUAGUUCAUACAUACGAGGCACAGGUCAGAGUGUUAUCAUGGAUGAAGAGAAAGACAAAGACUUAGUUCCUUAUCUCUUGGAUUUCAAAGCUUCGCUUGAUAUGAUAUGGGAAGAAAGUUUUGCCAAAAAUGAAGCCUUUUCUAAUACUAUAAAAGAUUCUUUUGAGCAUCUUAUAAAUCUUCGUCAGGUUGGUGUAUGCUGGCUAAUUUGCUUUCUUUGUCACUUCUUAUUUGCCCUGCUUUCUAAUACAAAGAUCUAUUUCAUCGAAGGUUACAUUACAUUCAACUGAUGGAAUCGUCUUUAUCUAGAUUCCUAUCAUUUUAGCGCAUUUGUGGAAGGGAGUCAAUUCUUCGUUAUUCUUAGUUUCUCUUUAUCAAUCCAUGUCCUUCUGUUACAUGAACUAUUUAUGAUUGAGAAAUUUUCUUGUAAAAGUAGCAGUGUAGAUCUAAGGCAACCUGUAGACAAUUUGAGCAGGAGUAGGGGUGUAAAACGGGCCGCCCGGCCCGGCCCGGCCCGGCUACUGUAGCAUCCAUGUCGGGCCUGGCUGGCCCGACCUGGCUCUUCGGGCAUGCUAGGCCUCUUUCCUAGGGCCCGACGGCACGACAUGGCACGGUCCGGCCCGAAAUGGGCCUGGCUCGUGCUAGGCCGAGGAGUGGCCGGUGGGUCGGCACGGCACGGCACGGCCAGUUGGGCCAACACAGCCGGAAACCCCAGGCCCAAGGCAAGUUGCCUUGAGCCUGGGGUCUGAUCUCCUGGGGAGAAGGGCUUGGGCCUCCUCCCCAGGAGAUCUCCUACCAAGGUCUGGACCAAAACAAUUUUUGUCCAUUGGACCAAAAACCCAUCUCAAAAUUUUUUUUUUCAAAAAAUAAUACAUAUAUAUAUAUAAUAUAUAUAUAUAAUAUAUAUAAUAUAUAAAAUAAAUUUAAAUAUUUGUUAUUUAAUUAUUUUUAUAAUUUUUAAAUUUUUUAAUCAAAUACAUUUAAAUAAAAAUAAUUUAUUGUUCAUAUUUUUAGAUUAUAUAUAUUUUAAAAAAAAAAUAAAAUAAAAGGGGCGGCCCGGAGCAUGGCUCAGUGCCUUCCAGCCGAGGGGCUGUUCUGGGCCGCGAGGCUAGGGGAGCUCAGGCCCGCACAGCCAGGCCAGGAUUUGAUGUCCGGCCGGCCAGUCCCUCAGCCCGUUUCGGCACAGAAAAAUGUGGGCCGUGCCGGCCCACAUUGCACCCCUUGGCAGGAGUUACAAAUACUUUGUCUGAGGAAAUUAAGGAUAGGUUUUAAUGUGCUUAUAUGAAUGCUGUUUGAAUACAGAAGAAUGUAUAGGUUUCCCAGAGCAGUUGUUCUUAUGCUCGUGAGGUGGUAAACGAUGAAACAAAGGCUUUCUGAUCAACUCUGUUGUUGUUUUUCUUUUUCUUUCCUUUUUUUGUGGGGGAGGGCACAAGAAAUAUGGGUUAUGAGGAUUAAGGAAAUUGGAAGUGAGAUCAGCAAGUAUAAUUGCAGAAUUUUUUGAAACAUAUUUUCACUUCUACAACCUAUGAAACAUUGUGAUGUUGAAAUGAGUUUACUGUUGAUGUUGUUUCUCGAUAUGAUAGUUUACAAUAACACUUUUGGUGCCCCAAGAUACUUGUUUUAUUGGGCCCUCUUUUCCAUGUCAAAACCUUUAUUUAUAAAUUAAAGCAUCAUUCCAUCCCUCAGGGUUGAGUGCUUGUUUUCUUGUACAAUUAGCUUGAACACUGUACAUUGCUGCGGUUUUCUUAGUUUAGUGUAUCUAUUAAUAUAUCUUCCUUUUGAAUAACAGAAUAGACCUGCGGAACUGAUUGCAAAAUUUGUGGACGAGAAGCUCCGUGCUGGAAAUAAAGGUACAUCUGAAGAAGAGUUGGAGGGUACACUAGACAGAGUUUUGGUAUUAUUCAGAUUUAUCCAAGUAAGCUGCUAAAUAAUUGUGUUACCUUAAUUAGAAUUAUGUGCCACUUCAUAGUACUUGUUCAGACAUUACCGCCAUUCAAUGCUUUUAUGGCAUCCUUGUAGUUCUUUGUUGUACUUAUAUUUUUUUGUUGCACUAUACAGGGAAAGGAUGUAUUUGAGGCAUUUUACAAGAAGGAUCUUGCGAAAAGGCUACUGCUUGGAAAGAGUGCAUCUAUUGAUGCUGAAAAAUCAAUGAUUUCAAAAGUAAUUAUUACGUUCUGAUAUUGAAAUUAUAUUAUAUUUGAUGGGUUUUCAUUAAUAUAACACUAACUUCUCUCUCUCUCUCCAGCUUAAAACUGAGUGUGGGAGUCAGUUCACAAAUAAGCUUGAAGGAAUGUUCAAGGUAUGCAAUCUCCUUUCAAGUGCCUUACUGAGACCAAAGCAUACCUGAAGUUGUAUAUGAUCUGAUUGAUGCAAGUUUUGGCUCCUAUUCUUUAUUAAUUCAUUAUAAGAAUUGUUACUUAAUGGUUUCGAAUAAUACUUGUUCUGGUGUUAUUGUAAUGAAACCUUAAUUUUCCUUUUUGAAACAUUUAAAAUCUGUAAUCGUUUGCUGAUACGCAAUAGUAGGCAAAGUGAGACCACAUCCUAAAUUGCCCUUUGGUGUAUCAGGUCUAAUGUUUCUUCAUUAGACACAUUAGCGCGUCCUAUGUGAGCAGUACCAAGAUAAAAUUCAGAUUAAGAGGAUGGCAGACUUUAGAUUUU